rnacentral:lncRNA from 1 species
AGCACCCCAGAUUCCAGCGGAUACUAGCGCAACUGGACCACUCCAGCCAGGUGCAGCAGGGAGCCAAGAUGAAUCACGCGAGUAAUCAACUGGCAGCAAUUUAUUUGCUAUAGUUACAAAAACCUAUAAACAUACAGAAUAAAAGUUCCAAAGACUCGGUGUGUUAGUCAUUUCAAUUACAAUAAGUGACACUACAAGUCCAUUGUGUCUUGUAGUUAAGCACCAAAACCUUUUUAUGUGUUACUGGUACUUGAGAAGGUUGUAUGUCUUCUCAUCUCUAUCAUUUACAUUUGAAACAUGGGAUAUUAUAUUGUGUUUGCACAGUCUCCUGUCCUAUAAAUAUGUUAAUUAUUUUAGUUGCGGGGAAAUUUGUUAUUUAUUGGUUGCGAUUGCUAAGUUUUAGACAUAUGUUUGAGCCAUGCGCUAUUUUUUGAAGUCUUAUCCAUAUACUUGAGAAGAUCAUGAACCAUGCCGCAAAAAAUGAUGGCGCACAAAUGGGCUUGAUUAAGAAAGGGGGGAAAUCCGUACAGUUCAUACUCUAGAAAUCUGUCGAGAUACAAUGAUGCAGACAAUCGGAAUACACUGGCAACCAUGCAAGGCCAAAGAAUAUAUCUCUUCCUUUGUCUAGGAAAAAAAUACUGAUCCAAGUGUGCAGUGCUCCAAGAUUUCUGAUGAUAGAAACUAGAUUUCAGUUAAGUUGUCAUAUGCCAAAUUUUGAAGGAAUAUGUAACCCGAAUUUUACAAAUGAUGUCUCGACUUGCAGUUCAGAUAUAUGGAGAAGUAGGGGUUUGCAAUCUUUGAACAAUGAAUUCUGUUAAUUAACAAGCACUGACAAGUUCGAACAAACACGAGAAUGAUAAAAAAAAUCACUGGAAUGACAGCUAUUCCAUUCCUAGCUGACAAAUACUACCAAAAAGAGUCUCUUGGACAUCCUUUGUCAAAGUCAAAAAACUGCUCGAUUUUGAGCAUCUCUCCAAAAACUUGACGCCCGAAGUACCACCGUUGCUCUGUUUAUCCAUAAUGAGGGAACAAAGACCUUAUUAAUGGUGGAGAAGGUGAUCAUGGAAAUAGUCAGUUAACACGACAUCUAUUUCAUAUCAGGUACUUAUAAUGGAAAUAACUGCUAGUCCGCAUUCAUGAUUCCAUGAUUCAACAAAAAAAAAAACUGAAAAUCAUAGCUAGAUGAAUUUACCACCUGCUGUGCAGAGCUCACUGUUCUGGUUCAAGAAAUCAGUGAUUCCAUGAUUCAUGGUUCCUGUAGGGCACAAUGCCACCGCCUCUAUCCUCAGCAGCUCAUUCAGUAUUGAAUCAAUCAUGAGUUGAAACCUGCCCGGGGGGAGGCGGGGUUAUCUCUUGUAACCAUAUGUGAAAGAUGCACUGUGCAGCGGUUGCUCAUCAGGUUGAAUCACAUUCUCCAGCAUUUUGCAUUGACAAGACAGCGAAGAGAAACAACUAGAUAUAGCUAGGAUCAGGGGCAAGUGAGUGGCUAGCUGGCAGAAAAGUUGAAGGUGAAGCCCACCAUACUGUUUGCAAGUUUUUGGAGAAGCUGAAUGUUAUUGGUGACUGGUAUUUCAGACAUCUUUGUGGAAUGAAAUAUGAUAAGCUGAUAAACUUUUCUCUCCAAAUAUGCUACUUGAUAACCACUAUUCAAAACUAUGGUUAUAUUUGCUCACUUUUGUUGGUCAACUGAUGUGCAAAAAAAUCCCGGUUCGACGCUAGGUUUUACUCUGUUCUUGUUAGUCCGGUCUGGUGCAAGAAGAAGGGUUCAGCAGUCAGCACUAGAGGGAUUAUCAUUACCCCCAUCCCAUUUGGAAAAGCACGGGAUCUAAGUGGCCUGAUCUCACUGUUGCUUGAAUGUGUGGAAACUGCUAGGGAGAGAAACUGGAACUAACUGGAACUGAAACUGAAUACAUCAACACCCGAAACUGAAGGUACAGAUUCAGUCAAGGGACAGUGCACGCCACUGCUAGCAGAGCAGGAAUGAAUGGCUGGGAUAGAUGGGCCUGACUUUCCUGCUUGCGUCGUUUAAUUACCAAGUUAAAUUCGACUGUUCCUGGAGCCACUCACUCUCACUCUUGUGUCCGGUCAAGAAACGGCAGGGUUUUUCUACCCCAUGUGUCACUGCUGCUCUUUGACUAAACCACCACUCCUCGUAGAACAGUCUACCCAAAUUAAUUCCAACUUAUAUAGCACGUCAAGGAGAAAUUCUACAGGGUAUCAGUCAGUUCUGAUGUGAUGUGACACCAUGACAUGUAAUAAAUUCAUAUUAUUUUCGAAAAGACAUGUAAUAAAUUAUGCCUGUGUGCAUCAUCUAUCGAUAUAAAAGUCUUUUUUUAUCAUGUAAUAAAAGGUACUCUCUCAUGCUAGAAAAAGUAAUGGCCACGACACCUCCAGAACCAAAGAAAAUGUGUGUUCGAGUGAGUUGGUUGGCAAAAAGGAACUUAAAUAUCUCAGACACAUUUCUAAAAAUCAGGAUCAACAUCCAACUAUCCGCUUGUCACUCCAUAUGCAACUUAUAAACUAAUUGAAGAUACGCCAAUGGGGCAGUGGCCUAUAUCGAAUUAAACCUUUUUUUACAAUGCCAUUUUUCUUGAGUCAUUUUGUGCAGUGCCAUUUUUCAAUACAUGAAGCUGGCAGUGACAUGUACCAAAUUAACCCUAUAAGUAUUUUCGCAAAAAUCAAACCUGCAAGUAAAUAAAAGAACGGAACAGAAGUACUCCCUCCGUUCCAAAUUACUUGUCGUGGUUUUAGGUCGUGGUUUUAAACUAAAACCACGACAAGUAAUUUGAAACGGAGGGAGUAACAAUUUCACACAACCCAAUUAAGUCAAACCCAAUUUCACACAGCUGACAAAGACCGACACAACACGAUUAAGUCAGUAACCUUCUAACCUUUCAUCCAGAGCACAUGCUCGGGUCUCCAGUCGAAAUUGAGCAACACCCCCAUGACUUAUAAAGUUAAGUUGUUGGUUUCUUGUCUAUCAUCCCGUGAGCUGAGCUGCAUUUUCUGUCUUUCGACUCAAACAGAAAUAAUAAUAUAGAAAUAAAUGACGAAGAGGAAAAAAAAUUAGAUUGAAUUUUGCAAUCCAUGUUCUGUUAUUUUGUGUGUGUGCGGAAUCCAUGUUCUAGCUCCAGUAGCAACAGAUAAAGGCCAUAAAAGAGGUGCAAGCAAACAACAUGGCAACUUAUCUAAUGCCCAGGUGCCUUACAAUUUUUUUAUGAUAUCCAUUUAGAACUUAGACAGUAUAGAAAUGAUUGUAAUUUUCAUAAAAUGCAUAACACAAGCUCGAACAAGUAUCAGAUUUCCACGAUUCAGUAUCAAAUCAACGAUAUGAGUUGUAGCCUGCCGGGGAGGAGCCGGGGUGAUCUUUACCAUACAAAAAGUUAUUACCUAUAUGUGAAAGAUGCACUGUGCAGCUGUUGCCCGUCCAGUAAGCCGGUUCCAUCAGCAGCAGAUCAAGGAGCAGCUAGAUAUGGCAACUGAGUGACUAGCUGACAUAAAAGUUGAAGGUGAAGCCUACCAUACGAGUUUUUGGAGAAGCUGAAUGUUAACGGUAGCGACUUGUAGUUCAGACAUAUUUAUGGAAUGAAAAAUGGUAAUCUGGUAGAACUUUGUCUCCAAAUAUGCUCCAUGUGGAUUCAGAAGUCAGUAGUCAGCACUAGAGGGGAUUAUUAAUUUAUUAUCACCGCAUCCCCAUUGGACAAAACAUGGAAUUUUAUUGGCCUGACCACAUAUAGUUGCUUCAAUGCGCGGAAGAUGCAGUGCCAGGAGCUCAAGGGACUGCGGCGGCUCCUGAGGGGAGUCGUGCUGGCAGCAGCAAGCAAGGAUGCCUGGGAAGGAGGAACCGCAGCGCUCGUCGAGGAGGCCAAGGGCAGCUCCAGCUGCUCGGAGUACAACAACACCUGAAACUGAAGGCACAGGUUCAGUGAACGGACGGUGCACGUCACUGCUAGCAAAGCAGCAAUGAAUGGCUGGGAUUGAUGGGCCUGACUUUGCUGCUCUCGUUGUUAAUUCAGUUUACUUAGAAAGUUGCUGCUAACUACAGUAUGAGUCCUUUUAAAAAAAACUACUGUAUGAGUGUAAAAAAAAAGUACUGCUAAGCGAAGUAAAAACAGAAGUAGGUCAUAUUGCUCUUCUCGAAGAAAAACGAGACUGCUUUCUCUCACUGGACGUAGAAAGUAGAGCAAAUUCGACUAUUCCUGGAGCCAAAGACCAAAAUCCCUUCUAGACUGCCUCACACUACUUUGCCAUAGUUAAUCUGGAAAUCUUCCAUCCAGAACACCUACCCGGGUGGCUGGGUCUCGAGUCCAACAUAGCUACUGUCACUCAUUGCUAAUUUAUCCCUCUUCCAUUGCGCCACUCGAGCUCUGAGUCGAGGUGGUUCGCGAUCAAUGGAUAUCCUCAUCUCUGCAAUCGUAGGCGACCUCAUCAGCAGGUCUGCAUCAUUCGUGAUCAGCAAAUACUUCCAGCAGCAGCCUGACAUCAACAAGAUUGUCCAAAGGCUACAGAGUGUUGUACUGAGAAUCGACAUCGUCGUCGAGGAGGCCGAGGCGCGGGACAUCACCAACCAGGGGAUGCUCCGUCAGCUCAAGAUGUUGAGGCAAGGGAUGUACAGAGGCCACUAUGUUCUCGAUGCCUUGAGAUUCCAAGCAGCCCUCGACGAGGAGAAGGUAAGCCACUCAUCAUCUGCGCUCUCUAAAUCCAGUGCAGCCAAACGGCUCCGUUUCUCUCGGACCGGCAGUGGCAGCAGCAACAGAGAAGCAUUGUUGUUUGGCACAAACAGCAACAUGCGAGAAGAGCUGCAACAGAUGGUUGAUACCCUUGAAGACACCGUGGCUGGUAUGAAGGAGUUUCUUUUCUUCUUGGAAUUGUAUCCUCGGAUACUUCGCCAACCUUACGGCACAUAUUUGCUCUUGGACAACUGCAUGUUUGGUCGCCAAACUGAACAGGAAUGGGUCCUGAAUUUCUUGCUCUGUCCCAGUGUUACACCAGACUUGGCUGUACUUCCGAUCAUCGGUCCAAGAAGGGUAGGGAAGAGCACCCUUGUUGAGUAUGUCUGUAGGGAUGAGAGUGUGCGUGGUCACUUCUCGAUGAUCUUGUUCUUUGCAGAAGGUAGUCUCAAGGAUGAAGGACUUGUUGACCUGAAAGGAAACAAUAUUAGUGGUCUAGUCAGACAUCAAAAUUCUGCUUCUCAAAACAGGUUGCUGAUUAUUGUUGAACUAGCUGAGGAUAUUAAUGAGGGAACAUGGAGAAGGUUGAAAUCUUCCGCAAGCAGCAUGGCACCAGGUGGGAGCAAAAUUGUAAUCACCAGUCGAUCAAAUAGAAUUGUGAGUCUGGGAACAACAGAAGCACUUCGACUGGACUAUCUCCCGCAAGAAGCUUAUUGGCAUUUUUUCAAGUCGCUUGCAUUCGGAAGCACAAACCCAGAUGAGCAGCCAAAUAUGGCAAAGAUGGCCAUGGAGAUGGCUUUGGAGCAGAGGCAGAGUUUCACAGGCGCGCGUAUCAUUGCUGGGAUACUGCAAGAUAACUGUAAUCCUCGAUUUUGGCGCACAACUCUUGAACGUACGAGAGCAUCUAUACAGAUAAAUCUCCUUAUGCUUGAACAGCACCCAAUGCUUCUUUUGCGGGAAGAUGAACCGGUGUACAGUCGAAGAACAGACAAGAGCCGAAAACAUUUCUUGAUUUGCAACUAUCAUCAGUCAGAUUCCACUGAGGAUGUCCCUAAGAUCAGUGUGCAGGACAUUAUUUUAGGAUGUGAUGAUACAUUACCCUGUGAAGAAUUUGAGGCUCUUGCAUGGAGGUCUCUCAUACCUCCCUACUACAACUACACAAUAAGCUUUAAGACACAAGAACCACAUCUUACAGUGGGAGGGAAGAAGCGUGCGCAUCAGGAGGAAGAACGUUUAAUUUGAGUAAUGUGUUGUCUGUGGCUCACAUCAUGUAUGCUACAGCCUUGUCUUGCGGAUUAGGAAAUAUUAUUAUAUUGCAUUUACUCUUUGGGAGUCCUGCCAAGUUAUGUCUCUUAGCAGGGACUAGGCAUGGAGUCGUUGUAUCCUAGUAAUACAAGUGUUUGCAUGUCUGUGUUUGGGUAAGUAACUUUCAGAGUCAAGGCAAUGUAUGCAUUCACAGUUAAAAGUAAAGUCCAAGACAAGUUGUAUUUAUAAAGUUGAGUACUGAAGUCCAUAUCCUAUUGAUCUCGAUACUAUGUGUGCUAUGUAAACCUAAGCCUUGUAAUAAUCCUUGAACGUGGAGAAAAGAUACGAGCAAAAGUGCCCCAAACUUGCUACUAUGUGUGAGUUUGAUCCUUGGGCGAAAGCAAACAAGAUUCAAUUCCUUGUCACAAGUAUUUUCCAUGACAAAUUAUUUUCUUGUUUGGUUCAAAGAUCAGAAAGAUUAGCUGGAACUGGAGUAGGACAUUACCUGGAGUGCAGGGCGGUGAGGAGAUGACAAUAUAAAGAUAAAAAAAAAAUAAGUUGUUGGUUUCUUGUCUAUCAUCCCAUGAACUGUGCUGCAUUCUCUACCUUUUGACUCGGAGAAAAAUAAAUCAAUGGGGAGAAGGGAAAAACUAGAUUGAGUUUUGCAACCCGUGUUCUAGUUCGAGUAGCAACAGACAAAGGCCAUAAAUGGGGUAUAAGCAAACUACAUACCAACUUCUCUAAUGCUCAAUGAAACUUAUAGACAGUCUAAAAAUAUUAAAAAUCUCCAAGUCGCAGUUACCUGUGGACCUCCUCAGAGGAUUCUGCAAUGCUAAUAUUGUAUCCUUAUAAUUCCAAAUUGGCUAUAUCCCCUGGACGAACUGUACAAACAGUUGCAAUUCUCUUUGCACCUAACUAAUCACCAAGAAGUUUGUGAGAAAUGUGUGGCCAUGUAGAAACUGGUCGCGAACUGUGAUCUUAUCAGAAAUUACUAGAACAACAUAACGAAUUAUGUGUGGAUAUAAUGAGUGUGCAUUGAUCAGAAGUUAAGAACUGGUGGAGAAGGCGCGCGAGUUUGUCAGAAACUUUUAGAACAAUUGUAAAUGCUGCUGGUACACUUCAAGUUUUGCCUGAAUAUAUUGAACACACCAGUGAACAACAUACAGAGCUACCAGCAGAAUGCAACUGUCAGUGAAAGAACCCAAUGGCUGUUCCUGAAAGAACGGGAAGAACUGGACCCCAUGCUGUUUGAAUGUGUCGUGGGAGGCGGGGGGAGCUGCCGUACCUGGAGCAAAGGGGCGGCGAGGUGUCCCCAGGCUUGGCAAACCCGGCGCGUCGCCUCGUCAACGCCGUCUUCUUCCCAGUGCACCACUGCACCAAUGACUAACACGGCGCCUUGCACCCGCGGCUCCACGGCGACUACCUCGACACCAGCCAUCCCCGACUUGACAUCGACCACGGCCUGACCACACUGUUGCUUGAAUGGGGAGAACAAAGCUGCAGUACCUGGAACUCAGGGGACGACAGCAAGGCCAGUGGCCAGCCGGUGGCUCCUGGGGGAGGCCAUGCUGGCAGCAGUAAGCGCGGAGGUCUGCAAAGGAUGAGCUCCAACUACUCUGAAUACAUCGAGACCUGAAACUGAAGGUAGAGAUUCAGUUAACGGAUGGUGCGCGUCACUGCUAGCAAAGCAAGAAUGAAUGGCUUCUCUCGUUGUUAAUUCAGUUUAAUAACCAAGUUACUGCUAAGUGUGGUAUGAGUGACACAAAAAUACCGCUAGCCGUGGUAAAAAAAAAAAGAACUGGUAUCGGCAAUAUUUCGGUCACAUCUCUCUUCUGAAGAAACACGGGUGCUUUCCGACAUUGUACAUAGAAAGCAAAAAAAAUUCAAUUAUUGCUGGAUCCAAACACCAAAAAGCCUUCUAGACUGCCUUGCCAUUCACUUUUCACUCUUUUGUCAAAAUUCAACCCUCCAUUCAGCGAAAAGCACUCCUUGUCUCACUGGUAGUUUUUGACUAGGCCACGGUUUUUUACAAACCACCACUCCUUGUAGAACAGUCUACUGAAAUUAAGUCCAAGUUAUAACUAUAUUCAAAGGAGAAAUUCGACAAGUCAGACUCAAUUCCACAAGGCAGGCAAAGACCCACUCAGAAAUUGGUAAGGCACCACCACAUCACAUCAUAUAUGUAUUGCAUGCUGAUCCAUCCAGCGCUAGCCCCACUGCCUCACUUCUAAUAUCUCAUACAGAACACGCCCAUUACUUGACGCCCACAUAGAUAUUCCUCAUUGAUAAUAUUCCAUCCAGUACUCAUUGCUAAUUUUAUCCCUCGUCCAUUGCACCGCUCAAGCUCUGAGACGAGGAGGUUCGCAAUCAAUGGAUAUCCUCGUCUCUGCAAUACUAGGUGACCUCGUCAGUAGGUCAGCGUCAUUUGUGAUCAGCAAAUACUUCCAGCAGCAGCCUGGCAUCGGCAAGAUUCUCCAGAGGCUACAGAGUGUCCUACUGAGAAUCGACAUCAUCGUCGAGGAGGCCGAGGCGCGGCACAUCACCAACCAGGGGAUGCUCCGUCAGCUCAAGAUGUUGCGGCAAGGAAUGUACAGAGGCCACUACGUUCUCGAUGCCUUACUGGCAUUUUUUCAAGUCGCUUGCAUUCGGAAGCACAAACCCUGAUGAACAGCCAAAACUGGCAACAAUGGCCAUGGAGAUUGCUUUGGAACAGAGACAGGAUUUCACAAGCGCACAUAUCGUUGCUGGGAUACUGCGAGCUAACAUCAAUGCUCGAUUUUGGCGCACAAUUCUUGAAUGUGUAAGAGCAUAUAAACGGACAAAUCUCCUUUUGUUUGACCAGCACCCAUACUUUCGUUUGCGGGUAGAUGAACCGGUGUACUAUUGGACCUUGGAGAAGAGCCGCAGAUAUUUCUUGAUUUGCAACUAUCAUCAGUCAGAUUCCACCGAGAGUGUUCCAAAGAUCAGUGUGCAGGACAUUCUCCUAGGACGUGGUGGUACACUACCCUAUGGAGAAUUUGAGGCUCUUUCAUGGAGGUCUAGCAUACCGCCCUACUACAACUACAUGGUAAGCUGUAAGAUGCAAGCACCACGACUUACAGUGGGAAGGAAGAGGCGCGUGCAUCAAGAGGAACAACAUUUUAUUUGAAAGUCUGCCACACACGUCAUGUAUGUUACUGCCUUUUCCUGCAAAUUGGGAAAUGUUAUUACACUGACUUUAGAAGUCUUGUCAAGUUUAAACACAUAUGUCUGUUAGUGUGCAGGCUCUAGGCAUGGAGUCGCUGUAUCCUAGUAGUACAAGUGUUUGCAUGUCGAGUAUGUUAUGCUUGUGUUCAGGUAAGUACAUUCAGAGUCGAGGCGAUGUUUGCAUGUCUGAUAAAAUAGAGUCCAAACAUGUUGCAUUUAUAAAUUUGAGUAUCUGAGUCUGUAUGUAUCCUAUUGACCUGUGAGGGUACUAAAUAAAUCUAAGCCUUAAAAUAGCCCUUGAUCAUGAUGAGAAAAGUGCCCUAAAUUUGCUCUGUUUCUCAAGUGUGCGUGUGUUUGAUCCUUGGCGAAAGAAAAUAAGUUUCAAUCCCUCUGACAGAUUAUUUUCUUGCUGGGUCGAGGUUGGCCCACCAUACUGUCUGCAAGUUUUUGGAGAAGCUGAAUGUCAUUGGUGACUGUGGUAGUUCAGACAUCUUUGUGAAAUGAAAUAUGAUAAUCUGAUAAACUUUCUCUCUCCAAAUAUGCUACUUGAUCAACACUAUGCACUGGAGUAUUCAGAACUAAACCUGGAACAAAAACUGAAACUACUAGGAACCAAACUGAAACUGAGUUCAGUUAGGUUUGGAACAGCUAACAAGCUCCGGCUACUCUGAAUACAUCAACACCUGAAACUGAAGGUACAGAUUCAGUCAAUCGGACGGUGCGGGUCACUGUGCUAGCUAGCAAAGCAGAAAUGAAUGGCUGGGAUCGAUGGGCCAAAACCCAACCCUCUAGGCCGGUCAAGAAACGGCAGGGUUUUUCUACCCCGUCCGUGUGUCACUGCUGCUCUUUGACUAAACCACGACUCCUCGUAGAACAGUCCACACAAAUUAAUAUAGCACGUCAAAGAGAGAUUCUUCAAAGGAAAAAGGGGGUACCAGUUAGUUCUGAUGUGACACCAUGACAUGUGAUAAAUUAAUAUUAUUUUUGAAAAGACAUGUAAUAAAUUAUGCUUGUGUGCAUCAUCUAUCGAUGUAUAACUCUAUUUUCUUUUUUUCCAUGUAAUAAAAAGGUACUCUUUCAUGCUAGAAAAAGUAAUGGCCACAACACCUCCAAAACCAAAGAAAAAUGUGCACUCGAGUGAGUUGGUUGGCAAAAAGAAACUUAAAUAUCUCAGACACAUUUCUAAAAGCCAGGAUCAACAUCCAACUAUCCUCUUAUCCAAACCACUCCACAUGCAACUUAUAAACUAAUUUAAAAUAUGCCAAUGGGGCAGUGGCCUAUAUCGAAUUAACCCUUUUCUUACAAUGGCAGUUUUCUUGAUUCACUUUUUGCAGUGGCAUUUUUCAAUGCACGAAGUUGGCAGUGACAUGUACCAAAUAAACCCUAUAAGUAUUUCCACAAAAAAAUUAACCCUACAAGUAAAUAAAAGAAAAGGAAGUAGCAAUUCCAACACAACACGUUAAGUAAAACCCAAUUUCACACGGCAGGCAAAGACUCACACUACCUUGACAUAGUCAGCCACCUUCUAACCUUUCAUCCAGAACACAUGCCCGGGUCUCUAGUCGAAAUUGAGCAACACCCCCAUGACUAGUACCACUCACUGCUAAUUUUAUCCCUUGUCCAUUGCAGCACUCGAGCUCAGAGUCGAGGAGGUUCGGCAGUACCCAAUCAAUGGAUAUCCUCAUCUCUGCAAUCGUAGGCGACCUUGUCGGCAGGUCGAUGUCCUUUUUGAUCAGCAAAUACUUCCAGCAGCAACCUGACAUCAACAAGAUUGUCCAGAGGCUACAGAGUGUUGUAUUGAGAAUCGACAUUGUUGUCGAGGAGGCCCAGGGGAGGGACAUCACCAAUCAGGGUAUGCUCUGUCAGCUCAAGAUGUUGAGGCAAGAAAUGUACAGAGGACACUAUGUUCUUGAUGCCUUGAGAUUCCGAGCCGCCCUUGACGAGGAGGAGGUGAGCCACUCAUCGGCUGCGCUUUGGAAAUCCAGUCCAGCCAAACGGCUUUGUUUCUCUCGCACCGGCAGCAGCAGAGGCAACAGAGAAGCACUGCUAAUUGGCACAAAUAGGAACAUACGAGAAGAGCUGCAACAGAUGGUUGAUACCCUUGAAGACACCAUGGACGGUAUGAAGGCGAUUCUUUUCUUCUUGGAGUUAUAUCCUCGGAUGAUCCGCCAACCUUGCGGCACAUACUUGUUCUUGGACAAUUGCAUGUUUGGUCGCCAAACGGAGCGGCAGUGGAUCCUGAAUUUCUUGCUUAGUCCUGGUGCUACAUCAGAUUUGGCUGUACUUCCGAUCGUUGGCCCAAUAAGAGUAGGGAAGAGCACUCUUGUUGAGAAUGUCUGUAGGGAUGGGAGUGUGCGUGAUCGCUUCUCGAUGAUCCUCUUCUUUCCAGAAAGCAGUCUCAAGGAUGAAGGGGUGGUCGACCUGAGAGAUAACAAUAUUAAAUUCAGACAUCAGAAUUGUGCUUCUCAAAAUAGGUUGCUGAUUAUUAUUGAAACAGACAAGGAUAUUAACGAGGAAACAUCGAGAAGGCUGAAAUCUUCCGCAACCUGCAUGACACCUUGCGGUGAGAGCAAAAUCAUAAUCACUAGUCGGUCAGAUAGAAUUGUGAAUCUGGGAACAACGGAAGCACUUCGACUGGAUUAUCUCUCUCAAGAAGCUUAUUGGCAUUUUUUCAAGUCAAUUGCAUUCGGGAGCAUAAACCCCGGGGAGCAUCCAAAACUGGCAACUAUGGCUAUGGAGAUUGCUUUGGAACAGACACAGUGUUUCACAAGCGCGCGUAUCGUUGCUGAGUUACUGCAACAUAACUUCAAUGCUCGAUUCUGGCGCACAGUUCUUGAAUGUGUAAGAGAAAGUAAACAGAUAAAUCACAUUAUGUUUGGCCAGCACCUACCUUCUUUUGCGGGAAGAUGCACCGGUGUAUUGUUGGAGAUUAGUGAAGAUACACAGAUAUUUCUUGUUUUGCAACCAUCAGCAGUCAUAUUCCGAUGAGAAUGUCCCCAAGAUCAAUCUGCGGGACAUCAUCUUAGGAUGUGGUGGUAAACUGCCCUGUGGAGAAUUUGAGGCUCUUGCAUGGAGGUCUCGCUUACUGCCCUACUACAACUACAUGGUAAGCUGUAAGAUGCAAGCACCACAACUUACAGUAGGAAGGAAGAAGCGUGUGCAUCAAGAGGAAGAACAUUUUGUUUGAGUAGCACACUUCUGUGACUCAUAUCAUGUAUGCUACCGUGUUGUCCUGUGAGUUAGGAAAUAUUAUUACUCUGCCUUAAUUAGGAGUCUUGGCAAGUUAGGUAACAUAUAUGUCUAUUAACGUGUAGGCAUGGAGGGCUUCUAUCCUCCUAGCAUAAGUUUGCAAGUCGAGUACAUCAUGCUGUUGUUUGGGCAAGUACUUUCAGAUUCAAAACAGUGUUUGCAUCGCCGGUUAAAUCAGAGUCCUAGACAAAAUGUAUUUAUAAAGUUGGAUGAUUGAGUCUGUCUCCUAGUGAUCUGGAUACUAUGGGUAAUCUAUAAACCUAAGCCUUGCUAUCACACAUAUAUUGAUCUUUGGACAUGAAGAAAAGAAUAGGGAAAAGUGCACCAAAUCUGCUCUGUUUGAUCCUUGGGCAAAAGCCAACAUGCUUCAAUUCCUCUGUCACAUUUAUUUUUUGUGGCAGAUUCUUUUCUUGCUGGAUUUCAUUAAGUAGACUGGACCGGUGUAUUGUUGGAGAUUGGUGAAGAGACACAGAUCCUGAGCUGAACCCUUGCUCUUGCUCUUGCACUGGACUGGACCUGACAAGCACAGGAUCUAAACUGGCCUGGCCAUAUUGUUGCUUGAAUGGGGGAAAGCUGCAGUACCUGGAGCUCAGCGGACGGCGGAGGGAAUACGGGGUUCAUAAUGAAGCCUGGGAAGGAAGGGACGGUGAGUUUGUAGGCUGGCCGUAGAAGCGCUCGCCGGCGGCCCUAAGGAGGCCAGGUGGUGCAGCUCCAGCCACUCCAAAUAUAUCGACACCUGAAACUGAAGGUGCAGAUUCAGUUAACGGCCGGUGCGCGUCACUGCCAGGAAAGAAUGAACGGCUGGGAUUGACGGUCCUCUGAGUUUGCUGCUGUUGUUGUUAACUCAGUCUAGUUACCAAAAGUUACUGCUAACUGCAGUAUGAGUGUUCUGGCAAAAAAAAAAAACUGCUAACUGCAGUAAGAGCAGAACUGGUAUCUGCCGAUAUUUCUCACUGAACAGUAGAAACCAAAGCAAAUUCAACUAUUCCUAGAGCCAAAGGCCAAAAUCCCUUCUAGACUGCUUUGCCAUUCAUUUCUCACUCUUAUGUCAAAAUUCAACCCACCCGGUCAGCAAACGGCAUGGUUUUUCUCUUCCGCGCCUCAUUUAUGGUUUUUCACUCCACCACCACUCCUUGUAGAACAGUCUGCCCAAAUCAAGCCCAACUUGUAUAACACGUCAAGGAGAAAUUCCUACAAGGAAAAUGGGCACCAGUUAGUUCUGAUGUGACAUCUUGACCUGUAAUAAAUUAUGCUUGUGUGCAUCAUCUAUCGUCUGGAUGCAGAUGCCCAGAGGUAUAAAAUAAGAUAAAAGUAAAGGAAGGAAACAAAGUAGUGUUGUUUUGGCAUAGAUUUGCAACGAGUCAAGUCAGACUCAAUUGCGCAGCCUAAGACUCGCUCAAAAAUUAGCAGGGCGCCACCACCAUCAUAUAUAUAGCAGCUGAUCAUCUUAUUGCAUUAGAUUGGUGCUCCAUUAUUUAUUUCAAAAUAUACAUAUAACAUUUAAAACUUUAAAAGCUUACCAAGCCUUAACAAGUCUUGAGUCGAAAUUGAGCAACCCCCCAUGGAUUGACGCCCAAGUAGCUAGUAUCACUCACUGCUAAUUUUAUCCCUCUUCCAUUGCUCCACUUGAGCUCUGAGUCAAGGUGGUUCGCAAUCAAUGGAUAUCCUCGUCUCUGCAAUCGUGGGUGACCUCAUCAGCAGGUCUGCAUCGUUCGUGAUUAGCAGAUACUUCCAGCAGCAACCUGACAUCAAUAAGAUUCUACAGAGGCUAUGGAGUGUCCUACUGAGAAUCGGUAUCUUCGUCGAGGAGGCCGAGGCACGGCACAUCACCAACCAGGGGAUGCUCCGUCAGCUCAAGAUGUUGAGGCAAGGAAUGUACAGAGGCCACUAUGUUCUCGAUGCCUUGCGAUUCCAAGCCGCCCGCGGCGAGGAGGAGAUGAGCCACUCGUCAUCUGCACUGUCCAAAUCCAGUCCAACCAAAUGCCUUCGUUUCUCUCGCACCCGCAGUGGCAGCAGCAGCAGCAACAGAGAAGCACUGUUGUUUGGCACAAACAACAACAUACAAGACGAGCUGCAACGGAUGGUUGAUACCCUUGAAGACACCGUGGCUGGUAUGAAGGAGUUUCUUUUCUUCAUGGAGCUGUAUCCUCGGAUCCUCCGCCAACCUUAUGGUAUGUAUUUGCUAUUGGACAACUGCAUGUUUGGUCGCCAAAUGGAACGGGAACAGGUUCUGAAUUUCUUGCUUAGUCCUGGUGCUACAUCAGACUUGGCUGUACUUCCGAUUGUUGGUCCAAUAAGAGUAGGGAAGAGCACCCUUGUUGAACAUGUCUGUAGGGAUGAGAGUGUGCGCAGUCACUUCUCGAUGAUCCUGUUCUUUCCACAAGGUAGUCUCAGGGAUGAAGGGGUGGUUGACCUGAAAAGAAACAAUAUUAAUGGUCUAGUAAGAUAUCGAAACUCUGCUUCUCAGACCAGGUUGCUGAUUAUUGUUGAAAUAGCUGAGGAUAUUAAUGAAGGAACAUGGAGAAGGCUGAAAUCCUCCACAACCGGCAUGACACCGUGCGGUGGGAGCAAAAUUAUAAUAACCAGUCGAUCAGAUAGAAUUGUGAAUCUGGGAACAACGGAAGCACUUCGACUGGACUUUCUCCCUCCAGAAGCUUACUGGCAUUUUUUCAAGUCACUUGUAUUCAGAAGCACAAACCCUGAUGAGCAGCCAAAACUAGCAACAAUGGCCAUGGAGAUCGCUUUGGAACUGCGACAGGGUUUCACAAGCGCGCAUAUCGCUUCUGGGAUAUUGCGACAUAACUUUAAUGCUCGAUUCUGGUGCACAGUUCUUGAAUGUGUAAGAGAAAGUAGACAGACAAAUCUCAAUAUGUUUGGCCAGCACCCAAACCUUCGUUUACGGGAAGAUGCACCGGUGUAUUGUUGGAGAUUGGUGAAGAGCUGCAGAUAUUUCUUGAUUCACAACUAUCAUCAGUCAGAUUCCAGUGAGAAUGUCCCUAAGAUCAAUCUGAGGGACAUCGUCUUAGGAUCUGGUGGUAAACUACCCUGUGGAGAAUUUGAGGCUCUUGCAUGGAAGUCGCGCAUACCGCCCUACUACAACUACAGGGUAAGCUGUAAGAUGCAAGCACCACAACUUACAGUAGGAAGGAAGAAGCGUGUGCGUCAAGAGGAAGAACAUUUUGUUUGAAUAGCACACUGUCUGUGACUCAUAUCAUGUAUACUACCAUGUUGUCCUGUGAAUUAGGAAAUAUUAUUACUCAGGAGUCUUGCCAAGUUAGUUAACAUAUAUGUCUAUUAACAUGUAGGCAUGCCGGACUUCUAUCCUCGUAGCAUAAGUCUGUACUUUCAGAUUCAAUACAGUGUUAGCAUUCCGGUUAAAUCAGAGUCCAAGACAAAAUGUAUUUAUAAAGUUGAGUGCUUGAGUCUGUAUCCUAGUGAUCAGGAUACUAUGUAUAACCUAUAAACUUAAGCCUUGCUAUCACACAUGUAUUGAUCUUUGGGCAUGAAGAAAAGAGUAAGGAAAAGUGCAUCAAAUUUGCUCUGUUUCCCAUGUACGCGUGUGUUUGAUCCUUGGGCAAAAGGCCAAUAUGUUUCAAUUCCUCUGUCACAUUUAUUUUUUUGUGACAGAUUCCUUUCUUGCUGGAUUUAAAGAUCAGAAAGAUAAGCUGGAUCAGGAGUAGUGGCAUUACCUGGAGGCCAGGUGAUGCAGCUCCCGCUAAUCUGAAGGGACAAUUCCAUUUCUCUCCCUAACUUGAGCCACCACCUGGCGUUUGCCCCUAAUUUUCAGUUAUGCUCAAAAAUAAACCUCUUCCGUCAAGUCACCUUACAGAAAUGCCCUUCUGUGUCGUUACCGUCCGGUCAAAGGGCUUUGACCGUCUGGCGAAUAGUAACGUGGUGAACAGUAAAUUCGAAAAAAAAUUAAAAAAAUCUAAAAUUUUGUGGGAUCGAAGAUACUCAAGGGAUCAAGGUGCUUGCAAAUUUUCGCGUAGUUUGGACAUUCCAGCAGCUCGUGUCAAAGGAAAAACUUUAAAAUGUACGCUGUGAACAGUAAAUUCAAAAAACAUAGCUAGAAAAUUCAAAAAAAUAUGAAAUUUUUUGGCAUCAAAGAGGCUGGGGUGCGUGCAAAUUUUUGUUGUGUUUCGACACUGUAGGAGCUCGUGGAGAAAAAAACAAAAUCUGGCGAAAAAAACUUUGAAAAAAAUGCACUGUUUUGUUUUUUUUUUUUGCUAGAGCACCUCGCAUGUCAUUUGAUCACAAAAAUUUGCAAGCACCUUGCGCACCCAAGCCUCUUUGAUGCCAAACAAAUUCAUAUUUUUUAAAAUUUUCUUGCUAUUGUUUUUGAAUUUACUGUUCAUAGCGUAUAGAUUUAUAUUUUUUUCCUUUGCCACGAGUUCCUGGAAUGUCCAAAUAGCAGGAAAAUUUGCAUGCACCUUGCGCCCUUGAGUAUCUUCGAUCCCACAAAAUUUCAGAUUUUUUUGAUAUUUUUUUCGAAUUUACUGUUCACCAUGUUACUAUUCACCAGAUGGUCAAAGCCCUUUGACCGGACGGCAAUGGCAUUUCUAUAAGGUGAAUUGACGGAAGAGGGGUAUUUUUUAGCAUACCUGAAAAUUAGGGGCAAAUGCCAGGUGGUGGCUCAAGUUAGGGGGAGAAAUGGAAUUGUCCCUAAUCUGAAUAUAUCAACACCUGAAACUGAAGGUGCAGGUGCAGAUUCAGUUAACGGAAAGAAAGAAUGGAUGGGGUUAACGGACCUCUGAGUUUGCUGCUGUUGUCGUUAACUCGGUUUAGUUACCAAGUUACUGCUAACUACAGUAUAAGUGUCCUGGCAAAAAAAAAUAUACUACUAUCAGCGGUAAAAGGAGAACUGGUAUCUGACGAUAUUUCUCUCACUGAACAGUAGAAACCAAAGCAAAUUCAACUAUUCCUGGAGCCAAAGGCCAAAAUCCCUUGUAGACUGUCUUGCCACCCAUUUCUGAGUCUUUUAUCAAAAUUCAACCCUCCGGUCAAUAAACGGUAUGGUUUUUCUCAUGUCUCAUUUAUGGUUUUUGACUAAACCAGCACUCUUUGUAGAACAGUCUACCCAAAUUAAGUCCAACUUGUAUAACCUGUCAAGAAGAAAUUUCUACAAGGAAAAAGGGCACCAGUUAGUUAGUUCUGAUGUGACAUCUUGACUUGUACUCCCUCCGUUCCUAAAUAUUUGUCUUUUUAGAGAUUUUAAAUGGACUAUCACAUACGGAUGUAUAUAGACAUAUUUUAGAGUGUAGAUUUACUCAUUUUGCUCCAUAUGUAGUCAUUUGUUGAAAUAUCUAGAAAGACAAAUAUUUAGGAAAGGAGGGAGUAAUAAAUUAUGCUUGUGUGCAUCAUCUAUCAUCUAGAUGCAGAUGCCCCAGAGGUAUAAAAUAAGAUAAAUGUAAAGGAAGGAAACAAAAGCAGUGUUGUUUUGGCAUAGUUUUGCAACGAGUCAAGUCAGACUCAAUUCACAUGGCAGCCCAAGACUCGCUCAAAAAUUUACCAGGGCACCACCACAGCAUAUAAUAUCCAGCAGUAGCCUCAGUGACUCACACUACUUUGCCAUGGUUAACCUUGAAAUCUUCCAUCCACAACACCUACCCUGGUGGCUCGGUCUUGAGUCAAAAUUGAGCAACACCCCCAUGGCUUGACGCCCAAGUAGCUAGUGUCACUCACUGCUAAUUUUAUCCCUCUUCCAUUGCACCACUUGAGCUCUGAGUCAAGGUGGUUUGCAAUCAAUGGAUAUCCUCGUCUCUGCAAUCGUAGGUGACUUCAUCAGCAGGUCUGCAUCGUUCAUGAUCAGCAAAUACUUCCAGCAGCAGCCUGACCUCAACAAGAUUCAACAGAGGCUACAGAGAGUCCUACUGAGAAUCGACAUCAUCGCCGAGGAGGCCGAAGCGCGGGACAUCACCAACCAGGGGAUGCUCCGUCAGCUCAAGAUGUUGAGGCAAGGAAUGUACAGAGGCCGCUAUGUUCUUGAUGCCUUGAGAUUCCAAGCGGCCCUCGACGAGGAGGUAAGCCACUCAUCAUCUGCGCUCUGUAAAUAUAGUCCAGCCAAACGGCUCUGUUUCUCUCGCGCCGGCAGUGGCAGCAGCAACAGAGAAGCGCUGUUGUUUGGCACAAACAGCAACAUGAGGGAAGAGCUGCAACGGAUGGUUGAUACCCUUGAAGAGACCGUUUCUGGCAUGAAGGAGUUUAUUUUCUUCUUGGAGUCAUAUCCCCGGAUACACCGCCAACCUUAUGGCACAUAUUUGGUAUUGGACAAUUGCAUGUUUGGUCGGCAAACGGAACGGGAGCGGGUCCUGAAUUUCUUGCUUUGUCCCAGUGCUACUUCAGACUUGGCUGUACUUCCGAUCAUUGGUCCAAGAAGAGUAGGGAAGAGCACCCUUGUUGAGUACAUCUGUAGGGAUGAGAGUGUGCGUGAUGGCUUCUCCAUGAUCAUGUUCUUUCCAGAAGGCAGUCUCAAGGAUGAAGGAGUGGUCGACCUGAAAGGGAACAUUAUGAAUAGUCUAGUCAGACAUGAGAAUUUUGCUUCUCAAAACAGGUUGCUGAUUAUUGUUGAAAUAGCCGAGGGCAUUAGCGAGGAAACACUGAGAAGCCUGAAAUCUUCCGCAACCUUCAUCACACCUUGCGGUGGCUGCAAAAUCAUAAUCACCAGUCGCUCGGAUAGAGUAGUGAAUCUGGGAACAACAGAAGCACUUCGACUGGACUAUCUCUCUCAGGAAGCUUAUUGGCAUUUUUUCAAGUCGCUUGCAUUCGGAAGCAGAAGCCCUGAUGAACAGCCAAAACUGGCAUCGAUGGCCAUGGAGAUCGCUUUGGAACACAAACAGUGUUUCGCAAGCGCGCAUAUCAUUGCUGGGAUGCUGCGAGAUAACUUCAAUGCUCAAUUCUGGAGCACAAUUCUUGAUUGUGUGAGAGCAUUUAAACAGACACAUCUCCUUAUGUUUGGCCAGCACCCAUACCUUCGUAUGCGGGAAGAUGCACCGGUGUAUGGUUGGAGAUUGGCGAGCAGCAGCAAAUAUUUCUUGGUUUGCAACACUUGUCAGUUAGGUUCCAGUGAGGAAGUCCCGAAGAUCAGUGUGCAGGACAUCAUCUUAGGACAUGGUGGUACACUACCACGUGGGCAAUUUGAGGCCCUUGGAUGGAGGUCUCGCAUACCUCCCUACUACAACUACAUGGUAAGCUGUAAGAUGCAAGAACCACAAAUUACUGUGGGAAGGAAGAAGCGCGCGCAUCAGGAGGAAGAACAUUUGAUUUGAAUAACCAUGUUGUCUGUGGCUCACAUCAUAGGAAGUAUUAUUACGCUGCAUCUAGGAGUCCUGCCAAAUUAGUUAAUAACUUAAUAUAUUUCUUGUAGCGUUUGGAUGCUUGUGUUUGGGUCAAGGCAAUGUUCGCAUUGCCGGUUGAAUUAGAAUCCAAGACAAGUCGUAUUUAUAAAGUUGAGCACUUAUUAGUCUCUACGUAUCAUGUGGGUACUCCAUAAAACUAAGCCUUGUGAUAAUCCUUGGACUUGAAGAAAAGGGUAGAGAAAAAAUUGCCCCAAAUUUGCUCUGUUUCUGAUGUGUGAGUGAGGUUGAUUCUUGGGCGAAAGCCAACAAGUUUCAACUCCUCUGUCACACGCAUUUUCUGCGACAGAGUCUUUUCUUGCUGGGUGAAAAGAUCAGAAAGUUAAUCUGGAAUGGGAUGGGAGUAUUAGCGCUACCUGCAGCUCAGGGCGGUGGGAAGGUAAUGAUAAAGAUAAAACUAAGUUGUUGGUUUCUUGUAUAUCAUCCAAUGAACCGAGCUGCAUUUUGUAUCUUUUGACUCGGACAAAACAAUAUUUUGGGUAACAAAAUAUCACGAGAAAGAACAUUUGUAGACACCAGGCAUGUAGUAGUAGUACAUUGUGCUUUCAGAGUCAAGUUUAGAGUCAAAAACAAGUUGAAUUUUUAAAGUUGUCUAAAUAUUGGGCAAGUACUUCAAAUUUAUCUGAAUAUUGAACACAGGACUGAAAGAAUCCCCAUGGAUUGUUACUGAAAGAACUCCCAAUGGUUCAGCAAUGAGAACUGCAGGGAAUACUCAGAUUGGCUAUUGGAGAAGCAGUGUGGGGGUGUUGGUGGGCGGGGGCGGGAGCUGCAGUACCUGGAGCAAAGGGGCGGCGAUGUCGGCGGCCAGUCAGCGGCGGGAAUGCCGGGUCCGCCGAAGUGGGUUAUGCUGGCAUCGAGGAGGGCCGGCCGUGCAAACGCACAAGUGCUAGCUGAGGAGGUCAUGCGCCAUGGGUUGGAGGGCGUGCGAGCCGGCCGCGGGCCGCCGGCGCCGCGCGGGAUUUGUCGCCGGCGGUGAGCAAUAAAAUGAGUAGGUACCAGCCUGCCAGAGUCAGCAGGAAGUUGGACCUUUUCCCCUUCCUUUGGGCUGGGCUUUAGGUGGACCUUGACCUGAUCAUACCCCGGGCCGGGCUAAACAAUGCACGUCUGAUUCUAAAAAAAAAUGUACGUCUGAGAAUAUCAAGUUGAGCCAGGACCGGCCCAGCCCAAAUGUUAUUUCCUAAGGGAAAAUUUUGUUUUUGCCCCUCUAGAUUUUGCCAAGUUUUCUUAUGCCACUCUAUUUUGACAUUUCACUUUUGCCACUCUUAGUUUUUGACAAUUAUCACAAUUGUCAUUCCCGUGACAAAAUUUUCCCUUAAAAUAAAUCUAUUUAUCAUACGCAAUAUUCACCAGGGCUUGACAUGCCGCGAAUCCUCUUGAAAGAGAGGGGUGCCCUCGGGAACGCGGACACAGGUGGUGCAUGGCGAAUAAACUUCCAUUUAUGACCUAGUUUGGGCUUUUUCAUGCUUUGGACGCGAAAGGUUGAGGUGUCAUCAAGGUUGAUAUAAAAAAAACAUAUCAUAUAACCCAUGGAGGAUGACAUCAAGUGGUGAUCAUCAUCAAGGUUGCGGUGUGCAAAUUCAAGUGUAGCAUCACGAAGAGAUCGGACUUGAAGCUUGCCAUCCAUUCUCAUGAUAAUGGACAUGUGAAGAUGUGCCUAAGAGAGGCUCACCCAUACUGGAGUAUGUGGGAGCAAUCUAGUAGUCUUCAUCGAGUGUACGCUAUCAAUAAAGGUGGUCCAACUUGAGGAAGUCAAGAUCGUCAUCAUCUAGCUCAAGUGAACUAUGCGCAAGGGAAAGGUUUGCCCUUGAUAGGUUUUCUAUUUUACCGGUCUCAUGGUGCUAGUUGGGAGACCGGGUUAUAGGUUAGUUUCCUGUACUAUCAAGGGGGGCUCUCAAGUGAAUAGUUUGAUUGUAUCGUUCAUAGAGAGCUCAAACCAUUGCAUCCUUGGCAUCAUCUUUCUUGGUUCUUGUUUGGCUUUUCUCUAUGUGAGUUUUGGAGCUUGUGGUCAUCUUCAUGACAAGUUCAAGUUCAUCCAAAACGGAUUUCCUAUAUGCAUCAUCUAUUGUAUUUUCAAUGUUGGAGUUUUUGUCGGUUCUUCACUGGUGGAGGUUUCACACCUCUAUAUCAUUGGCAUAUUUCAAUCCAUGAUUUGACAGCUCUUACCGUUAGCUUUCUAUCAAGCUUGAGUUCAUCAAAAUCAGAGUUCACUUGCAGAAGUAUGAUAGUUUUGAUCUUACUUGUUUCAUCUGUUGUGCAUUGGUCUUUUGGCAGAGACCAAGCAGUAGUACCACUGGUGCCCACGGUAGUACAACUUCGGAUGUACUUCUGUUGGCUUGUACCGCGCUACUUCCGCUUGGCUGGAGUCUUCAGUUGCCCCUCGACUACUCGCGGUAGUACCGCUUGUCUUAUGGCGGUAAUACCGCUUAAGCGGUACUUAUGCUGGGUAGUACCGCGGCUACUUCCGCUUGAGUUGAGUCUUCUAUAUGCUCUCUGCCAAUUUAUGGUAGUAUUGCUAGCACUAUAUUGUAGUACCUCUUCGUGCGGUACUUCCGCUCUCGUGAUGUGUUGGCUAUGCUGAUUCUAACGAAACUACCAUUCUAGUACUUCAGUACUCGUUGGGUUGUGUUGACCGGGCUAAGCGGUAGUACUGCUUCCCCGAGCAGUAGUCCCGUUGGUGCACGACCUAUGUGCAUAAUGGUUGGAUUUGAGCCCCCUCUAUAAAAGGGGGUCUUCUUCCCCAUUGCCCCAGCGUUUAUUUGUAGGCUUCCUCCUCCAUUAUCGACCUCCGAAAGCUUUGUUUUCUCUAUAAUCCUCCCAUGAAUCUUGCAUCUUUUUGAGGGAAAGGAUAGAGAGGAUCUAGAUCUACAUUUUCGCCAAUCCAUAUCUCCUCUAAGUGAGGGGAACCUUGUGGAUCUGGAUCUUGGAGUUCUUUUGUGUUUUCCUUGUUUUUCCUCUCAUAUUCCUCCAUAGCUUCAUUGCAUUGGUGGGAUUUGAGAGUGCGGGACUUGAGCACUUCGUGUGUUCUUGCCAUUGUAUUAGUUGCAUCGGUACGUACGAGUUCUCCACGGUGAUACGUGGAAGUGAAAGUUUAGAAGCUUAUUACUCUUGGGUGUUUCGGCACCCUAGAGCUUGUGCCUCUUGGGUGCUUGGGCACCCUAGAUGGUUGGUUGUAUUGCGGAGCUCAAUCAUUGUGGUGUAAAGCUGCAGGCAAGCUUCAGGGUCUCCAAUUAAGUUGUGAAGAUUGCCCCAAGAAAAUUUAUCGUGAAUGAUGAGAGGAGUCCACUCAUCGUGAGAAUAACCCACCUAGCAUGGAAGAUACUGAGGGCCCCCAAUCGCCACAUGAGCGAUUUGGGGCUCUUGCAUGGAGGUCUCGCAUACCACCCUACUACAACUACACGAUAAGCUGUAAGAUGCAAGCACCACAACUUACAGUAGGAAGCAAGAAGCGGGUGCAUCAGGAGGAAAAACAUUUCAUUUGAGUAGCACAAUGUAUGUGACUCACCAUGUAUGGUACUGCCUUUGAAGGAAAUAUGCCCUAGAGGCAAUAAUAAAGUUAUUAUUUAUUUCCUUAUAUCAUGAUAAAUGUUUAUUAUUCAUGCUAGAAUUGUAUUAACCGGAAACAUAAUACAUGUGUGUGAAUACAUAGACAAAGAGAGUGUCACUAGUAUGCCUCUAAUUGACUAGCUCGUUAAUCGAAGAUGGUUAUGUUUCCUAACCAUGAACAAACGAGUUGUUAUUUGAUUAACGGGAUCACAUCAUUAGAAGAAUGAUGUGAUUGACAUGACCCAUUCCAUUAGCUUAGCACCCGAUCGUUUAGUAUGUUGCUAUUGCUUUCUUCAUGACUUAUACAUGUUCCUAUGACUAUGAGAUUAUGCAACUCCCAUUUACCGGAGGAACACUUUGUGUGCUACCAAACGUCACAACGUAACUGGGUGAUUAUAAAGGAGCUCUACAGGUGUCUCCAAAGGUGAAUGUUGGGUUGGCGUAUUUCGAGAUUAGGAUUUGUCACUCCGAUUGUCGGAGAGGUAUCUCUGGGCCCUCUCGGUAAUGCACAUCACAUAAGCCUUGCAAGCAUUACAACUAAUGAGUUAGUUGCAAGAUGAUGUAUUACAAAACGAGUAAAGAGACUUGCCAGUAACGAGAUUGAACUAGGUAUUGAGAUACCGACGAUCGAAUCUCGGGCAAGUAACAUACCAAUGACAAAGGGAACAACGUAUGUUGUUAUGCGGUCUGACCGAUAAAGAUCUUCGUAGAAUAUGUAGGAGCCAAUAUGAGCAUCCAGGUUCCGCUAUUGGUUAUUGACCGAAGACGUGUCUCGGUCAUGUCUACAUUGUUCUCGAACCCGUAGGGUCCGCACGCUUAAGGUUUCGAUGACAGUUAUAUGAUGAGUUUAUGCAUUUUGAUGUACCGAAGUUUGUUCGGAGUCCCGGAUGUGAUCACGGACAUGACGAGGAGUCUUGAAAUGGUCGAGACAUAAAGAUUGAUAUAGUGGAAGCCUAUAUUUGGAUAUCGGAAGUGUUCCGGGUGAAAUCGGGAUUUACCAGAGUACCAGGAGGUUACCAGAACCCCCCGGGAGGUAUAUUGGCCUUAGUGGGCUUUAGUGGAAGAGAGGAGAGGUGGCCAGGGCUGGGCCGCGUGCCCCUCCCCCCUAGUCCGAAUAGGACAAGGAGAGGGGGGCGGUGCCCCCCUUCCUUCUCUCUCUCCUCUUUCCCCCUUCCCGAAUCCGAUUCCAACUAGGAAAGGGGGGGAAUCCUACUCCCGAUGGGAAUAGGACUCCUCCUGGCGCGCCCUCCUCCUGGCCGGCCGCACCUCCCCUUGCUCCUUUAUAUACGGGGGCAGGGGGGACCCCUAGAGACACAAGUUGAUCCACGUGAUCAUAUUCUUAGCCGUGUGCGGUGCCCCCUUCCACCAUAAUCCUCGAUAAUAUUGUAGCGGUGCUUAGGCGAAGCCCUGCAACGGUAGAACAUCAAGAUCGUCACCACGCCGUCGUGCUGACGGAACUCUUCCCCGACACUUUGCUAGAUCGAAGUCCGGGGAUCGUCAUCGAGCUGAACGUGUGCUAGAACUCAGAGGUGCCGUAGUUUCGGUGCUUGAUCGGUCGAGCCGUGAAGACGUACGACUACAUCAACCGCGUUGUGCUAACGCUUCCGCUGUCGGUCUACAAGGGUACGUAGAUCACACUCUCCCCUCUCGUUGCUAUGCAUUACCAUGAUCUUGCGUGUGCGUAGGAAUUUUUUUGAAAUUACUACGUUCCCAACAGUGGCAUCCGAGCCUAGGUUUUAUGUGUUGAUGUUAUAUGCACGAGCAGAACACAAGUGAGUUGUGGGCGAUAUAAGUCAUAUUGCUUACGAGCAUGUCAUACUUUGGUUCAACGGUAUUGUUGGACGAAGCGGCCCGGACCGACAUUACGCGUAAGCUUACGCGAGACCGGUUCUCCCGACGUGCUUUGCACAAAGGUGGCUAGCGGGUGACAGUUUCUCCAACUUUAGUUGAACCAAGUGUGGCUACGCCCGGUCCUUGCGAAGGUUAAAACAACACCAACUUGACAAACUAUCGUUGUGGUUUUGAUGCGUAGGUAAGAUUGGUUCUUGCUUAAGCCCGUAGCAGCCACGUAAAACUUGCAACAACAAAGUAGAGGACGUCUAACUUGUUUUUGCAGGGCAUGUUGUGAUGUGAUAUGGUCAAGACAUGAUGCUAAAUUUUACUGUAUGAGAUGAUCAUGUUUUGUAACCAAGUUAUCGGCAACUGGCAGGAGCCAUAUGGUUGUCGCUUUAUUGUAUGCAAUGCAAUUGCGUUGUAAUGCUUUACUUUUCACUAAGCGGCAGCGAUAGUCAUGGAAGCAUAAGAUUGGCGAGACGACAACGAUGCUACGAUGGUGAUCAAGGUGUUGCGCCGGUGACGAUGGUGAUCACGACGGUGCUUCGAAGAUGGAGAUCACAAGCACAAGAUGAUGAUGGCCAUAUCAUAUCACUUAUAUUGAUUGCAUGUCAUGUUUAUCUUUUAUGCAUCUUAACUUGCUUUGAUUGACGGUAGCAUUUUAAGAUGAUCUCUCACUAAUUAUCAAGAAGUGUUCUCCCUGAGUAUGCACCAUUGCGAAAGUUCUUCGUGCUGAGACACCACAUGAUGAUCGGGUGUGAUAGGCUCUACGUUCAAAUACAACGGGUGCAAAACAAUUGCACACGCGGAAUACUCAGGUUAUACUUGACGAGCCAAGUAUAUACAGAUAUGGCCUCGGAACACGGAGACCGAAAGGUCGAGCGUGAAUCAUAUAGUAGAUAUGAUCAACAUAGUGAUGUUCACCAUUGAAACUACUCCAUCUCACGUGAUGAUCGGACAUGGUUUAGUUGAUUUGGAUCACGUGAUCACUUAGAAGAUUAGAGGGAUGUCUUUCUAAGUGGGAGUUCUUAAGUAAUAUGAUUAAUUGAACUUUAAAUUUAUCAUGAACUUAGUCCUGGUAGUAUUUUGCAAAUUAUGUUGUAGAUCAAUAGCUCGCGUUGUUGCUUCCCUGUGUUUAUUUUGAUAUGUUCCUAGAGAAAAUUGUGUUGAAAGAUGUUAGUAGCAAUGAUGCGGAUUGGAUCCGUGAUCUGAGGUUUAUCCUCAUUGCUGCACAGAAGAAUUAUGUCCUUGAUGCACCGCUAGGUGACAGACCUAUUGCAGGAGCAGAUGCAAACGUUAUGAACGUUUGGCUAGCUCAAUAUGAUGACUACUUGAUAGUUUAGUGCACCAUGCUUAACAGCUUAGAAUCGGGACUUCAAAGACGUUUUGAAUGUCAUGGACCAUAUGAGAUGUUCCAGGAGUUGAAGUUAAUAUUUCAAGCAAAUACCCGAGUUGAGAGAUAUGAAGUCUCCAACAAGUUCUAUAGCUAAAAGAUGGAGGAGAAUCGCUCAACUAGUGAGCAUGUGCUCAGAUUGUUUGGGUACUACAAUCGCUUGAAUCAAGUGGGAGUUAAUCUUCCAAAUAAGAUAGUGAUUGACAGAAUUCUCUAGUCACCAUCACCAAGUUAGUAGAACUUCGUGAUGAACUAUAGUAUGCAAGGGAUGACGAAAACGACUCCCAAGCUUUUCAUGAUGAUGAAAUCGAUGAAGGUAGAAAUCAAGAAAGAGCAUCAAGUGUUGAUGGUUGACAAGAUCACUAGUUUCAAGAAAAGGGCAAAGGAAAAAAAGGGGAACUUCAAGAAGAAUAGCAAGCAAGUUGCUGCUCAAGUGAAGAAGCCCAAGUCUGGUCCUAAUCCUGAGACUAAGUGCUUCUACUGCAAAGGGAUUGGUGACUGGAAGUGGAACUACCCCAAGUGAUUGGCAGAUAAGAAGGAUGGCAAAGUGAACAUAAGUAUAUUUGAUAUACAUGUUAUUGAUGUGUACUUUACUAGUGUUUAUAACAACCCCUCAGUAUUUGAUACUAGUUCAGUUGCUGAUUAGUAACUCGAAAUGGGAGUUGCAGAAUAAACAGAGACUAGUUAAGGGUGAAGUGAUGAUGUGUGUUGGAAUUGGUUCCAAGAUUGAUAUGAUCAUCAUCGCACACUCCCUAUACUUUCGGGAUUAGUGUUGAAACUAAAUAAGUGUUAUUUGUUGUUUGCGUUGAGCAUAAAUAUGAUUGGAUCAUGUUUAUUGCAAUAUGGUUAUUCAUGUAAGUUAGAGAAUAAUUGUUGUUCUGUUUACAUGAAUAAAACCUUCUAUGGUUACACACCCAAUGAAAAUGGUUCAUUGGAUCUCGAUCGUAGUGAUACACAUAUUCAUAAUAUUGAAGCCAAAAGAUGCAAAGUUAAUAAUGAUAGUGCAACUUAUUUGUGGCACUGCCGUUUAGGUCAUAUUGGUGUAAAGCGCAUGAAGAAACUCCAUGCUGAUGGGAUUUUGGAAUCACUUGAUUAUGAAUUAGUUGACGCUUGCGAACCAUGCCUCAUGGGCAAGAUGACUAAGACUCCGUUCUCCGGAACAAUGGAGCGAGCAACAAACUUGAUUGGAAAUAAUACAUACUGAUGUAUGCAGUCCAAUGAGUGUUGAGGCUCGCUGCGGGUAUCGUUAUUUUCUGACCUUCACAGAUGAUUUGAGCAGAUAUGAGUAUAUCUACUUGAUGAAACAUAAGUCUGUAACAUUUGAAAAGUUCAAAGAAUUUCAGAGUGAAGUGGAAAAUCAUCGUGACAAAAAAUAUAUGGUUUCUACGAUCUGAUCGCGGAGACAAAUAUUUGAGUUACGAGUUUGGUCUCCAGUUAAAACAAUAUGAAAUAGUUUCACUACUCACGCCACCUGGAACACCACAGUGUAAUGGUGUGUCCGAACGUCAUAACCGUACUUUAUUAGAUAUAGUGCGAUCUAUGAUGUCUCUUACCGAUCUACCACUGUCGUUUUGGGGUUAUGCAUUAGAGACAGCUACAUUCACAUUAAAAAGGGCACCAUCUAAAUCCAUUGAGACGGCACCGUAUGAACUGUGGUUUGGCGAGAAACCUAAGCUGUCGUUUCUUAAAGUUUGGGACUGCAAUGCUUAUGUGAAAAAGUUUCAACAUGAUAAGCUCAAACCCAAAUCGGAGAAGUAUGUCUUCAUAGGAUACCCAAAGGAGACUGUUGGGUACACCUUCUAUCACAGAUCCGAAGGCAAGACAUUCGUUGCUAAGAAUGGAUCCUGUCUAGAGAAGGAGUUUCUCUCGAAAGAAGUGAGUGGGAGGAAAGUAGAAAACUUGAUAAGGUAAUUGUACCUUCUCCCUUAUUGGAAUGUAGUUCAUCACAGAAAUCUGUUCUUGUGACUACUACACCAAUUAGUGAGGAAGCUAAUGAUGAUGAUCAUGUAACUUCAGAUCAAGUUACUACCGAAUCUCGUAGGUAAACCAGAGUGAGAUCCGCACUAGAGUGGUACGGUAAUCCUGUUCUGGAAGUCAUGUUACUAGACCAUGACGAACUUGCGAACUAUGAGGAAGCGAUGAUGAGCCCAGAUUCCGCGAAAUGGUUUGAGGCCAUGAAAUCUGAGAUAUGAUCCAUGUAUGAGAACAAAGUAUGGACUUUGAUGGAUUUGCCCGAUGAUCAGCAAGCCAUAGAAAAUAAAUGGAUCUUCAAGAGGAAGACGGACGCUGAUAGUAGUGUUACUAUCUACAAAGCUAGACUUGUCGAAAAAGGUUUUUGACAAAGUUCAAGGUGUUGACUACGAUGAAAUUUUCUCACUCGUAGCGAUGCUUAAGUCUGUCCAAAUCAUGUUAGCAAUUGCCGCAUUUUUAUGAAAUCUGGCAAAUGGAUAAACAAAACUACAUUCCUUAAUGGAUUUAAAGAAGAGUUGUAUAUGAUGCAACCAGAAGGUUUUGUCAAUCCUAAAGGUGCUAACAAAAUAUGCAAGCUCCAGCGAUCCAUCUAUGGACUGGUGCAAGCAUCUCGGAGUUGGAAUAUACGCUUUGAUAAGUUGAUCAAAGCAUAUAGUUUUAUACAGACUUGCGGUGAAGCCUGUAUUUACAAGAAAGUGAGUGGGAGCACUACAUCAUUUCUGAUAAGUAUAUGUGUAUGACAUAUUGUUGAUCGGAAAUAAUGUAGAAUUAUUCUGCAAAGCAUAAAGGAGUCUUUGAAAGGAUUUUGUCAAAGAAAACCUCGGUGAAGCUGCUUACAUAUUGAGCAUCAAGAUUUAUAGAGAUAGAUCAAGACGCUUGGUAAGUUUUUUUUUCAAUGAGUACAUACCUUGACAAGAUUUUGAAGUAGUUCAAAAUGGAACAGUCAAAGAAGGAGUUCUUGCCUAUGUUACAAAGGUGUGAAAUUGAGUAAGACUCAAAGCCCGACCACGGCAAAAGAUAGAAAGAGAAUGCAAGUCAUUCCCUAUGCCUCAGCCAUAGGUUCUAUAAAGUAUGCCAUGCUGUGUACCAGAUCUAUUGUAUACCCUACACUGUGUUAAGCAAGGGAGUACAGUAGUGAUCUAGGAGUAGAUCACUUGACAACGGUCAAAAAUUAUCCUUAGUGGAAUAAGGAUAUGUUUCUUGAUUAUGGAGGUGACAAAAGGUACAUCAUAAAAGGGUUACGUCGAUACAAGUUUUGGCACUAAUCUGGAUGACUCUUAGUCUUCAUCUGGAUACAUAUUGAAAGUGGGAGCAAUUAGCUAAAGUAGCUCCGUGCAAAGCAUUGUAGACAUAGAAAAUUGCAAAAUACUUACGGAUCUGAAUAUGGCAGACCUGUUGACUAAACUUCUCUCACAGGCAAAACAUGAUCACACCUUAGUACUCUUUGGGUGUUAAUCACAUAGCAAUGUGAACUAGAUUACUAACUCUAGUAAACCCUUUGGGUAUAGGUCACAUGACAAUGUGAACUAUGGGUGUUAACCACAUGGUGAUGUGAACUAUUAGUGUUGAAUCACAUGGCGAUGUGAACUAGAUUAUUGACUCUAGUGCAAGUGGGAGACUGAAGGAAAUAUGCCCUAGAGGCAAUAAUAAAGUUAUUAUUCAUUUCCUUAUAUCAUGAUAAAUGUUUAUUAUUCAUGCUAGAAUUGUAUUAACCGGAAACAUAAUACAUGUGUGUGAAUACAUAGACAAACAGAGUGUCACUAGUAUGCCUCUACUUGACUAGAUCGUUAAUCGAAGAUGGUUAUGUUUCCUAACCAUGAACAAAAGAGUUGUUAUUUGAUUAACGGGAUCACAUCAUUAGAAGAAUGAUGUGAUUGACAUGACCCAUUCCAUUAGCUUAGCACCCGAUCGUUUAGUAUGUUGCUAUUGCUUUCUUCAUGACUUAUACAUGUUCCUAUGACUAUGAGAUUAUGCAACUCCCAUUUACCGGAGGAACACUUUGUGUGCUACCAAACGUCACAACAUAACUGGGUGAUUAUAAAGGAGCUCUACAGGUGUCUCCAAAGGUGAAUGUUGGGUUGGCGUAUUUCGAGAUUAGGAUUUGUCACUCCGAUUGUCGGAGAGGUAUCUCUGGGCUCUCUCGGUAAUGCACAUCACAUAAGCCUUGCAAGCAUUACAACUAAUGAGUUAGUUGCAAGAUGAUGUAUUACGAAACGAGUAAAGAGACUUGCCGGUAACGAGAUUGAAAUAGGUAUUGAGAUACCGACGAUCGAAUCUCGGGCAAGUAACAUAUCGAUGACAAAGGGAACAACGUAUGUUGUUAUGCGGUCUGACCGAUAAAGAUCUUCGUAGAAUAUGUAGGAGCCAAUAUGAGCAUCCAGGUUCCGCUAUUGGUUAUUGACCGAAGACGUGUCUCGAUCAUGUCUACAUUGUUCUCGAACCCGUAGGGUCCGCACGCUUAAGGUUUCGAUGACAGUUAUAUGAUGAGUUUAUGCAUUUUGAUGUACCGAAGUUUGUUCGGAGUCCCGGAUGUGAUCACGGACAUGACGAGGAGUCUCGAAAUGGUCGAGAUAUAAAUAUUGAUAUAUUGGAAGCCUAUAUUUGGAUAUCGGAAGUAUUCCGGGUGAAAUCGGGAUUUGACCGGAGUACCGGGAGGUUACCGGAACCCCCCGGGAGGUAUAUGAGCCUUAGUGGGCCUUAGUGGAAGAGAGGAGAGGUGGCCAGGGCUGGGCCGCGCGCCCCUCCCCCCUAGUCCGAAUAGGACAAGUGGAGGAGGGCGACACCCCCCUUCCUUCUCUCUCUCCUCUUUCCCCCUUCCCGAAUCCUAUUCCAACUAGGAAAGGGGGGGGGGGAAUCCUACUCCCGGUGGGAGUAGGACUCCUCCUGGCGCGCCCUCCUCCUGGCCGGCCGCACCUCCCCUUGCUCCUUUAUAUACGGGGGCAGGGGGCACCCCUAGAGACAAAAGUUGAUCCACGUGAUCAUAUUCUUAGCCGUGUGCGGUGCCCCCUUCCACCAUAAUCCUCGAUAAUAUUGUAGCGGUGCUUAGGCGAAGCCCUGCGACGGUAGAACAUCAAGAUCGUCACCAGGCCGUCGUGCUGACGGAACUCUUCCCCGACACUUUGCUAGAUCAGAGUCCGGGGAUCGUCAUCGAGCUGAACGUGUGCUAGAACUCAGAGGUGUCGUAGUUUCGGUGCUUGAUCGGUCGGGCCGUGAAGACGUACGACUACAUCAACCGCGUUGUGCUAACGAUUCCGCUAUCGGUCUACAAGGGUACGUAGAUCACACUCUCCCCUCUUGUUGCUAUGCAUCACCAUGAUCUUGCGUGUGCGUAGGAAAUUUUUUGAAAUUACUACGUUCCCAACAGCCUUGUCAUGCGAAUUAGAAAAUAUUAUUACACUGUACUAUUUUAGGACUCUUGCCAAAUUAGUUAAUAACUUAAUAUUUCUGGUAGUGUUUGGAUGCUUGUGUUUGGGUAUGUACUUUCAGAGUCAAGGCAAUGUUUGAAUGUAGGUUGAAGAAGAAUCCAAGACAAGUUGCAUUCAUAAAGUUGAGCAUUCAGUCUAUAUGUAUCGUGUGGGUACAACAUAAACCUAAGUCUUGUAAUAAUCCUUGGACUUGAAUAAAAGGGUAGAGAAAAAAUUGCCCCAAAUUUGCUCUGUUUCUGAUGUGUGAGUGAGGUUGAUUCUUGGGUGAAAGCCAACAAGUUUCAAUUCCUCUAUCACACGCAUUUUCUGCGACAAAUUCUUUUCUUGCUGGGUUUAAACUUUAAAGAUCAGAAAGUUAAUGUGGAAUGGGAGUAGUCGCACUAUCUGGAGCUCAGGGCAGUGGGAAGGUAAUGAUAAUGAUAAAACUAAGAGCCUGUUUGGGACUGCUCUGCUCCUUAAAAUUCAGCUUCGCUUCAGGAAACACAAGCCAAACGGGGUAGCUCCACGAUAUGCCGCUCCACAAAAAAACUAGAAUCUGAGGCGCAACUCCCAAUUUCUUAUGAAGCUCUUCAGGGGGUGCUCCAAAAAACUAUAGAAGCUGGAGUUGGGUGGAAAUUACCCACCACUGCCACCAGUAAGUGGAUACCCCUUCGUUUCUCCCCCCUCAACCAAUCAAAUAGAUCCUUUCCACCAGAUUUCUCAUUCUUGAAGCUGAAGCUAGAUGGAAGCCAAACAUUCUCUUUGGUAGUGCUACAACUUCUGGAUGAAUCUGCUCCAAAAUGAAUUUAGUGGAGCGAAACUGAUUUUGGUGGAGCAGAAUAGUCCCAAAAUGCCCUAAGUUGUUGGUUUCUUGUAUAUCAUCCCAUGAACUGAGCUGCAUUUUCUAUCUUUUGACUCGAACACAAAAAAAUUGGAUUACAGAAUAUCAUGAGAGAGAACAUUUUUUGAACUAUUGAGAGAGAACAUUUGAAUUGAGCAACACCCUCUGUGUGACUCACAUCAUGUAUGCUACUGCCUUCUCUUAUGAAUUACGAAAUAUUAUUAAACAGUCCUUAGGAGUCUUGCCAAGUUAACAUAUUUGUCUGUUUUCGUGCAGGCACUAGGCAUGUACUCCCUCCGUAAACAAAUAUAAGAGCGUUUAAACGCUCUAGUAUUUAUAAAGUUGCCAGGUUAACAUAUUUGUUUGCUUUAGGAGUCAAGGUUUAGACUCCAAAACAAGUUGUAUUUAUAAAGUUGUCUGCAAAUUUGUCUGAAUAUUAAACACAACACUGAAAGAAUCCACAUGAAUUUUUACUUAAAGAAUCCCUAUGCACUGUUGCUGUUGAAUGUGUGUGGGGAUUUGGGGUGGUGGGAGGGGGAGCUGCAAUACCUAGAGCGAAGGGGCGGCGAUGUCAGUGGCCAGUCGGCGGUGUGAAUGCCGGGCCUGCCGAAGGGGUCUAUGCUGGCAGGGAGUAGGGCCGAGAACGCAAGUGCUAGAUGAUGGUAGGGGGAGGUCGUGCGCCAUGGGUUGGAGGGCAUGCGAGCCGGCUGCCGGCGCCACGCGGGAUUUGUCGCCAGCGGUGACCAAUGAAAUGAGUAGGUAGGUGCUACCUCUUGAGCACUGCGUUGGUUUUCCCUUGAAUAGAAAAGGGUGAUGCAGCAAAGUAGCGUAAGUAUUUUGCUCAGUUUUUGAGAACCAAGGUAUCAAUCCAGUAGGAGGCCACGCACGAGUCCCUCGCGCCUACACAAACAAAUAAAUCUUCGCAACCAACGCGAUAAGGGGUUGUCAAUCCCUACAUGGUCACUUACGAGAGUGAGAUCUGAUAGAUAUGAUAAGAUAAUAUUUUUGGUAUUUUUUAUGAUAAAGAUGCAAAGUAAAAUAAAAGGCAAUAAAAAUAACUAAGUGUUGGAAGAUUAACAUGAUGGAAAAUAGAGCCGGGGGCCAUAGGUUUCACUAGUGGCUUCUCUCAAGAGCAUAAGUAUUUACGGUGGGUGAACAAAUUACGGUUGAGCAAUUGACAGAAUUGAGCAUAGUUAUGAAAAUAUCUAGGUAUGAUCAUGUAUAUAGGCAUCAUGUCCGAGACAAGUAGACCGACUCCUGCCUGCAUCUACCACUAUUACUCCACACAUUGACAGCUAUCCAGCAUGCAUCUAGAUUAUUAAGUUCAUAAGAACAGAGAAACGCUUUAAGCAAGAUGACAUGAUGUAGAGGGAUAAACUCAUGGAAUAUGAUAUAAACACCAUCUUGUUAUCCUCGAUGGCAACAAUACAAUAUGUGCCUUGCUGCCCCUGCUGUCACUGGGAAAGGACACCGCAAGACUGAACCCAAAGCUAAGCACUUCUCCCAUUGCAAGAAAGAUCAAUCUAGCAGGCCAAACCAAACUGAUAAUUCGAAGAGACUUGCAAAGAUAACCAAUCAUACAUAAAAGAAUUCAGAGAAGAUUCAAAUAUUGUUCAUAGAUAAACUUGAUCACAAACCCACAAUUCAUCAGUCUCAACAAACACACCGCAAAAGAAGAUCACAUCGAAUAGAUCUCCACGAGAGAGGGGGAGAACAUUGUAUUGAGAUCCAAAAAGAGAGAAGAAGCCAUCUAGCUAAUAACUAUGGACCUGAAGGUCUGAAGUAAACUACUUAGACAUCAUCGGAGAGGCUAUGGUGUUGAUGUAGAAGCCCUCCGUGAUCGAUGCCCCCUCCGACGGAGCUCCGGAACAUGCCCCGAGAUGGGAUCUCACGGGUACAAAAGGUUGCGGCGGUGGAAUUAGGUUUUUGGAUCCGUAUCUGGUAGUUUGGGGGUAUGUAGGUAUAUAUAGGAGGAAGGAAUACGUCAGUGGAGCAACAGGGGCCCACGAGGGUGGAGGGCGCGCCCAGGGGGUAGGUGCGCCCCCUACCUCGUGGCCUCCUGGUUGAUGUCUUAAUGUAGGGUCCAAGUCCUCUGGAUCAUGUUCGUUCCGAAAAUCACGUUCCCGAAGGUUUCAUUCCGUUUGGACUCCAUUUGAUAUUCUUUUUCUGUGAAACUCUGAAGUAGGGAAAAAGCAGCAAUUCUGGGAUGGGCCUCCGGUUAAUAGGUUUGUCCCAAAAAUAAUAUAAAAGUGUAUAAUAAAGCCCAAUAAUGUCCAAAGCAGAAUAUAAUAUAGCAUGGAACAAUAAAAAACUAUAGAUACGUUGGAGACGUAUCAAGCAUCCCCAAGCUUAAUUCUUGCUCGUCCUCGAGUAGGUAAAUGAUAAAAACAGAAUUUUUGAUGUGGAAUGCUACUUGGCAUAAUUUCAAUGUAAUUCUUCUUAAUUGUGGUAUGAAUAUUCAGAUCCGAAAGAUUCAAGAUAAAAGUUCAAUAUUGACAUAAAAAUAAUAAUACUUCAAGCAUACUGACUAAGCAAUUAUGUCCGCUCAAAAUAACAUGGCCAAAGAAAGUUCAUCCCUACAAAAGUAUAUAGUUUAGUCAUGCUCCAUUUUCGUCACACAAGAAUGCUCUCAUCAUGCACAACCCCGAUGACAAGCCAAGCAAUUGUUUCAUACUUUAGUAAUCUCAAACUUUUUCAAUCUUCACGCAAUACAUGAGCGUGAGCCAUGGAUAUAGCACUAUGGUGGAAUAGAAUAUAAUGAUGGGGGUUAUGUGGAGAAGACAAAAAGGGAGAAAGUCUCACAUCAACAAGGCUAAUAAAUGAGCUAUGGAGAUGCCCAUCAAUUGAUGUUAAUCCAAGGAGUAGGGAUUGCCAUGCAACGGAUGCACUAGAGCUAUAAAUAUAUGAAAGCUCAACAAAAGAAACUAAGUGGGUGUGCAUCCAACUUGCUUGCUCACGAAGACCUAGGGCAUUUGAGGAAGCCCAUUAUUGGAAUAUACAAGCCAAGUUCUAUAAUGAAAAGUUCCCAUUAGUAUAUGAAAGUGACAAAACAAAAGACUCUCUAUCAUGAAGAUUAUGGUGCUACUUUGAAGCACAAGUCUGGUAAAAAGGAUAGUAACAUUGUGCCUUCUCUCUUUUUCUAUCAUUUUUUUGGGCCUUCUCUUUUUUUAUGGCCUUCCUCUUUUUUUCCUCACUUGGUACAAUGCUCUAGAAAAUGAUGAUCAUCACACUUCUAUUUGUUUACAACUCAAUGAUUACAACUCGAUACUAGAACAAAGUAUGACUCUAUAUGAAUGCCUCCGGCGGUGUACCGGGAUAUGCAAUGAACCAAGAGUGACAUGUAUGAAAGGAUUAUGAAUGGUGGCUUUGCCACAAAUACUAUGUCAACUACAUGAUCAUGCAAAGCAAUAUGACAAUGAUGAACAUGUCAUGAUAAAUGGAACGGUGGAAAGUUGCAUGGCAAUAUAUCUCGGAAUGGCUAUGGGAAUGCCAUAAUAGGUAGGUAUGGUGGCUGUUUUGAGGAAGAUCUAAGGAGGUUUAUGUGUGAAAGAGCAUAUCAUAUCACGGGUUUUGGAUGCACCGGCGAGGUUUGCACCAACUCUCAAUGUGAGAAAGGGCAAUGCACGGUACCAAAGAGGCUAGCAAUGAUGGAAAGGUGAGAGUGUGUGUAAUCCAUGGACUCAACAUUAGUCAUAAAGAACUCACAUACUUAUUGCAAAAAUCUACAAGUCAUCAAAAACCAAGCACUACGCGCAUGCUCCUAGGGGGAUAGAUUGGUAGGAAAAGACCAUCGCUCAUCCCCGACCGCCACUCAUAAGGAGGACAAUCAAAGAACACCUCAUGUUUCAAAUUUGUUACAUAACGUUUACCAUACGUGCAUGCUACGGGACUUGCAAACUUCAACACAAGUAUUUUUAAAAUUCACAACUACUCAACUAGCACAACUUUGAUAUCACUACCUCCAUGUCUCAAAGCAAUCGUCAAGCAUCAAACUUCUCUUAGUAUUCAACACACUCAUAAGAAAGUUUUUACUAGUCUUGAAUACCUAGUAUAUUAGGUUUAUUUAAGUAAAUUACCAUGAUAUUUAAGACUCUAAAAAUAAUCUAAGUGAAGCAUGAGAGAAUAAUAGUUUCUAUAAAACAAAACCACCACCGUGCUCUAAAAUAUAUAAGUUAAGUACUAGAGCAAAAACUAUAUAACUCAAAAGAUAUAAGUGAAGCACAUAGAUUAUUCUAAUAUUUUCCGAAUCAUGUGUGUCUCUCUCAAAAGGUGUGUACAGCAAGGAUGAUUAUGGUAAACUAAAAAGCAAAGACUCAAAGCAUACAAGACGCUCCAAGUAAAACACAUAUCAUGUGGUGAAUAAAAAUAUAGCUCCAAGUAAAGUUACCGAUGGAAGUAGACAAAAGAGGGGAUGCCAUCCGGAGCAUCCCCAAGAUUUGGCUUUUAGGUGUCCUUAGAUUAUCUUGGGGUGCCAUGGGAAUCCCCAAGCUUAGGCUCUUGACACUCCUUGUUCCAUAAUCCAUCAAAUCUUUAACCAAAACUUGAAAACUUCACAACACAAAACUUAAAGUAGAAAAUCUCAUGAGCUCCGUUAGCGAAAGAAAACAAAACACCACUUCAAGGUACUGUAAUGAACUCAUUAUUUAUUUAUAUUGAUGUUAAACCUACUGUAUUCCAACUUCUAUAUGGUUUAUAAACUAUUUUACUAGCCAUAGAUUCAUCAAAAUAAGCAAACAACACACGAAAAACAGAAUCUGUAAAAAACAGAACAGUCUGUAGUAAUCUGUAACUAACGCAAGAUCUGGAACCCCCAAAAUUCUAAAAUAAAUUUAUGGACUUGAGGAAUUUAUAUGUUAAUCAUUUUCAAAAAUAAUUAACUAAAUAGCACUUUCCAAAUAAAAAUGGCAGCAAUUCUCGUGAGUGCUAAAGUUUCUGUUUUUACAGCAAGAUUAAAAAGACUUUCCCCAAGUCUUCCCAACAGUUCUACUUGGAACAAACACUAAUUAAACACAAAAACACAACCAAAACAGAGUCUAGAUAAAUUAUUUAUUACUAAACAGGAGCAAAAAGCAAGGAAUAAAAAUAAAAUUGGGUUGCCUCCCAACAAGCGCUAUCGUUUAACGCCCCUAGCUAGGCAUAAAAAGCAAGGAUAGAUCUAAGUAUUGCCAUCUUUGGUAGGCAAUCCAUAAGUGGCUCUCAUAAUAGAUUCAUAAGGUAAUUUAAUUUUAUUUCUAGGGAAGUGUUCCAUGCCUUUCCUUAACGGAAAUUGGAAUCUAAUAUUCCCUUCCUUCAUAUCAAUAAUUGCACCAAUCGUUCUAAGGAAAGGUCUACCAAGAAUAAUAGGACAUGAAGGAUUGCAAUCUAUGUCAAGAACAAUAAAAUCUACAGGAACACAAUUCCUAUUUGCAACAAUAAGAACAUCAUUAAUUCUUCCCAUAGGUUUCUUAAUAGUGGAAUCUGCAAGGUGCAAGUUUAAAGAGAAAUCAUCAAAAUCACAGAAACCUAGCAAAUCACACAAAGUCUUUGGAAUCGUCGAAACACUAGCACCCAAAUCACACAAAGCAUAGCAUUCAUGAUCUUUAAUUUUAAUUUUAAUAGUAGGUUCCCACUCAUCAUAAAUUUUUCUAGGGAUAGAAACUUCAAACUCAAGUUUUUCUUCAUAAGAUUGCAUCAAAGCAUCAACGAUAUGUUUAGUAAAAGCUUUAUUUUGAUUAUAAGUGAUACGUCUCCAACGUAUCUAUAAUUUUUGAUUGCUUCAUGCUAUAUUAUCUAUUGUUGUGGACUAUAUUGGGCUUUAUUUUCCACUUUUAUAUUAUUUUUGGGACUAACCUAUUAACCGGAGGCCCAGCCCAGAAUUGCUAUUUUUUUGCCUAUUUCAGUGUCUCGAAGAAACGGAAUAUCAAACGGAGUCCAAACGGAAUGAAACCUUCGGGAACGUGAUUUUCUCACCGAGCGUGAUCCAGGAGACUUGGACCCUACGCCAAGGCAUCACAGAGGCGGUCACGAGGGUGGGGCCCCCCCCCCUAGGGCGCGCCCCCUGCCUCGUGGGCCCCUCGGAGCUCCACCGACAUACUCCUUCCUCCUAUAUAUACCUACGUACCCCCAAACGAUCAGAACAGGAGCCAAAAACCUAAUUCCACCACCGCAAUUUCUGUAUCCACGAGAUCCCAUCUUGGGGCCUGUUCCAGAGCUCCGCUGGAAGAGGGCCGUCAUCACGGAGGGCUUCUACAUCAUCAUAGCCUCUCCGAUGAAGUGUGAGUAGUUUACCUCAGACCUUCGGGUCCAUAGUUAGUAGCUAGAUGGCUUCUUCUCUCUUUUUGGAUCUCAAUACAAAGUUCUCCCCCUCUCUUGUGGAGAUCUAUUCGAUGUAAUCUUCUUUUUGCGGUGUGUUUGUUGAGACCGAUGAAUUGUGGGUUUAUGAUCAAGUCUAUCUAUGAAUAAUAUUUGAAUCUUCUCUGAAUUCUUUUAUGUAUGAUUGGUUAUCUUUGCAAGUCUCUUCGAAUUAUCCGUUUGGUUUGGCUAACUAGAUUGGUAGUUCUUGCCAUGGGAGAAGUGCGUAGCUUUGGGUUCGAUCUUGCGGUGUCCUUUCCCAGUGACAGAAGGGGCAGCAAGGCACGUAUUGCAUCGUUGCCGUCGAGGAUAACAAGAUGGGGUUUAUUUCAUAUUGCAUGAAUUUAUCUCUCUACAUCAUGUCAUCUUGCUUAAAGUGUUACUUUAUUUUUAACUUAAUACUCUAGAUGCUUGCUGGAUAGCAGUCGAUGAGUGGAGUAAUAGUAGUAGAUGCAGAAUCGUUUCGGUCUACUUGUCACGGACGUGAUGCCUAUAUACAUGAUCAUGCCUAGAUAUUCUCAUAACUAUGCUCAAUUCUGUCAAUUGCUCAACAGUAAUUUAUUCACCCACCGUAGAAUACUUAUGCUCUUGAGAGAAGCCACUAGUGAAACCUAUAGCCCCCGGGUCUAUUCUCAUCAUAUCAAUAUCCAUCACUUUAAUCUUGUUUUGCUUUUUUACUUUGCCUUUUACUUUUCACUUUGCAUCUCUAUACCAAAAAUACCAAAAAUAUUAUAUCUAUCAUAUCCCACUCUCGUAAGUGACCGUGAAGGGAUUGACAACCCCUAAUCGUGUUGGUUGCAAGUAGCUAUCGUUUUGUGCAGGUACGAGGGACUUGAGCGUGGCCUCCUACUGGAUUGAUACCUUGGUUCUCAAAAACUGAGGGAAAUACUUACGCUACUCUGCUGCAUCAUCCCUUCCUCUUCGAGGAAAACCAACGCAAGCUCAAGACGUAGCAAGAACGAUUUCUGGCGCCGUUGCCGGGGAGUCUACGCAAAAAGUCAACAUACCAAGUACCCAUCACAAUCCCUAUCUCUCGCAUUACAUUAUUUGCCAUUUGCCUCUCGUUUUCCUCUCCCCCACUUCACCCUUGCCGUUUUAUUCACCCUCUCUCUCUAUCCUCCCUCUCUAUUUGCCUCUUUUUCCCGUUUGCUCUUGUUUUCUCGUGUGCUAGUUUGCUUGUUUGUCGCGAUGGCUCAACCGAGAUUUGGUAUCUUCACCUUAAAAGGUUAGAGGAGAUCGAAACCAACGUUAGGAAGUUUAUGGUUUUGCAAUUUGAGCAUAAUAAUUUCUUUAGAAACGAGCUUAUGGAACAAAAAAGUUUUAUGGGUUAUAUGAAUAAAGAGCUUGAUGAUAUGUCUAAAGAAUUUGAUGGUAUAAGAUCCCAAAUUGCUCGUCUAGAAAAGAUGACUGCUGAAAUUUUGGAUAUGCAAGCCACCUUAGUCAAUAAGAUGGCCGCUAAAACGAAUUCCUAUGAAAAUCAAGAUGAAGAUCUAAAAGUUAUUGAUGUGUCUCCUAUUAAAUCUUUGUUUUGCAAUAUGAAUCUUGAUGAAACUGAAUAUGAUCUUCCUUUACCUAGAAGGCGUUCUAAAAAUUUGGAGUAUUUAGAUCUUUAUGAUGAAAUUGAUGAAAGUGGGAUUGAAAGAAAUAAAAAUCUAGAUGUUGCUAAACCCACUAUAUUGGAUUUCAAGGAAUUUAAUUAUGAAAGUUGCUCUUUAAUUGAUUGUAUUUCCUUGUUGCAAUCCGUGCUAAACUCUCCACAUGCUUAUAGUCAAAAGAAAGCCUUCACCGAACAUAUUGUUGAUGAUUUGAUGCAAUCUUAUGAAGAAAAACUUGAGUUGAAAGUUUCUAUCCCUAGAAAACUCUAUGAUGAGUGGGAACCAACUAUUAAAAUUAAAAUUAAAGAUCAUGAGUUUUAUGCUUUGUGUGAUUUGGGUGCUAGUGUCUCCACUAUUCCCAAGACUUUGUGUGAUUUGCUAGAUUUCCGUAAUUUUGAUGAUUGCUCUCUAAACUUGCAUCUUGCGGAUUCUACUAUUAAGAAACCUAUGGGGAGGAUUAAUGAUGUUCUUAUUGUUGCAAAUAGGAAUUAUGUGCCCGUAGAUUUCAUUGUUCUUGAUAUAUAUUGCAAUCCUUCUUGCCCUAUUAUUCUUGGUAGACCUUUCCUUAGAACAGUUGGUGCGAUUAUUGAUAUGAAGGAAGGGAAUAUUAGAUUUCAAUUUCCAUUAAAAAGGGCGUGGAACACUUUCCAAGAAAGAAAAUAAAAUUGCCAUAUGAAACUAUCAUAAGAGCCACUUAUGGAUUGCCUACCAAAGAUGGCAAUACCUAGAUCUAUUCUUGCUUGUUAUGCCUAGCUAGGGGCGUUAAACGAUAGCGCUUGUUGGGAGGCAACCCAAUUUUAUUUUUAUUCCUUGCUUUUUGCUCCUGUUUAGUAAUAAAUAAAUUAUUUAUCCUCUGUUUUGUUUGUGUUUUUUGUAUUUAAUUAGUGUUUGUGCCAAGUAGAACCGUUGGGAAGACUUGGGGAAAGUCUUGUUCAACUUGCUGUAAAAAACAGAAACUUUAGCGCUCACGAGAACUGCUGUCAUUUUUAUUUGGAAAGUGAUAUUUAGUUAAUUAUUUUUGAAGAUGAUUAAUAGAUAAAUUCCUCACGUCCAGCAAGUUAUUUUAGAAUUUUUGGGUUCCAGAUCUUGCGCUAGCUACAGAUUACUACAGACUGUUCUGUUUUUGACAGAUUCUGUUUUUCGUGUGUUGUUUGCUUAUUUUGAUGAAUCUAUGGCUAGCAAAAUAGUUUAUAAUCCAUAGAGAAGUUGGAAUACAGUAGGUAUAACACCAAUAUAAAUAAAUAAUGAGUUAAUUACAGUACCUUGAAGUGGUCUUUUGUUUUCUUUCGCUAACGGAGCUCACGAGUUUUCUACUUUAAGUUUUGUGUUGUGAAGUUUUCAAGUUUUGGGUGAAUUCUUUUGAUGGAUUAUGGAACAAGGAGUGGCAAGAGCCUAAGCUUGGGGAUGCCCAUUGCACCCCCAAGAUAAUCCAAGGAUACCAAAAAGUCAAAGCUUGGGGAUGCCCCGGAAGGCAUCCCCUCUUUCGUCCACUUCCAUCGGUAAUUUACUUGGAGCUAUAUUUUUAUUCACCAACAUGAUAUGUGUUUUGCUUGGAGUGUGUUGUAUUAUUUGUGUCUUUGUGUUCUAGUAUGCCACAAUCAUCAUUUCUGUACACACCUUUUGAUAGAGCCAUACAUGAAUUAAAAUUUGAUAGAAUACUCUAUGUGCUUCACUUAUAUUUUUUGAGCUAUGUAGUUUUGCUCUAUGUGCUUCACUUAUAUCUUUUGAGCGUAAUAAUUUUGCUCUAUGUGCUUCACUUAGAUCUUUUAUAGCGCGGUGGUGGAUUUGUUUUAAAGAAACUAUUGAUCUCUCAUGCUUCACUUAAAUUAUUUUGAGAGUCUCUUAAUAGCAUGGUAAUUUGCUUAAUAAUAAUAUGCUUGGUAUUCAAGAUUUGUGAAACUUUCUUUUGAGUGUGUUGAAUAAUAAGAAAAGAUUGAAGCAUGAUAAUUGUUUUGAGAUAUGGAGGUGAUAAUAUUAAAGUCAUGCUAGUUGAGUAGUUGUGAAUUUAAAGAAUACUUGUGUUAAAGUUUGUGAUACCUGUAGCAUGCACGUAUGGUGAACCGUUAUGUGAUGAAGUCGGAGCAUGAUUUAUUUAUUGAUUGUCUUCCUUAUGAGUGGUGGUCGGGGACGAGCGAUGGUCUUUUCCUACUAAUCUAUCCCCCUAGGAGCAUGCGCGUAAUACUUUGCUUUGAUAACUUCUAGAUUUUUGCAAUAAGUAUAUGAGUUCUUUAUGACUAAUGUUGAGUCCAUGGAUUAUACACACUCUCACCCUUCCACCUUUGCCAGCCUCUCUAAUACCGCGCACAUUUCGCCGAUAUUAUACACCCACCAUAUACCUCCCUCAAAACAGACACCAUACCUACCUAUUAUGGCAUUUCCAUAGCCAUUCCGAGAUAUAUCGCCAUGCAACUUUCCACCGUUCCGUUCAUGACACAUUCAUCAUUGUCAUAUUGCAUAUCCCGGUACACCGCCGGAGGCAUUCAUAUAGAGUCAUAUUUUGUUUUAAGUAUCGAGUUGUAAUUUUUGAGUUGUAAGAAAAAUAAAAGUGUGGUGAUCAUCAUUAUUAGAGCAUUGUCCCAAGUGAGGAAAGAAUGAUGGAGACUAUGAUUCCCCCAUAAGUCGGGAUGAGACUCCGGACGGAAAAAAAAGAGGCCAAAGAAGCCCAAAUAAAAAGAGGCCAUAAAAAAGGGAUAAAAGGCCCAAAUAAAAAAUAUAGAUAUAAAAAAAUGAGAGAAAAAGAGAGAAGGGACAAUGUUACUAUCCUCUUACCACACUUGUGCUUCAAAGUAGCACCAUGAUCUUCAUAGUAGAGAGUCUCUCAUGUUAUCACUUUCAUAUACUAGUGGGAAUUUUACAUUAUAGAACUUGGCUUGUAUAUUCCAAUGAUGGGCUUCCUCAAAUUUCCCUAGGUCUUCAUGAGCAAGCAAGUUGGAUGCACACCCACUUAGUUUCUUUUUGAGCUUUCAUAUACUUAUAGCUCUAGUGCAUCCGUUGCAUGGCAAUCCCUACUCACUCACAUUGAUAUCUAUUGAUGGGCAUCUCCAUAGCUCGUUGAUACGCCUAGUUGAUGUGAGACUAUCUUCCCCUUUUUGUCUUCUCCACAACCACCAUUCUAUUCCACCUAUAGUGCUAUAUCCAUGGCUCACGCUCAUGUAUUGCGUGAAGAUUGAAAAAGUUUUGAACAAGUUAGAGUAUGAAACAAUUGCUUGGCUUGUCAUCGGGGUUGUGCAUGAUUUAAAUACUUUGUGUGGUGAAGAUAGAGCAUAGCCAGACUAUAUGAUUUUGUAGGGAUAACUUUCUUUGGCCAUGAUAUUUUGAGAAGACAUAAUUGCUUUAUUAGUAUGCCUGAAGUAUUAUUAUUUUUAUGUCAAUAUAAACUUUUGUCUUGAAUCUUUUGAAUCUGAAUAUUCAUAUCACAAUUAAAAAGAUUUGCAUUGAAAUUAUGCCAAGUAGCACUCUGCAUCAUAAAUUCUCUUUUUAUCAUUUACCUACUCGAGGACGAGAAGGAAUUAAGCUUGGGGAUGCCUUAUACGUCUCCAAUGUAUCUAUAAUUUUUGAUUGCUCCAUGCUAUAUUAUCUACUGUUUUGGACUAUAUUGGGCUUUAUUUUCCACUUUUAUAUUAUUUUUGGGACUAACCUAUUAACCGGAGGCCCAGCCCAGAAUUGCUGUUUUUUUGCCUAUUUCAGUGUUUCGAAGAAACGGAAUGAAACCUUCGGGAACGUGAUUUUCUCACCGAACGUGAUCCAGGAGACUUGGACCCUACGCCAAGGCAUCAGAGAGGCGGUCACGAGGGUGGGGGCUCCCCCUACCUCAUGGGCCCCUCGGAUCUCCACCGACGUACUCCUUCCUCCUAUAUAUACCUACGUACCCCCAAACGAUCAUAACAGGAGCCAAAAACAUAAUUCCACAGCCGCAACUUUCUGUAUCCACGAGAUCCCAUCUUGGGGCCUGUUCCGGAGCUCCGCCGGAAGAGGUCCGUCAUCACGGAGGGCUUCUACAUCAUCAUAGCCUCUUCGAUGAAGUGUGAGUAGUUUACCUCAAACCUUCGGGUCCAUAGUUAGUAGCUAGAUGGCUUCUUCUCUCUUUUUGGAUCUCAAUACAAAGUUCUUCCCCUCUCUUGUGGAGAUCUAUUCGAUGUAAUCUUCUUUUUGCGGUGUGUUUGUUGAGACCGAUGAAUUGUGGGUUUAUGAUCAAGUCUAUCUAUGAAUAAUAUUUGAAUCUUCUCUGAAUUCUUUUAUGUAUGAUUGGUUAUCUUUGCAAGUCUCUUCGAAUUAUCCGUUUGGUUUGGCCAACUAGAUUGGUAGUUCUUGCCAUGGGAGAAGUGCUUAGCUUUGGGUUCGAUCUUGUGGUGUCCUUUCCCAGUAACAGAAGGGGCGGCAAGGCACGUAUUGCAUCGUUGCCAUCGAGGAUAACAAGAUGGGGUUUAUUUCAUAUUGCAUGAAUUUAUCUCUCUACAUCAUGUCAUCUUGCUUAAAGCGUUACUCUGUUUUUAACUUAAUACUCUAGAUGCAUGCUGGAUAGCGGUCGAUGAGUGGAGUAAUAGCAGUAGAUGCAGAAUCGUUUCAGUCUACUUGUCACGGACGUGAUGCCUAUAUACAUGAUCAUGCCUAGAUAUUCUCAUAACUAUGCUCAAUUCUGUCAUUGCUCAACAGUAAUUUAUUCACCCACCAUAGAAUACUUAUGCUCUUGAGAGAAGCCACUAGUGAAACCUAUGGCCCCCGGGUCUAUUCUCAUCAUAUCAAUCUCCAUCACUUUAAUCUUGUUUUGCUUUUUUACUUUGCCUUUUACUUUUCACUUUGCAUCUCUAUACCAAAAAUACCAAAAAUAUUAUAUCUAUCAGAUCUCACUCUCGUAAGUGACCGUGAAGGGAUUGACAACCCCUAAUCGCAUUGGUUGCGAGUAGCUAUCGUUUUGUGCAGGUACGAGGGACUUGAGCGUGGCCCCUACUGGAUUGAUACCUUGGUUCUCAAAAACUGAGGAAAAUACUUACGCUACUCUGCUGCAUCAUCCCUUCCUCUUCAGGGAAAACCAACGCAAGAUCAAGACGUAGCAAUAAGCAUGAGGAGUAUUUAGCACAGAUUGCAACAAGAAAAUACAAUCUAUCAAAGAGCAAUUAUCAUAAUUAAAUUCCUUGAAAUCCAAAAUAGUGGGUUCAUUAAUAUUUAAAGUUUUGAUCUCUUCAAUCCCACUUUUACCAAUUUUUGCAUUAAGAUCUAAAAACUCCGAAUUUUUUGAACGCCUUCUAGGUAAAGGAGGAUCAUAUUCAGUCCCAUCAUUAUCGAGAUUCAUAUUGCAAAACAAAGAUUUAAUAGGGGACACAUCAAUAACUUUUAUAUCUUCAUCUUUAUUUUCAUGGAAACUAGAAGAACACACUUUUAUAAAGCAAUCUCUCUUAGCACACAUCCUAGCGGUUCUUUCUUUGCACUCAUCAAUGGAAAUUCUCAUGGCUUUUAGAGACUCAUUGAUAUCAUGCUUAGGUGAAAUAGAUCUAAGUUUCAAAGAAUCAACAUCAAGAGAAAUUAUAUCAACGUUCCUAGCCAACUCAUCAAUCUUAAGCAAUUUUUCUUCAAUCAAAGCAUUGAAAUUCUUUUGCGAAGUAAUAAAUUAUUUAAUAUUAGAUUCAAAAUCAGAGGGCAUAUUAUUAUAAUUUCCAUAAGAAUUGUUGUAGGAAUUACCAUAAUUAUUAGAGGAAUUACUAGGAUACGGCCUAUGAUUAAAGUUUCCUCUAUACGCGUUGUUACCAAAAUUAUUCCUACCAAGAAAAUUCACAUCCAUAGAUUCAUUAUUAUUCUCAAUCAAAGUAGACAAAGGCAUAUCAUUAGGAUCAGAAGAAACACUUUUAUUAGCAAAUAAUUUCAUAAGUUCAUCCAUCUUUCCACUCAAAACCUUAAUUUCUUCUAUCGCAUGCACUUUCUUAUUAGUAGAUCUUUAAGUGUGCCAUUGAGAAUAAUUAACCAUAAUAUUAUGUAGGAGUUUAGUAGCUUCUCCUAAAGUGAUUUCGAUAAAAGUGCCUCCCACAGCCGAAUCUAAAAGAUUUCUAGAAGCAAAAUUCAGUCUGGCAUAAACAUUUUGUAUAAUCAUCCACAAAUUCAAAUCAUGCGUAGGGAAAUUACGUAUCAUUAAUUUCAUCCUCUCCCAAGCUUGUGCAACAUGUUCACGAUCAAGUUGCUUAAAAUUCAUAAUAUCGUUUCUAAGAGAGAUAAUCUUAGCGGUAGGAAAAUACUUAGAGAUAAAAUCAUCUUUGCACUUAUUCCAAGAAUCAAUACUAUUUUUAGGCAAAGACGAAAACUAAGCUUUAGCAUGAUCUCUAAGCGAAAAAGGAAAUAACUUCAAUUUAACAAUAUCAUUAUCCACAUCUUUCUUAUUUUGCAUAUCACACAAACCAACGAAGCUAUUUAGAUGGGUAGCGGCAUCUUCACUAGGAAGGCCGGCGAAUUGAUCUUUCAGGACAAGAUUCAAUAAAGCAGCAUUGAUUUCACAAGAUUCAGUAUCGGUAAGAGGAGCAAUCAGAGUGCUAAGGAAAUCAUUGUUGUUGGUAUUGGUGAAGUCACAAAUUUAGUAUUAUCUUGAGCCAUCGUGAUAAGCAAGCAAUCCAACACACGAGCAAACAAGAGACGGGCAAACAAGAGAGGGAGGAUGGAGAGAGAGGGCAAAUAAAACGGCAAGGGUGAAGUGGGGGAGAGGAAAACGAGAGGCAAAUGUCAAAUAAUGUAAUGCGGGAGAUAAGGGUUUGUGAUGGGUACUUGGUGUGUUGACUUUUGCGUAGACCUCCCCGGCAACGGCACCAGAAAUCCUUCUUGCUACCUCUUGAGCACUGCGUUGGUUUUCCCUUGAAGAGGAAAGGGUGAUGCAGCAAAGUAGCAUAAGUAUUUCCCUCAGUUUUUGAGAAACAAGGUAUCAAUCCAGUAGGAGGCCACGCACGAGUCCCUCACACCUACACAAACAAAUAAAUCCUCGCAACCAACGCGAUAAGGGGUUGUCAAUCCCUACACUGUCACUUACGAGAGUGAGAUCUGAUAGAUAUGAUAAGAUAAUAUUUUUGGUAUUUUUUAUUAUAAAUAUGCAAAGUAAAAUAAAAGGCAAUAAAAAUAACUAAGUGUUGGAAGAUUAAUAUGACGGAAAAUAGACCCGGGGGGCAUAGGUUUCACUAGUGGCUUCUCUCAAGCGCAUAAGUAUUUACGGUGGGUGAACAAAUUAUUGUUGAGCAAUUGAUAGAAGAGCAUAGUUAUGAGAAUAUCUAGGUAUGAUCAUGUAUAUAGGCAUCACGUCCGAGACAAGUAGACUGACUCAUGCCUGCAUCUACUACUAUUACUCCACACACCGACCGCUAUCCAGCAUGCAUCUAGAGUAUUAAGUUCAUAAGAACAGAGUAACGCUUUAAGCAAGAUGACAUGAUGUAGAGGGAUAAACUCAUGCAAUAUGAUAUAAACCCCAUCUUGUUAUCCUCGAUGGCAACAAUACAAUACGUGCCUUGCUGCCCCUACUGUCACUGGGAGAGGACACCGCAAGAUUGAACCCAAAGCUAAGCACUUCUCCCAUUGCAAGAAAGAUCAAUCUAGUAGGCCAAACCAAACUGAUAAUUCGAAGAGACUUGCAAAGAUAACCAAUCAUACAUAAAAUAAUUCAGAGAAGAUUCAAAUAUUGUUCAUAGAUAAACUUGAUCAUAAACCCACAAUUCAUCGGUCUCAACAAACACACCGCACAAGAAGAUUACAUCGAAUAGAUCUCCACAAGAGAGGGGGAGAACAUUGUAUUGAGAUCCAAAAAGAGAGAAGAAGUGAUGACCCACAAGUAUAGGGGAUCUAUCAUAGUCCUUUCGAUAAGUAAGAGUGUCGAACCCAACGAGGAGCAGAAGGAAAUGAUAAACGGUUUUCAGCAAGGUAUUCUCUGCAAGGACUGAAAUAAGUGGUAACAGAUAGUUUUGUGAUAAGAUAAUUUGUAACGAGCAACAAGUAACAAAAGUAAAUAAAGUGCAACAAGGUGGCCCAAUCCUUUUUGUAGCAAAGGACAAGCCUGGACAAACUCUUAUAUAAGGAAAAGCGCUCCCGAGGACACAUGGGAAUAUCGUCAAGCUAGUUUUCAUCACGUUCAUAUGAUUCGCGUUCGGUACUUUGAUAAUUCGACAUGUGGGUGGACCGGUGCUUGGGUGCUGUUCUUACUUGAGCAAGCAUCCCACUUAUGAUUAACCUCUAUUGAAAGCAUCCGCAACUACAACAAAAGCAUUAAGGUAAACCUAACCAUAGCAUGAAACAUAUGGAUCCAAAUCAGCCCCUUACGAAGCAACACAUAAACUAGGGUUUAAGCUUCUGUCACUCUAGCAACCCAUCAUCUACUUAUUACUUCCCAAUGCCUUCCUCUAGGCCCAAAUAAUGGUGAAGUGUUAUGUAGUCGACGUUCACAUAACACCACUAGAGGCUAGACAACAUACAUCUUAUCAAAAUAUCGAACGAAUACCAAAUUCACAUGACUACUAACAGCAAGACUUCUCCCUUGUCCUCAGGAACAAACGUGACUACUCACAAAGCAUAAACAUGUUCAUAAUCAGAGGGGUAUUAAUAUGCAUAUAGGAUCUGAACAUAUGAUCUUCCACCAAUUAAACCAACUAGCAUCAACUACAAGGAGUAAUUAACACUAUUAGCAGCCUACUAGCACCAAUCCCGGACUUGAAGACAAGAAUCGGAUACAAGAGAUGAACUAGGGUUUUGAGAUGAGAUGGUGCUGAUGAAGAUGUUGAUGGAGAUUGCCCUCUCCCGAUGAGAGGAGCGUUGGUGAUGACGAUGGCGAUGAUUUCCCCCUCCGGGAGGGAAGUUUCCUUGGCAGAACAGCUCUGUCGGAGCUCUAGAUUGGAACCGCCAAGGUUCCGCCUCGUGGCGGCGGAGUUUCGUCCCGAAAGGUUGCUUAUUAUUUUUUUCUCGACGGAAGACUUCAUAUAGGAGAAGAUGGUCAUCGGAGAACCACCAGGGGGCCCACGAGGUAGGGGGGCGCGCCCCCCACCCUCAUGAGCAGGGUGUGGGCCCCCUGGUCUUCAUAUUUGGCGAGGAUUUUUCAUUAUUUAUUAUAAGGUAUUCCUUGGAGUUUCAGGACUUUUGGAGUUGUGCAGAAUAGGUCUCUAAUAUUUGCUCCUUUUCCAACCUAGAAUUCCAGCUGUCGGCAUUCUCCCUCCUUAUGUAAACCUUGUAAAAUAAGAGAGAAUAGCCAUAAGUAUUGUGACAUAAUAUGAAAUAACAGCCCAUAAUGCAAUAAAUAUCGAUAUAAAAGCAUGAUGCAAAAUGGACGUAUCAACUCCCCCAAGCUUAGACCUCGCUUGUCCUUAAGCGAAAGCCGAUAACAAUAAAUAUGUCCCCAUGUUUAGAGGUAGAGGCGUCGAUAAAAAUAAAAUACGGACAUGAGGGCAUCAUGAUUAUUCUCAUAACAACAACAUAUAUAGAUAUUGUCAUAUGAUUACUUAUGUUCAAGUGAUGAUCUAUUCACAAUGCAAAAGUAUGAAUCAGAAACCUUAUUGAGAACCAACAAACUAUAACCUCAGUCAUUGAAGCAAUUGCAAUUUAUCAUAACAUCAGAAAGAGUCUAUGUCAGAGCUAAAAAGUUGUUGGGUAACGUAGUAAUUUCAAAAAAAUUCCUACGCACACGCAAGAUCAUGGUGAUGCAUAGCAACGAGGGGAGAGUGUGAUCUACGUACCCUUGGUAGAUCGACAACGGAAGCGUUUGGUUGAUGUAGUCGUACGUCUUCACGGCCCGACCGAUCAAGCACCGAAACUAUGGCACCUCCGAGUUUUAGCACACGUUCAGCUCGAUGACGAUCCCCGGACUCCGAUCCAGCAAAGUGUCGGGGAAGAGUUCCAUUAGCACGACGGCGUGGUGACGAUCUUGAUGUACUACUGCUGCAGGGCUUCGCCUAAGCACCGCUACAAUAUUAUCGAGGACUAUGGUGGCUGGGGGCGCCGCACACGGCUAAGAAUAAGAUCACCUGGAUCAACUUGUGUGUUUCUUGUGCCCCUGCCUCCGUAUAUAAAGGACUAAAGGGGGGUGCGGCCGGCCUAGGAGAGGCGCGCCAGGAGAGUCCUACUCCCUCUGGGAGUAGGAUCCCCCCCCCCAAUCCUAGUUGGAAUAGGAUUCGCGGAGGGGGGAAAAGAGAGAGAGGGGCCGGCCCCCUCUCCUUGUCCUAUUCGGACCAAGGGAGGGGAGGGGCGCGUGGCCCAUGUUGGGCUGCAUAUUCUCUUUUCCACUAAGGCCCACUAUGGCCCAUAUAGCUCCCGGGGGGUUCCGGUAACCUCCCGGUACUCCGGUAAAAUCCCGAUUUCACCCGGAACACUUCCAAUAUCCAAACAUAGGCUUCCAAUAUAUCAAUCUUUAUGUCUCGACCAUUUCGAGACUCCUCGUCAUGUCCGUGAUCACAUCCGAGACUCCGAACAAACUUCGUUACAUCAAAAUGCAUAAACUCAUAAUAUAACUAUCAUCGUAACCUUAAGCGUGCGGACCCUACGGGUUCGAGAACAAUGUAGACAUGACCGAGACAUGUCUCCGAUCAAUAACCAAUAGCGGGACCUGGAUGCCCAUAUUGGCUCCUACAUAUUCUACGAAGAUCUUUAUCGGUCAGACCGCAUAACAACAUACGUUGUUCCCUUUGUCAUCGGUAUGUUACUUGCCCGAGAUUCGAUCGUCGGUAUUCCAAUACCUAGUUCAAUCUCGUUACCGGCAAGUCUCUUUACUCGUUCUGUAAUACAUCAUCCCGCAACUAACUCAUUAGUUGCAAUGCUUGCAAGGCUUAAGUGAUGUGCAUUACCGAGAGGGCCCAGAGAUACCUCUCCGACAAUCGGAGUGACAAAUCCUAAUCUCGAAAUACGCCAACCCAACAUGUACCUUUGGAGACACCUGUAGAGCUCCUUUAUAAUCACCUAGUUACGUUGUGACGUUUGGUAGAACACAAAGUGUUCCUCCGGCAAACGGGAGUUGCAUAAUCUCAUAGUCAUAGGAACAUGUAUAAGUCAUGAAGAAAGCAAUAGCAACAUACUAAACAAUCGGGUGCUAAGCUAAUGGAAUGGGUCAUGUCAAUCAGAUCAUUCACUUAAUGAUGUGAUCCCGUUAAUCAAAUAACAACUCAUUGUUCAUGGUUAGGAAACAUAACCAUCUUUGAUUAACAAGCUAGUCAAGUAGAGGCAUACUAGUGACACUUUGUUUGUCUAUGUAUUCACACAUGUAUUAUGUUUCCGGUUAAUACAAUUCUAGCAUGAAUAAUAAACAUUUAUCAUGAUAUAAGGAAAUAAAUAAUAACUUUAUUAUUGCCUCUAGGGCAUAUUUCCUUCAGUCUCCCACUUGCACUAGAGUCAAUAAUCUACAUUACAUAGUAAUGAUUCUAACACCCAUGGAGCCUUGGUGCUGAUCAUGUUUUGCUCAUGGAAGAGGCUUAGUCAACGGGUCUGCAACAUUCAAAUCCGUAUGUAUCUUGCAAAUCUCUAUCUCUCCCACCUGGACUAGAUCCCGGAUGGAAUUGAAGCGUCUCUAGAUGUGCUUGGUUCUCUUGUGAAAUCUGGAUUCCUUUGCCAAGGCAAUUGCACCAGUAUUGUCACAAAAGAUUUUCAUUGGACCCGAUGCACUAGGUAUGACACCUAGAUCGGAUAUGAACUCCUUCAUCCAGACUCCUUCAUUUGCUGCUUCCGAAGCAGCUAUGUACUCCGCAUCACAUGUAGAUCCUGCUACAACGCUUUGUUUAGAACUGCACCAACUGACAGCUCCACCGUUUAAUGUAAACACGUAUCCGUUUGCGAUUUAGAAUCGUCCGGAUCAGUGUCAAAGCUUGCAUCAACGUAACCUUUUACGAUGAGCUCUUUGUCACCUCCAUAUACGAGAAACAUAUCCUUAGUCCUUUUCAGGUACUUCAGGAUGUUCUUGACCGCUGUCCAGUGAUCCACUCCUGGAUUACUUUGGUACCUCCCUGCUAGACUUAUAGCAAGGCACACAUUAGGUCUGGUACACAUCAUUGUAUACAUGAUAGAGCCUAUGGCUGAAGCAUAGGGAACAUCUUUCAUAUUCUCUCUAUCUUCUGCAGUGGUUGGGCAUUGAGUCUUACUCAACUUUACACCUUGUAACACAGGCAAGAACUCUUUCUUUGCUUGAUCCAUUUUGAACUUCUUCAAAACUUUGUCAAGGUAUGUGCUUUGUGAAAGUCCAAUUAAGCGUCUUGAUCUAUCACUAUAGAUUUUAAUGCCUAAUAUGUAAGCAGCUUCACCGAGGUCUUUCAUUGCAAAACUCUUAUUCAAGUAUCCCUUUAUGCUAUCCAGAAAUUCUACAUCAUUUCCAUUUAGUAAUAUGUCAUCCACAUAUAAUAUCAGAAAUGCUAUAGAGCUCCCACUCACUUUCUUGUAAAUAUAGGCUUCUCCAAAAGUCUAUAAAAAACCAAAUGCUUUGAUCACACUAUCAAAACGUUUAUUCCAACUCCGAGAGGCUUGCACCAGUCCAUAAAUGGAUCGCUGGAGCUUGCACACUUUGUUAGCUCCCUUUGGAUCGACAAAACCUUCUGGUUGCAUCAUAUAUAACUCUCCUUCCAGAAAUCCAUUCAGGAAUGCAGUUUUGACAUCCAUCUGCCAAAUUUCAUAAUCAUAAAAUGCGGCAAUUGCUAACAUGAUUCGUACAGACUUAAGCAUCGCUACGGGUUAGAAGGUCUCAUCGUAGUCAAUCCCUUGAACUUGCCGAAAACCUUUUUGCGACAAGUCGAGCUUUGUAGAUAGUAAUAUUACCGUCAGUGUCAGUCUUCUUCUUGAAGAUCCAUUUAUUCUCAAUUGCUUGCCGAUCAUCGGGCAAGUCAACCAAAGUCCAUACUUUGUUCUCAUACAUGGAUCCCAUCUCAGAUUUCAUGGCUUCAAGCCAUUUUGUGGAAUCUGGGCUCACCAUCGCUUCUCCAUAGUUCGUAGGUUCAUCAUGAUCUAGUAGCAUGACUUCCAGAACAGGAUUACCGUACCACUCUGGCGUGGAUCUCAGUCUGGUUGAUCUAUGAGGUUCAGUAGUAUCUUGUUCUGAAGUUUCAUGAUCAUUAUCAUUAGCUUCCUCACUAACUAGUGUAGGUGUCACUGAAACAGUUUUCUGUGAUGUACUACUUUGCAAUAAGGGAGCAGACACAGUUACCUUGUCAAGUUCUACUUUCCUCCCACUCACUUCUUUCGAGAGAAACUCCUUCUCCAAAAAGUUUCCGAAUUUAGCAACAAAAGUCUUGCCUUCGGAUUUGUGAUAGAAGGUGUAUCCAAUAGUCUCCUUUGGAUAUCCUAUGAAGACACAUUUCUCCGAUUUGGGUUCGAGCUUAUCAGGUUGAAGGUUUUUCACAUAAGCAUCGCAGCCCCAAACUUUCAGAAACGACAACUUUGGUUUCUUGCCAAACCAUAGUUCAUAAGGCGUCGUCUCAACGGAUUUUGAUGGUGCCCUAUUUAACGUGAAUGCGGCUGUCUCUAGAGCGUAUCCCCAAAACGAUAGCGGUAAAUCAGUAAGAGACAUCAUAGAUCGCACCAUAUCUAGUAAAGUACGAUUACGACGUUCGGACACACCAUUACGCUGUGGUGUUCUGGGUGGCAUGAGUUGCGAAACUAUUCCGCAUUGUUUCAAAUGUACACCAAACUCGUAAAUCAAAUAUUCUCCUCCAUGAUCAGAUCGUAGAAAUUUUAUUUUCUUGUUACGAUGAUUUUCAACUUCACUCUGAAAUUCUUUGAACGUUUCAAACGUUUCAGACUUAUGUUUCAUUAAGUAGAUAUACCCAUAUCUGCUUAAGUCAUCUGUGAAGGUGAGAAAAUAACGAUAUCCGCCACGAGCCUCAAUAUUCAUCGGGCCACAUACAUCUGUAUGUAUGAUUUCCAACAAAUCUGUUGCUCUCUCCAUAGUACCAGAGAACGGUGUUUUAGUCAUCUUGCCCAUGAGGCAUGGUUCGCAAGUACUAAGUGAUUCAUAAUCAAGUGGUUCCAAAAGUCCAUCAGUAUGGAGUUUCUUCAUGCUCUUUACACCGAUAUGACCUAAACGGCAGUGCCACAAAUAAGUUGCACUAUCAUUAUCAACUCUGCAUCUUUUGGCUUCAACACUAUGAAUAUGUGUGUUACUACUAUCGAGAUUUAAUAAAAAUAGACCACUCUUUAAGGGUGCAUGACCAUAAAAGAUAUUACUCAUAUAAAUAGAACAACCAUUAUUCUCAGAUUUAAAUGAAUAACCGUCUCGCAUCAAACAAGAUCCAGAUAUAAUGUUCAUGCUUAACGCUGGCACCAAAUAACAAUUAUUUAGGUCUAAUAUUAAUCCCGAAGGUAGAUGUAGAGGUAGCGUGCCGACUGCGAUCACAUCAACUUUGGAACCGUUUCCCACGCGCAUCGUCACCUCGUCCUUAGCCAAUCUUCGCUUAAUCCAUAGUCCCUGUUUCGAGCUGCAAAUAUUAGCAACAGAACCAGUAUCAAAUACCCAGGUGCUACUGCGAGCAUUAGUAAGGUACACAUCAAUAACAUGUAUAUCACAUAUACCUUUGUUCACCUUUCCAUCCUUCUUAUCCGCCAAAUACUUGGGGCAGUUCCGCUUCCAGUGACCAGUCUGCUUGCAGUAGAAGCACUCAGUUUCAGGCUUAGGUCCAGGUUUGGGUUUCUUCUCUUGAGUAGCAACUUGCUUGCUGUUCUUUUUGAAGUUUCCCUUCUUCUUCCCUUUGCCCUUUUUCUUGAAACUAGUGGUCUUCUUGACCAUCAACACUUGAUGCUCCUUCUUGAUUUCUACCUCCGCAGCUUUCAGCAUCGCGAAGAGCUCGGGAAUAGUCUUAUUCAUCCCUUGCAUAUUAUAGUUCAUCACGAAGCUCUUGUAGCUUGGUGGCAGUGAUUGGAGAAUUCUGUCAAUGACGCAAUCAUCUGGAAGAUUAACUCCCAAUUGAAUCAAGUGAUUAUUAUACCCAGACAUUUUGAGUAUAUGCUCACUAACAGAACUGUUCUCCUCCAUCUUACAACUAUAGAACUUAUUGGAGACUUCAUAUCUCUCAAUCCGGGCAUUUUCUUGAAAUAUUAACUUUAACUCCUAGAACAUCCCAUAUGCUCCAUGACGUUCAAAACGCCGUUGAAGUCCCGAUUCUAAGCCAUAAAGCAUGGCACACUGAACUAUUGAGUAGUCAUUAGCUUUGCUCUGCCAGACGUUCAUAACAUCCGGCGUUGCUCCAGCAGCAGGCCUGGCACCCAGCGGUGCUUCCAGGAUGUAAUUCUUCUAUGCAGCAAUGAGGAUAAUCCUCAAGUUACGGACCCAGUCCGUGUAAUUGCUACCAUCAUCUUUCAACUUUGCUUUCUCAAGGAACGCGUUAAAAUUCAAUGGAACAACAGCACGAGCCAUCUAUCUACAAUCAAGCAUAAACAAGCAAGAUACUUAUCAGGUACUAAGUUUCAUGAUAAAUUUAAGUUCAGUUAAUUUACUUAAAGAACUCCCACUUAGAUAGACAUCCCUCUAAUCCUCUAAGUGAUUACGUGAUCCAAAUCAACUAAACCAUGUCCGAUCAUCACGUGAGAUGGAGUAGUUUCAUUGGUGAACAUCACUAUGUUGAUCAUAUCUACUAUAUGAUUCACGCUCGACCUUUCGGUCUCCGUGUUCCGAGGCCAUAUCUGUAUAUGCUUGGCUCGUCAAGUAUAACCUGAGUAUUCCGCGUGUGCAACUGUUUUGCACCCGUUGUAUUUGAACGUAGAGCCUAUCACCCCCGAUCAUCACGUGGUGUCUCAGCACGAAGAACUUUCACAACGGUGCAUACUCAGGGAGAACACUUCUUGAUAAUUAGUGAGAGAUCAUCUUAUAAUGCUACCGUCAAUCAAAGCAAGAUAAGAUGCAUAAAAGAUAAACAUCACAUGCAAUCAAUAUAAGUGAUAUGAUAUGGCCAUCAUCAUCUUGUGCUUGUGAUCUCCAUCUCCGAAGCACUGUCGUGAUCACCAUCGUCACCGGCGUGACACCUUGAUCUCCAUCGUAGCAUCGUUGUCGUCUCGCCAAGCUUGUGCUUCCACGACUAUCGCUACCGCUUAGUGAUAAAGUAAAGCAUUACAUCGCGAUUGCAUUGCAUACAAUAAAGCGACAACCAUAUGGCUCCUGCCAGUUGCCGAUAACUCGGUUACAAAACAUGAUCAUCUCAUAAAACAAAAAUCAGCGUCAUGUCUUGACCAUAUCACAUCACAACAUGCCCUGCAAAAACAAGUUAGACGUCCUCUACUUUGUUGUUGCAAGUUUUACGUGGCUGCUACGGGCUUAAGCAAGAACUAAUCUUACCUACGCAUCAAAACCACAACGAUAGUUUGUCAAGUUGGUGCUGUUUUAACCUUCGCAAGGACCGGGCGUAGCCACACUUGGUUCAACUAAAGUUGGAGAAACUGUCACCCGCAAGCCACCUCUGUGCAAAGCACGUCGGGAGAACCGGUCUCGCGUAAGCGUACGCGUAAUGUCGGUCUGGGCCGCUUUGUCCAACAAUACCGCCGAACCAAAGUAUGACAUGCUGGUAAGCAGUAUGACUUAUAUCGCCCACAACUCAUUUGUGUUCUACUCAUGCAUAUAACAUCAACAAAUAAAACCUAGGCUCGGAUGCCACUGUUGGGUAACGUAGUAAUUUCAAAAAAAUUCCUACGCACACGCAAGAUCAUGGUGAUGCAUAGCAACGAGGGGAGAGUGUGAUCUACGUACCCUUGGUAGAUCGACAAUGGAAGCGUUUGGUUGAUGUAGUCGUACGUCUUCACGGCCCGACCGAUCAAGCACCGAAACUACGGCACCUCCGAGUUUUAGCACACGUUCAGCUCGAUGACGAUCCCCGGACUCCGAUCCAGCAAAGUGUCGGGGAAGAGUUCCGUCAGCACGACGGCGUGGUGAUGAUCUUGAUGUACUACUGCUGCAGGGCUUCGCCUAAGCACCGCUACAAUAUUAUCGAGGACUAUGGUGGCUGGGGGCGCCGCACACGGCUAAGAAUAAGAUCACCUGGAUCAACUUGUGUGUUUCUGGGGUGCCCUUGCCUCCGUAUAUAAAGGACUAAAGGGGGGGUGCGGCCGACCUAGGAGAGGCGCGCCAAGAGAGUCCUACUCCCUCUGGGAGUAGGAUUCCCCCCCCCCCAAUCCUAGUUAGAAUAGGAUUUGCGGAGGGGGGAAAAGAGAGAGAGGGGCCGGCCCCCUCUCCUUGUCCUAUUCGGACCAAGGGAGGGGAGGGGCGCGCGGCCCAUGUUGGGCUGCCUCUUCUCUUUUCCACUAAGGCCCACUAUGGCCCAUAUAGCUCCCGGGGGGUUCCGGUAACCUCCCGGUACUCCGGUAAAAUCCCGAUUUCACCCGGAACACUUCCGAUAUCCAAACAUAGGCUUCCAAUAUAUCAAUCUUUAUGUCUUGACCAUUUUGAGACUCCUCGUCAUGUCCGUGAUCACAUCCGGGACUCCGAACAAACUUAGGUACAUCAAAAUGCAUAAACUCAUAAUAUAACUGUCAUCGUAACCUUAAGCGUGCGGACCCUACGGGUUCGAGAACAAUGUAGACAUGACCGAGACAUGUCUCCGGUCAAUAACCAAUAGUGGGACCUGGAUGCCCAUAUUGGCUCCUACAUAUUCUAUGAAGAUCUUUAUCGGUCAGACCGCAUAACAACAUACGUUGUUCCCUUUGUCAUCGGUAUGUUACUUGCCCGAGAUUCGAUCGUCGGUAUUCCAAUACCUAGUUCAAUCUCGUUACCGGCAAGUCUCUUUACUCGUUCUGUAAUACAUCAUCCUGCAACUAACUCAUUAGUUGCAAUGCUUGCAAGGCUUAAGUGAUGUGCAUUACCGAGAGGGCCCAGAGAUACCUCUCCGACAAUCGGAGUGACAAAUCCUAAUCUCAAAAUACGCCAACCCAACAUGUACCUUUGGAGACACCUGUAGAGAUCCUUUAUAAUCACCCAGUUACGUUGUGACGUUUGGUAGCACACAAAGUGUUCCUCUGGCAAACGGGAGUUGUAUAAUCUCAUAGUCAUAGGAACAUGUAUAAGUCAUGAAGAAAGCAAUAGCAACAUACUAAACGAUCGGGUGCUAAGCUAAUGGAAUGGGUCAUGUCAAUCAGAUCACUCACUUAAUGAUGUGAUCCCGUUAAUCAAAUAACAACUCAUUGUUCAUGGUUAGGAAACAUGACCAUCUUUGAUUAACGAGCUAGUCAAGUAGAGGCAUACUAGUGACACUUUGUUUGUCUAUGUAUUCACACAUGUAUUAUGUUUCCGGUUAAUACAAUUCUAGCAUGAAUAAUAAACAUUUAUCAUGAUAUAAGGAAAUAAAUAAUAACUUUAUUAUUGCCUCUAGGGCAUAUUUCCUUCAAAAGCAAGUCCACAUACUCAACUAUCAUCUAGUCCUUCAUAAUUGCUAACACUCGCGCAAUACUUGUGGUUACGGAGUUUUAAUCGGACACAGAGAAAGAUAGGGGCUUAUAGUUUCGCACCAUAACCUUUUACCUCAAGGGUAGUGUCAACAAUAAUAACUCAUGCCCCCCUACAUCCAAUUUGAUAUAUCUAUCACGAUCUUUCCAACACACUGUGCUUGCCAAAGGAUAAAAUGUAAACAGGAAAGGUGAAGAUCACCAUGACUCUUGCAUAAGGUAGAAGAUAAUAAUAAAAGAUAGGCCCUUCGCAGAGGGAAGAAGAGGUUGCCAUGCGCUUUUAUGGUUGGAUGCACAAAAUCUUAAUGCGAAAGAGCGUCACUUUAUUUUGCCCCUUGUGAUAUGAACCUUUAUUAUGCACUCCGUCGCUUUUAUUACUUCCACAUCACAAGAUCAUAUAAAGCUUAUUUCUCCCACACCAAUCAAUCAUACAUAUUUAGAGAGCAAUUUUUAUUGCUUUGCACCGAUGACAACUUACUUGAAGGAUCUUAUUCAAUCCAUAGGUAGAUAUGGUGGGCUCUCAUGGCAAAACUGGUUUAAGGGUAUUUGGAAGCACAAGUAGUAUCUCUACUUGGUGCUGAGAAUUUGGCUAGCAUGAGGGGGAAAGGAAAGCUCAACAUGUUGGAUGAUCCAUGACAACAUACUUUAUCUCAGAUAUAAGAAAACAUAACCCAUUACGUUGUCUUCCUUGUCCAACAUCAACUCUUUAGCAUGUCAUAUUUUGAUGAGUGUUCCCAAUCAUAAAAAAUGUCAAUGAUAGUAUAUUUAUAUGUGAAACCUCUCUUCCCUUAUUACUUCCUAUUAAUUGCAAUGACGACCAAAGCUAUGUCUGCCAACUCCCAACAACUUUUAAUCAUCACACUCUUUCUAUGUGAAGUCAUUGCUAUCAAUAAGAUCAAUAUGAACUUUUGUUUCUUUUUAUUCUUUUUCUCUCUUUUAUUCACCCAAGAUCAUAGCAAGAAAAUCAAGCCCUUGACUCAACACUAAUCUCUAUUAUAUAGCUCACGAACUCGAUUACAUAGAAGGAUAAUAAAGCAAAACUCACAACUAGAUCAUGCCAUAAAAUUUAUUCUACUAGAUCAGAAUAUUACCAAAAGGAUCGAACUAAGAAAAACUCUAAUGAUAAAAGUGAUGGUGAUACGAUACCGGGGCACCUCCCCCAAGCUUGGCAGUUGCCAAGGGGAGUGCCCAUACCCAGGUGAUUAUGUCUCUCUUUUCGGGGAUGGUGAUGUGAUGUUCUUGGCGAUGAUGCCCCUCAAGAUACGAUUCUCCUCCUCAAGCUUGUUGACUUGCUGCUUGAGAUCCAUUAUUUCCUUUCGGAGUUUUCCUGCAACAGCCAAAGCUCCCUGCACCCAAGGGUCCUGCAUAGCUGCGGGAGAACCAGUGACACUCUUUUUCAUAUUCUCACAAGAAAGAAAUCUAACAUUGGAAGGGAUAACCGAGUUUGGAAUAGCUGAGCUCUGCAGUUCCCCCAUCGUGAACCUAGCUCGGAAGCGAGAGGUGACUUCUUGAUCCUCCAUCACAUCUACCCUCAUUAAGUCGGCCUCCAUCUCUUCCUCCAUUGCUGGCCCAAAGUGGUCAGGGUUGCUGUUUGCCCUUGGUUCCGGUGCCGGAUUAGAUACCCGGCUCUCCCCGACUGACUCUUGAGAAGACAUCUUGCUCUAAUCUGCAGAAGCAACAGCUCGAAACAAAAACAGAGGAUAUUCGCGUGAUACAGGAGUCAAAACCGUUGGGAGAUUAUAUAAUGAAUAUUUACCGACCAAAGUGCGUAUUGUGCAAGAAAACGGAGUCCGGAGGGCACACGAGGAGCUCAUGAGGUAGGGGCGCGCCCUAGGGGGGCGCCCUCCACCCUCGUGGGGCCCUCGUGUCCUUCUCGGACUGCUACUUAAUUUUCUAAUUUUUCUAAAUAUUCCAAAACGGAGAAAUAUUGCCUUAAAAAUUGUUUUCGAGUCGGUUUACUUACCGUACCACAUACUUAUUCCUUUUCGGAGUCUGAAAUGUUCUAGAAAGUGUCCCUUAUGUAUUCCUCCGGGGUUACGGUUUCAAUAAUAUUGGUUUCAACAUUUAUGGGAUUACCUGAGAUAUAAAGUUUAAUUCUCUGGCCGUUUACCACCUUCGGAUUUGUGCCUUCGAAGUUGUUGAUUUUUAUGGCACUGGAACGAUAGACCUCCUCGAUAACAUAGGGGCCUUCCCAUUUAGAGAGAAGUUUUCCUGCAAAAAAUCUUAAACGAGAGUUGUAUAGCAAUACAUAAUCACCUACAUUAAACUCACGCUUUUGUAUCCUUUUGUCAUGCCAUCUUUUAACUUUUUAUUUAAACAACAUGGCAUUUUCAUAGGCUUGGGUUCUCCAUUCAUCAAGUGAGCUAAUAUCAAAUAACCUCUUUUCACCGGCAAGUUUGAAAUCAUAGUUGAGCUCCUUAAUAGCCCAAUAUGCCUUAUGUUCUAGUUCGCGAGGUAAGUGACAUGCUUUUCCAUAUACCAUUUUAUACGGAGACAUACCCAUAGGAUUUUUAUAUGCAGUUCUAUAGGCCCAUAAUGCAUCAUCAAGUUUCUUGGACCAAUUCUUUCUAGACCUAUUGACAGUCUUUUGCAAAAUUAAUUUGAGUUCUCUAUUACUCAAUUCUACUUGACCACUAUAUUGUGGGUGAUAUGGAGAUGCAAUUCUAUGAUUGACGUCAUAUUUAGCAAGCAUUUUACGGAAAGCACCAUGAAUAAAAUUUGAACCACCAUCAGUCAUUAAAUAUCUAGGGACUCUGAACCUCGGAAAAAUAACUUCUUUAAGCAUUUUAAUUGAAGUGUUAUGAUCAGCACUACUAGUUGAAAUGGCUUCUACCCACUUAGUAACAUAAUCAACAACAACUAAAAUAUGUGUAUAUCCAUUAGAGGCAGGAAAAGGUCCCAUAUAAUCAAAACCCCAAACAUCAAAUGGUUCAAUAACAAGUGAAUAAUUCAUAGGCAUUUAUUGACGUCUACUAAUAUUACCAAUUCUUUGACAUUCAUCACAAGAUAGGACAUACUUACGGGCAUCCUUGAAGAGAGUAGGCCAAUAAAAACCGGAUUGCAAUACCUUAUGUGCAGUUCUAUCUCCCGCGUGGUUUCCUCCAUAAGUUUCGGAGUGGCACUUGUGUAGGAUCUGUUCCUGUUCAUGCUCAGGUACACAACAUCUAAUAACACCAUCUACUCCUUCUUUAUAAAGAUGUGGGUCAUCCCAAAAGUAAUGUCUCAAAUCAUAGAAUAACUUUUUCUUUUGUUGGUAUGUGAAGCUAGGUGGUAUAAAUUUAGCAACUAUGUAAUUAGCAUAAUCAGCAUACCAAGGAGUACUACGGGAAGUACUUAUGACAUUUAAUUGUUCAUCAGGAAAGCUAUCGUCAAUAGGUAGUGGGUCAUCAAGAACAUUCUCUAACCUAGAUAAAUUGUCUGCAAUGGGGUUCUCAGCUCCUUUUCUACCAACAAUAUGCAAAUCAAAUUCUUGUAACAAGAGAACCCGUCUAAUAAGUCUAGGUUUAGCAUCUUUCUUCUCCAUAAGAUAUUUAAUAGCAGCAUGAUUAGUGUGGAUAGUUACUUUAGAAUCAACAAUAUAAGGUCUGAACUUAUCACAAGCAAAUACAACUGCUAAAAGUUCUUUUUCAGUAGUAGCAUAAUUUCUUUGAGCAUUGUCUAGAGUCUUACUAGCAUAAUGGAUAAUAUUUAGUUUCUUAUCAACUCUUUGCCCUAGAACAGCACCUACAGCAUAAUCGCUAGCAUCACACAUAAUUUCAAAGGGUAAAUUCCAAUCAGGUGGUUGAACAAUAGGUGCAUAGACUAAUGCUUUCUUAAGUAUUUCAAAUGCUUCUACACAAUCAUCAUCAAAGACAAAUGGUAUAUAUUUUUGUAAUAAAUUAGUCAAAGGCCAAGAAAUUUUUGAGAAGUCCUUAAUGAACCUCCUAUAAAAUCCAGCAUGACCAAGGAAACUUCUUAUACCUUUGAUGUCCUUGGGACAUGGCAUCCUUUCAAUAGCAUCAACCUUGGCUUAAUCAACUUCAAUACCUCUUUCAGAAACUUUAUGCCCCAAGACAAUACCCUCAUUAACCAUAAAGUGGCACUUUUCCCAAUUCAAGACAAGAUUAGUUUCUUCACAUCUCUACAAAACUCGAUCAAGAUUGCUCAAGCAAUCAUCAAAAGAAGAUCCAUAGACGGAAAAGUCGUCCAUGAAAACCUCACAAAUCUUUUCACAAAAGUCAGAGAAUAUAGCCAUCAUGCAUCUUUGAAAUUUAGCAGGUGCAUUACAUAAACCAAAAGGCAUACGUCUAUAAGCAAAAGUACCAAAAGGGCAUGUAAAAGUAGUCUUUAGUUGAUCUUUAGCCGACACAGGUAUUUGAGAGAAACCAGAAUAACCAUCUAGAAAGCAAUAAUGUGUAUGUUUGCAUAAUCUUUCUAGCAUUUGAUCGAUAAAAGUUAAGGGGUAAUGAUCUUUCUUAGUAGCCUUAUUUAAUUUGCGGAAAUUAAUUACCAUCCUAUAACCUGUAAUAAUUCUUUGUGGAAUCAAUUCAUCUUUAUCAUUAGGAACAACAGUAAUACCUCCCUUCUUAAGGACACAAUGAACAAGACUUACCCACUGACUAUCAGCAACGGGAUAAAUUGUACCUGCCUCCAGAAGCUUUAGUAUUUCUUUUCUUACCACUUCUUUUAUUUUAGGAUUCAGACGCCGUUGAGGAUCACGAACUGGUUUGGCAUCUGCUUCCAAAUUUAUUUUAUGUUGACAUAGAGUGGGACUAAUGCCCUUAAGAUCAUCAAGAGUAUAUCCAAUAGCAGCACGGUGCUUCUUCAGAGUUUUCAAUAAUCUUUCUUCUUCAUGCUCUGAAAGGUUAGCACUAAUAAUAACAUGAUAUAUCUUCUUUUCAUCAAGAUAUGCAUAUUGAAGAUUAUCAGGCAAUGGUUUAAGCUCAAACACGGGAUCACCCUUAGGUGGAGGGGGAUGCCCUAGGAUUUCAACAGGCAAAUUGUGUGUCAGCAUAGGUUCUUGUUUAAAGAACACUUCAUCUAUUUCCCUUCUUUCAUUCAUAAACAUAUCAUUCUCAUGGUCUAGCAAAUAUUGUUCUAAAGGAUUACUAGGAGGUACGGCAAUAGAAGCAAGACCAAUAAUUUCAUCCUUACUAGGCAAUUCUUCUUCACGGUGUUGUUUACUAAAUUUAGAGAAAUUAAACUCAUAAGUCAUAUCAUCUAAGCCAAUAGUAACAACAUUCUUUUCGCAGUCUAUCCUAGCAUUAACUGUAUUCAAGAAAGGUCUACCAAAUAUAACGGGACAAAAGCUAUCUUGUGGGGAACUAAGAACAAGAAAAUCAGUAGGAUAUUUAGUUUUCCUGCACAAGACUUCAACAUCUCUAACAAUUCCCAUUGCUGAAAUAGUAUCUCUAUUAGCAAGUUUAGUUGUGACAUCAAUAUCUUCUAACUCAGCAGGUGCAAUUUCAUGCUUGAUUUCUUUAUACAAGUCAUAAGGUAUAACACUAGCACUAGCACCCAUAUCACAUAAGCCAUGAUAACAAUGAUCUCCUAUUUUAACAGAAAUAACAGGCACGCCUACCACAGGUCUAUGUUUAUCUUUAGCACAAGGUUUAGCAAUUCUAGCAGUUUCACCGCAGAACUGAAUAACAUGCCCAUCAAUAUUAUCAGACAAGAGCUCUUUAACAAUAGCAACAUUAGGUUCAACUUUAACUUGCUUAGGAGGUGUAUAUGUUUUAAUAUUGCUUUUUUGAACAACAGUUGAAGCUUUAGCAUGAUCCUUUAUUCUAACAGGGAAAGGUGGUUUCUCAACAUAAGAAGUAGAAACAAUAGGAUCAUUAUAAGUGAUAGUCUUUUCUUCAACUUUAAUAGGUGCAGCUACUUUUACUUCUAUGGGAGGAUGAUAUUUAAACAACUUCUCCUUAGGGAGAUCAACAUAAGUAGCAAAAUAUUCACAGAAAGAAGCUACUAUCUCAGAAUCAAGUCCAUAUUUAGUACUAAACUUACGGAAAAUAUCGGUAUCCAUAAAAGAGUUAACACAAUCAAACUUAGGUGUCAUACCUGACUCCUUACUAUUGUCGAGGUCCCAAUCUUCAGAGUUGCGUUUAAUUCUAUUCAAUAAAUCCCAUUUGAAUUCAAUAGUCUUCAUCAUAAAAGAGGCAGCACAAGAAGUAUCAAGCAUGGUGCGAUUGUUAUCAGAAAGCCGAGCAUAAAUUUUUUGAAGAAUUGUUUCUCUUGGAAGCUCAUGGUUGGGGCAUGAAUAUAACAUUGAUUUAAGCCUCCCCCAAGCUUGAGCGAUGCUUUCUCCUUCACGGGGCCAAAAAUUAUAUAUAUAACUGCGAUCACGAUGAAAAAGAUGCAUAGGGUAAUACUUUUGAUGAAAUUCCAAUUUCAAUCUUCUAUAGUUCCAUGAUCCCGUAUCAUCACAUAGCCUAUACCAUACCAAUGCGUCUCCCUUCAAAGAUAAAGGGAAGACCUUCUUAGCAACAUCAUCGGGUAUACCUGGAAGCUUAAAUAAUCCACAAACUUCAUCCACAUAUAUUAGGUGUUCAUCAGGAUGCUUUGUUCCAUCUCCUGUAAAAGGAUUAGCUAGCAGUUUUUCUAUCAUACUCGAAGGAUACUCAUAAGGAAUUUCAUUUUCAUAUUCAUUUUCAAUAGGUUCAGUAGGUUGAGGAGCAACUGUUUGCUCUACUGGUCGGGGUGAAGAUACCCCGAACAAGCCCCUUAGAGGAUUACUUUACAUAGUAACAAGUGACAGUAAAUUUCCGCACACUAUAUAAAUCUUUCCUUACCAAAUUCCACCUACCAAAGGCGCUUCACUCCCUGGCAACGGUGCCAGAAAAGAGUCUUGAUGACCCACAAGUAUAGGGGAUCUAUCGUAGUCCUUUCGAUAAGUAAGAGUGUCGAACCCAACGAGGAGCAGAAGGAAAUGAUAAACGGUUUUCAGCAAGGUAUUCUCUGCAAGUACUGAAAUAAGUGGUAACAGAUAGUUUUGUGAUAAGAUAAUUUGUAACGAGCAACAAGUAACAAAAAGUAAAUAAAGUGCAGCAAGGUGGCCCAAUCCUUUUUGUUGCAAAGGACAAGCCUGGACAAACUCUUAUAUAAGGAAAAGCGCUCCCGAGGACACAUGGGAAUAUCGUCAAGCUAGUUUUCAUCACGUUCAUAUGAUUCACGUUCCGUACUUUGAUAAUUUGACAUGUGGGUGGACCGGUGCUUGGGUGUUGUUCUUACUUGAACAAGCAUCCCACUUAUGAUUAACCUCUAUUGCAAGCAUCCGCAACUACAACAAAAUCAUUAAGGUAAACCUAACCAUAGCAUGAAACAUAUGGAUCCAAAUCAGCCCCUUACGAAGCAAUGCAUAAACUAGGGUUUAAGCUUCUGUCGCUCUAGAAACCCAUCAUCUACUUAUUACUUCCCAAUGCCUUCCUCUAGGCCCAAAUAAUGGUGAAGUGUUAUGUAGUCGACGUUCACAUAACACCACUAGAGGCUAGACAACAUACAUCUUAUCAAAAUAUCGAACACAUACCAAAUUCACAUGACUACUAAUAGCAAGACUUCUCCCUUGUCCUCAGGAACAAACAUAACUACUCACAAAGCAUAAACAUGUUCAUAAUCAGAGGGGUAUUAAUAUGCAUAUAGGAUCUGAACAUAUGAUCUUCCACCAAUUAAACCAACUAGCAUCAACUACAAGGAGUAAUUAACACUACUAGCAACCUACUAGCACCAAUCCCGGACUUGAAGACAAGAAUCAAAUACAAGUGAUGAACUAGGGUUUUGAGAUGAGAUGGUGCUGAUGAAGAUGUUGAUGGAGAUUGCCCUCUCCCGAUGAGAGGAGCGUUGGUGAUGACGAUGGUGAUGAUUUCCCCCUCCGGGAGGGAAGUUUCCCCGGCAGAACAGCUCUGCCGGAGCUCUAGAUUGGAUCCGCCAAGGUUCCGCCUCAUGGCGGCGGAGUUUCGUCCCGAAAGGUUGCUUCUUUUUUUUCUCGACGAAAGACUUCAUAUAGGAGAAGAUGGUCAUCGGAGAGCCACCAGGGGGCCCACGAGGUAGGGGCGCGCCCUAGGGUGGGCGCCCCCCACCCUCAUGAGCAGGGUGUGGGGCCCCUGGUCUUCAUCUUUGGCGAGGAUUUUUCAUUAUGUAUUAUAAGGUAUUCCGUGGAGUUUCAGGACUUUUGCAGUUGUGCAGAAUAGGUCUCUAAUAUUUGCUCCUUUUCCAGCCCAGAAUUCCAGCUGCCGGCGUUCUCCCUCCUUAUGUAAACCUUGUAAAAUAAGAGAGAAUAGCCAUAAGUAUUGUGACAUAAUGUGAAAUAACAGCCCAUAAUGCAAUAAAUAUCGAUAUACAAGCAUGAUGCAAAAUGGACGUAUCAAGAAGCCAUCUAGCUAAUAACUAUGGACCCGAAGGUCUGAAGUAAACUACUCACACAUCAUCGGAGAGGCUAUGGUGUUGAGGUAGAAGCCCUCCGUGAUUGAUGCCCCCUUCAGUAGAGCUCCGAAACAGGCCCCAAGAUGGGAUCUCACGGGUACAGAAGGUUGCGGCGGUGGAAUUAGGUUUUUGGCUCCGUAUCUGGUAGUUUGGGGGUACGUAGGUAUAUAUAGAAGGAAGGAGUAUGUCGGUCGAGCAACAGGGGGCCCACGAGGGUGGAGGGCGCGCCCCCCACCUCGUGGCCUCGUGGUUGAUGUCUUGACGUAUGGCCCAAGUCCUCAUGAUCACGUUCGUUCCAAAAAUCACGUUCCCGAAGGUUUCAUUCCGUUUGGACUCCGUUUGAUAUUCUUUUUCUGCGAAACCCUGAAAUAGGCAAAAAAACAACAAUUCUGGGUUGGGCCUCCGGUAAAUAGGUUAGUCCCAAAAAUAAUAUAAAAGUGUAUAAUAAAGUCCAAUAAUGUCCAAAACAGAAUAUAAUAUAGCAUGGAACAAUAAAAAAUUAUAGAUACGUUGGAGACGUAUCAGUAGGCAGCCAGAGUCAGCAGGAAAUUUGACCUUUUUCCCUUGCUUUUGGCUGGGCUUUAGGUGGGCCUUGCUUAAUCAUACGCCGGGCCGGGCUGAACAAUGUAUGUUUGAAAAUCCCCAAGUUGAGCCAGGACCGGCCCAGCCCAAAUGUUAUUUCCUACUAGUAUUUAACUUAUGGAAAAAAUUGCAACUCUAGAUUUUGCCAAUUUUCCUUAUGCCACUCUAGAUUUUGACAUUUCACUUUUGUCACUCUUAGUUUUCGACAAUUAUCACAAUUGCCAUUCCCAUGGCAAAAGCAAAAUUUUCAAUGGAAUGGCAAUUGUGAUAAUUGUCAAAAACUAAGAGUGGGCAAAAUAAAAUAAAAUUAUUUUGCUUUUGCCACAGAAUGGCAAUUGUGAUAAUUGUGCAAAACUAAGAGUGGUAAAGGUGAAAUGUCAAAAUCUAGAGUGGCAUAAGGAAAAUUGGCAAAAUCUAGAGUGGCAAAAACAUAAUUUUCCCUUUAACUUAAGACUGAAAAAACUAGUAUUUAACUUAAUCAUUUUCAGGGUAUUAAAAAUAAAUAUAUUACCAUACCUCAUAUAUGAAUAAAAUGCCAAGUAUGACCUUGUUUGGGCUUUUUUUGAGCUUUUGGACGAGAAAGCUGAGCUUGAGCCUAGCCCAAAUGUCUGGGGCCCCGGGCAGUUGGGCCGGGCUUCCAAGCUCAUGUUUAGGUGGACCCUAGUUCAUAUUGGACAUAUUUUUUGCUUCCUUUUGAGUGUUGAACGAUCAAGUCAAAUUUGUGCGUUCAGCGAUGUGAUAUGGCGUAUAGCGAUGUAGACGAAAAUUAAUCAUAUAACCAACAUUCAUAAUUAGCAAGUACUCGUUUUCACCAGGUUUUAAAAUAACUAAUAGCGGGUUCAUAGUUGUUCAGCCUUCAACAUGGUUAGGACUAAAUAUUGAUUGAUAUGAUCGUAGAAUAAAUCGACACUUGGUAUCAGUGAGAAUGUGUAACCGAUAAUUUGAACAUGACUGAAAGAGCAUGGUGCCCCAUGUUUGGUUUUGGUAAUUGAUGACAAUCCCUAUGGACUAAUUGUUGCCUUGAGUUAUAUUUGAAGGGUUUGUCCACAGGUAUUGCUUGAAGACCAUUUGUUGGCUUCAAGGUUAUAAGAAGAAGAUUAUGUAUUAGCAAGGUGUUAUUCAAGGAGUUAUCCAGAGAUUGGUCAUGUGAGAAUUGAGCCUAUUGCAAGCAUGUCUUGAGGUGGGGGGAGGUCGUGCGCCAUGGGUUGGAGGGCGUGCGAGCCGGGCACUAGCGCCGUGUGGGAUUUGUCACUAGCGGUGAGCAAUAAGAUGAGUGUUUUUUAGGGGAAAUAAAAUGAGCUGGCAGGAAGUUGGACCUUUUUCCUUCAUUUGGGUUGAGCUUUAGGUGGACCUUGACCUGAUCAUACCCCGGGCUGGGCUCAACAAUGUACGUCUGAAAAUCCCAAGUUGAGCCAGGACCGGCCCAACCCAAAUAUAAUUUCCUAGUAUUUAACUUAAUUGUUUUCAGGGUAUUUGAAAUAAAUAUAUUACCAUACCUAAUAUUCAGAUAAAAUGCCAAUUAUGACCUAGUUUGGGUUUUUUCGUGCUUUGGACGGGAAAGAUUGUGGUGUUAUCAAGGUUGAUAUCGAAAAGGAAGAUAUCAUCUAACCCAUGGAAGAUGACAUCAAAGUGGUGAUCGUCAUCAAGGUUGCAGUGUGCAAGUUCAAGUGGAGCAUCACGAAGAGAUUGGACUUGAAGCUUGCCAUCCAUUCUCGUGAUAAUGGAUAUGUGAAGAUGUGUCUAAGAGAGGCUCACCCAUAGUAGAGUAUGAGGGAGCAAUCUAGUAGUCUUCAUCGAGUGUACGCUAUCAAGAAAGGUGGUCCAACUUGAGGAAGUCAAGAUCGUCAUCAUCUAGCUCAAGUGGACUAUGCGCAAGGCAAAGGUUUGACCGUGAUAGGUUUUCUAUUUUACCAGUCUCAUGGUGCUAGUUGGGAGACCGGGUUAUNNNNNNNNNNNNNNNNNNNNNNNNNNNNNNNNNNNNNNNNNNNNNNNNNNNNNNNNNNNNNNNNNNNNNNNNNNNNNNNNNNNNNNNNNNNNNNNNNNNNNNNNNNNNNNNNNNNNNNNNNNNNNNNNNNNNNNNNNNNNNNNNNNNNNNNNNNNNNNNNNNNNNNNNNNNNNNNNNNNNNNNNNNNNNNNNNNNNNNNNNNNNNNNNNNNNNNNNNNNNNNNNNNNNNNNNNNNNNNNNNNNNNNNNNNNNNNNNNNNNNNNNNNNNNNNNNNNNNNNNNNNNNNNNNNNNNNNNNNNNNNNNNNNNNNNNNNNNNNNNNGGGAGCUCAAACCAUUGCAUAAUUGGCAUCAUCUUUCUUGGUUCUUGUUUGGAUUUUCUCUAUGUGAGUUUUGGAGCUUGUGGUCAUUUUCAUGACAAGCUCAAGUUCAUCGAAAACGGAUUUUCUAUGCAUCAUCUAUUAUGUUUUUCAUGUUGGAGUUUAUUGUCGAUUCUUCGCUGAUGGUGGUUUCACACCUCUAUAUCAUUGGCAUAUUUCUAUUUGUGAUUUGACAUCUCUUUUUGUUAGCUUUCUAUCAAUCUUAAGUUCGUCGAAAUCAGAGUUCAUUUGCAGAAGUUAUGACAGUUUCUGUCUUACUUGUUUCAUCUGUUGUGCAUUGGUCUUUUGGCAGAGACUAGGCAGUAGUACUGCUGGUGCCCACGGUAGUGCCGCUUCGGCGGUACUUCCGCUGGCUUGUACCGCGCUACUUUCGCUUGGCUGGAGUCUUGUGUUCCCCUCAAUUGCUCGCGGUAGUACCACUUAGGCGGUACUUCUACUGGGCAGUACCGCAGCUACUUCCACUUGAGUUGAGUCUUUUGUAUGCUCUCCGCCAAUUCAUGGUAGUAUUGCUAGCACUAUACGGUAGUACCGCUUCAUGUGGUACUUCGGCUCUGGUGAUGUGUUGGCUACCGAUGGUUCCUCUGUAACCCUUCGACAAUUAGCGGCAGUACCGCUAGUCGGCGGCAGUAGUACCACUCCGGUGAAACUAUCGUUCUAGUACUUCAGUACUCAUUGGGUUGCAUUGACUGGGCUAAGCGGUGGUAUCGCUCCCCGAGCGAUAUUACUGCUCCCUUGAGCGAUACUACCGUUGGUGCACGACAUGUGCACAUAACGGUUGGAUCUGAGCCCCAUCUAUAAAAGGGGGUCUUCUUCCCCAAUUCCCCAACAUUUAUUUGCAAGCUUUCUCUGCAAUUGUUGACCUCCAAAAGCUUUUUUUCUCUAUUCCUCCCAUGAAUAUUGCAUCUUUUUGAGGGAAAAGAGAUAGGAGAUCUAGAUCUACAUUUCCGCCAAUUCAUAUCUCCUCUAAGUGAGGGGAACCUUGUGGAUAUACAUCUUGGAGUUUCUUUUGUGUUCUCCUUGGUCUUCCUCUCAUAUUCCUCCAUAGCUGUCGUUGCAUUGGUGGGAUUUGAGAGUGCGGGACUUGAGCAAUUCGUGUGUUCUUGUCAUUGCAUUAGUUGCACUAGGUUGAGUUCUCCACGGUGAUACGUGGAAGUGAAAGUUGAGAAGCUUAUUACUCUUGGGUGUUUUAGCACCCUAGCUAGAGCUUGUGCCUCUUGGGUGCUUGGGCGCCCUAGACAGUUGGUUGUGUUGCGGAGCUUAAUCAUUGUGGUGUAAAGCUCCAGGCAAGCUUCGGGGUCUCCAAUUAAGUUGUGGAGAUUGCCCCAACCAAAUUGUAUGGGUUCGGUGAUCGCUCCAAGGGUCGCCAGUUGUACGGGUUCGGUGACCGUCCUCAAGGGUCCCAUAGCGGGAUCAUGGUAUCUUGCAUUAUGCGAGGGCGUGAGGCGAAUAUAGUGGCCCCUAGGCAUUUUGGGGAGCAUUGUGCCUCCACACCACUCUAAUGAAGAUUAGCAUUCUCAAGGGUGUGAACUUCGGCAUACAUUGUUGUCUACGCGUGCCUCGGUUAUAUCUUACCCGAGCCUCUUUACUUAUACACUUUACUUUGUGAUAGCCUUCGUGUUUCAAGUAUAUAUCUUACUAUCACAUAGUUGUUUAUCUUGUUUAGCAUAAGUUGUUGGUGCACAUAGUUGAGCCUGGUAUACUUAGGUUUUGUGCUAGACAAAUUAAAUGCUAGUUUUGUUCCGCACGUGUUCAAGCCUAACCAUAAUCUCUACUGCUAAUGGGGGAGUACGUUGUCAUUUCGUUUGGUUAGACUUCCCCAUCGAACAAUAAAAACAACCCCACCGAUGUUUUUCCUUCUGCUUCGUUCCUGAUCCAUUCCUGAUUAUGCUUUUCUUUCCAAACCCGCCCCCACCCGGAUUGCUUCAUGUCCAUCCCCUCUCGUCCCUUGAGAUGGAAAGUAAUCUGCUCCCGGUAAUCAACCAAAUCAUAUCCCAUAUAUGGAAGAGAUGGAGAGAUAAGCAUGGCAUGGAGAGAGGAGAGACACGGAGGUGCAUGCAUGCAAAGCCCACCCCUGUAUAAGCUUGAAGAGUAGGCUAUGCAGUUACAACAGAGACGUACAACACCUUGCGCCAGCCAUGGAAGAUAGACACAUAGUAGAGGGGAGCGUGGUGGCCUCUGGCUGUCGCGCUGGAGUACAGAUGGGACAUGAUUUGUGUGGAAUCACUAGAAUAUGUGUGCCAUCUAAUGAGUUGAUUGGGUGGGAAGUGCGAUUCGGUAUGAUCCUAGAUCUCUCUCUCUCUCUCUCUCUCCUCGCACUUUAAAUGGCUUCCUGCCCAGUAGAUGGAAAGAGGGGUUUGGGUUGGGAGGAAGAAGCUGUACAGAUCGAAGGAAAAGUAGAACAAAGGGACGGGUACGAAUCACAUUUGUUCGAAUGUCUUCUCUCUUUUGGUAGUUUUAGAGUCAUCGGCACAUCAAGAAUGGCGCUAACGUUUUCAUUUUGGUCAAAUCAGGGAUUUAAAGCAUCCACACGAUCUCAGUCGUCAAUGUCCUGAAGCCAAAUUUUAUUUAUGUUAUCUCACAAAUGGUCGUGCGCUGAACCAAUAAAUAAAUAAACAUGUUUUAUCUAUUUUCACACAUUGAAUCUACUUAUUUUCUCAGAUUCUUCUCUUGACUUCGGUUCCAAUUGCAUUUCAAUAUAUCUAUUUUCACUUUACAUUAGUACAAAUAUAUCAUGCCUAUUAGAAUUAGUCAUCACAUAGUAUUGAUCGACAUGCAUGAUUAUCUUACCAAUGUUUUAUUCCAAAUGUUGUGUUGUAAUUCAUAUAUUGAUUUAAUAUUUCUUAGGUUUUUGUUGCAAGUAACUAUAUAAUUCCUUGUUACACUUCUACUACAAUUGCCAUUGACAUCACUGGCUGGUUGGCGAUACUUCAUGUGAGGUUGAUGAGGCAGCACCAGAAGUUUGAUACUCUACUGGAUGGUUGAUAAUUGUCUUAUUGGAAAGGCAAGUGCUAAACAAAAUUGUUCUAUUGGAAAUGGAUUGUGCUAUCAAGAGACUACAAUAUAUGGGUGGUUUUAUGUAUCGACAGUGCAACUCUCACCGAAUUUAAUUUGUAUUCUCUUGCUCUAACAAGGUUUCAUGAAGAUGUGCAGUAGAUACGGUAUUUUUCUAAUCGAGGCACACUUGUUCUUCCCCAAGAGAUCCCUAAGUGGUACUUAAUUUCCAGAUACUUCAAGUACAUUGACUUUUUUUGAGGAAAAGGUAAAAAAUUUCCAUGGGAUUAUUUUCACCGUCAAUUUUAGUUCAGACGAUGAUAGUUCAUAGAAUGUUAGAUUGUCCAUUGGGAAAGUUACUGAACUACGAUGGACCAGACUAUAAACUAAUCGAGUUUUACACAAUCAAAAAAGAUGGAAACAAACAAUUGUUCUUCUUCUGUAUAGAUAUGUUGCACAUGAUAAUUCAAAAGAUGAAUUUCUAUAUAUGUUUAUGUUUGCAUAUUAUGAAAAGAUGGAGAUGGAUUAUGUGGAUGUUCAGAAAUAAUCCAUUUGUGAGGGUCCUAAAGCGAUGUCAUUGGAAGGGGCCAAAAAUUCAUUGUGACGCCCGGAUAAUUAGGCUAGAGUAAUCACGUGUUAAUGAUGCCAAGCCAUCAAAGUUACUGUCGUUAAUCUCGCGUUAGUUCAGAACCGAUCCAAAUUCAAAUUUGAAAGAAAGGCAAACAACAAAACUUUUGAAACAUUAAAACCAAAAUGUUCGGUUUGUGGCAAAUAAUCCUUACUAACUAUUUGUGAAGGAACCACACUUUUAUUAUGUGUUUUAAUGCACUAAAAUGAUUUAAAUAUUAGCAAACCUGAUUAUUUAAAUGCCUUUGCAGAUUGAUAAAAUAUCAAACCAAAUUAAUUGGGGUCUAGACUUUUGUGGCGGUAGACUAAAUCGAAAUGUUCAAUUAGAUGCAAAGUAUAUAUUUUUACAGAACCUAAAAUAAUAGGAAACAAAAAUAAAACAGAAAAGAAAAGAGAAAAAUAAAGAAAACAAAAAAAAAUCAAAAACAAAGGGGACACCCCCCGGCCAACUGGGCCAACAGGCCCAGCUAGCCACCCACGCGACCCAGCCGGCCCAACCCGGUGGUAUAACCCCCACGCACCUGAAACCCUAGCCCGAUCCCUUCCCCACUUCCCCCCUCUCGGUCCACUCCCCCCCCACGACCUCCUCUGCCCUCGAUCUGGAUCGAGGAAAGNNNNNNNNNNNNNNNNNNNNNNNNNNNNNNNNNNNNNNNNNNNNNNNNNNNNNNNNNNNNNNNNNNNNNNNNNNNNNNNNNNNNNNNNNNNNNNNNNNNNNNNNNNNNNNNNNNNNNNNNNNNNNNNNNNNNNNNNNNNNNNNNNNNNNNNNNNNNNNNNNNNNNNNNNNNNNNNNNNNNNNNNNNNNNNNNNNNNNNNNNNNNNNNNNNNNNNNNNNNNNNNNNNNNNNNNNNNNNNNNNNNNNNNNNNNNNNNNNNNNNNNNNNNNNNNNNNNNNNNNNNCCCGACGUCGGCGCCGCUCCCCCCCUGUCGCCCGCCUCGCUGGACGCCCCCGCCGCCUCGACGCCACGCCCCUGCCUCGACAUGGACGACCCCGUCGUCGUCCACCCGUCGCCUCGCCGGUGCCACCCGACCCACGCCACCUCGAGCCGCUGCCUCCCCGUCCGGCUCACUGUGAGCCCCAUCCUCCCUCCUCUCUCCCCCCCGCGCAUCGACCGCGCCCGAAGGCCGCGCGCCCCGCAACCCGCACCGUGCGCCGCCCCCGUGCCAUGCGCGUUGUGGCCACGCACACAGCCCCACACCCCCGCCACGUCCUUGGUCACCUGCAGCCGCGCCCGUCACUGCCUGCCUCGCCCAGGUCGGACGCUGACCGCGCCCGGCGCGCNNNNNNNNNNNNNNGACCCCGUCGUCGUCCACCCGUCGCCUCGCCGGCGCCACCCGACCCGCGCCACCUCGAGUCGCUGCCUCCCCGUCCGGCUCACUGUGAGCCCCAUCCUCCCUCCUCUCUCCCCCCCGCACAUCGACCGCGCCCGAAGGUCGCGCGCCCCGCAACCCGCACCGUGCGCCGCCCCCGUGCCAUGCGCGUUGUGGCCACGCACACAGCCCCACACCCCCGCCACGUCCUUGGUCACCUGCAGCCGCGCCCGUCAAUGCCUGCCUCGCCCAGGCCGGACGCUGACCGCGCCCGGCGCGCGCCUAACCUCGCCGGCCUUCCCCGUCGUCUGUGCCCCGGCGGCCCCGUCCUGCUUUGCGGGCGAGUGCCCGCUCGGGUGCGCCUGCACUCUACGCCCGGGACCCGUGGCCGUUCGCCCGUUAGGGCUCCCCCUGAGCCACUGACCUUGGGGCCCCACACCCCAGAACAAAAAAAAAGAGGGAUUAAAAAAAUAUAAUAAUAAUAAAAAAUUUAAAAAAAAUGUUAAAUGAAUAAAUAGAUAAUAAUUAAAUAAUUAAAAUGUUAAUUAAUUAAUUAAUUAAGUAAUUAAUUAAGUUAAUUAAUCCUGGUUAAUUAACCUAAUAACUAAUUAACCUAAUUAACUACUGUUAAUUAAACUUAAUUAGGUUAAUUAGUUAAUAGUGUAUGACGAACGGGACCCACCUGUCAGGGUUGACUCAGUCAACCCCUGUUGACUGCUGACGUCAGCAUGACAUCAUGCUGACGUCAUAAAUACAUUUUUUCGAAUUAAUUAAAUAAAUAAUUAAAUUCCAAAAUUGUUAAAAUCUUUUAAAAAUCAUAUCUUUUAAUCCGUAACUCGGAUUAAAAUAUUUUCAACAUGAAAGUUGCUCAGAACGACGAGACGAAUCCGGAUACGCAGUCCGUUCGUCCGCCACACCCCCCUAACCUAUCGAACCCGCAACUUUCCCCCUCCGGUUCAUCUGUUAGAAAACACGAAACACCGGGAAUACUUUCCCGGAUGUUUUCCCCCCUUCACCGGUAUCACCUACUACCGCGUUAGGGCACACCGAACACCGCGUAUUGCCUUGUUAUAUUUUGUGAUGCUUUGUUUGCUCUGUAUUCAUUAUUUCUUCCCCCUCUUCUNNNNNNNNNNNNNNNNNNNNNNNNNNNNNNNNNNNNNNNNNNNNNNNNNNNNNNNNNNNNNNNNNNNNNNNNNNNNNNNNNNNNNNNNNNNNNNNNNNNNNNNNNNNNNNNNNNNNNNNNNNNNNNNNNNNNNNNNNNNNNNNNNNNNNNNNNNNNNNNNNNNNNNNNNNNNNNNNNNNNNNNNNNNNNNNNNNNNNNNNNNNNNNNNNNNNNNNNNNNNNNNNNNNNNNNNNNNNNNNNNNNNNNNNNNNNNNNNNNNNNNNNNNNNNNNNNNNNNNNNNNNNNNNNNNNNNNNNNNNNNNNNNNNNNNNNNNNNNNNNNNNNNNNNNNNNNNNNNNNNNNNNNNNNNNNNNNNNNNNNNNNNNNNNNNNNNNNNNNNNNNNNNNNNNNNNNNNNNNNNNNNNNNNNNNNNNNNNNNNNNNNNNNNNNNNNNNNNNNNNNNNNNNNNNNNNNNNNNNNNNNNNNNNNNNNNNNNNNNNNNNNNNNNNNNNNNNNNNNNNNNNNNNNNNNNNNNNNNNNNNNNNNNNNNNNNNNNNNNNNNNNNNNNNNNNNNNNNNNNNNNNNNNNNNNNNNNNNNNNNNNNNNNNNNNNNNNNNNNNNNNNNNNNNNNNNNNNNNNNNNNNNNNNNNNNNNNNNNNNNNNNNNNNNNNNNNNNNNNNNNNNNNNNNNNNNNNNNNNNNNNNNNNNNNNNNNNNNNNNNNNNNNNNNNNNNNNNNNNNNNNNNNNNNNNNNNNNNNNNNNNNNNNNNNNNNNNNNNNNNNNNNNNNNNNNNNNNNNNNNNNNNNNNNNNNNNNNNNNNNNNNNNNNNNNNNNNNNNNNNNNNNNNNNNNNNNNNNNNNNNNNNNNNNNNNNNNNNNNNNNNNNNNNNNNNNNNNNNNNNNNNNNNNNNNNNNNNNNNNNNNNNNNNNNNNNNNNNNNNNNNNNNNNNNNNNNNNNNNNNNNNNNNNNNNNNNNNNNNNNNNNNNNNNNNNNNNNNNNNNNNNNNNNNNNNNNNNNNNNNNNNNNNNNNNNNNNNNNNNNNNNNNNNNNNNNNNNNNNNNNNNNNNNNNNNNNNNNNNNNNGUGGCUCCAUCCCGGUAGAGGUGGGCCUGGGUUCCCGACGGCCCUCGACUGUUACUUUGUGGCGGAGCGACAGGGCAGGUUGAGACCACCUAGGAGACAGGUGGGCCUGGCCCUGUUCGGCGUUCGCGGAUACUUAACACGCUUAACGAGAUCUUGGUAUUUGAUCUGAGUCGGCUACGAGCCUAUACGCACUAACCAUCUACGUGGGAGUAGUUAUGGGUAUCCCGACGUCGUGGUAUCAGCCGAAGCACUUCAGACGUCAGCGACGGAGCGGCGCGCGCCGGAUUGGAACGUAAGCCUGCUCUUGUAUUAAGGGGGCUAGUUCUGCUUCCGGCCGCCCACGCAACGUGCAGGUGUGCUAUGGGCGAUGGGCCCAGACCCCUGUGCGCUUAGGUUUAGACCGGCGUGCUGGCCUCUCUGUUUUGCCUAGGUGGGGCUGCGACGUGUUGAUCUUCUGAGGCCGGGCAUGACCCAGGAAAGUGUGUCCGGCCAAAUGGGAUCGAGCGUGUUGGGUUAUGUGGUGCACCCCUGCAGGGAAGUUAAUCUAUUCGAAUAGCCGUGAUCUUCGGUUACAGGACGACUUGGAGUUGUACCUUGACCUUAUGACAACUAGAACCGGAUACUUAAUAAAACACACCCUUCCAAGUGCCAGAUACAACCGGUGGUCGCUCUCCCUCAGGGAUACGAGGGGAGGAUCGCCGGGUAGGAUUAUGCUAUGAGAUGCUAUUUGGAGAUGCUACUUGGAGAUGCUAUUUGGAGGACUUCAGUCUACUCUCUUCUACAUGCUGUAAGACGGAGGCUGCCAGAAGCGUAGUCUUCGACAGGAUUAGUUAUCCCCCUCUUAUUCUGGCAUUCUGCAGUUCAGUCCACUGAUAUGGCCUCCUUACACAUAUACACAUGCAUAUGUAGUGUAGAUCCUUGCUUGCGAGUACUUUGGAUGAGUACUCACGGUUGCUUUCUUCCCCCCUUUUCCCCCUUUCCUUUCUUUCUGGUUGUCGCAACCAGAUGCUGGAGUCCAGGAGCCAGACGCCACCGUCGACGACGACCCCUACUACACUGGAGGUGCCUACUACUACGUGUUGCCCGCUGACGACGACCAGGAGUAGUUUAGGAGGAUCCCAGGCAGGAGGCCUGCGCCUCUUUCGAUCUGUAUCCCAGUUUGUGCUAGCCUUCUUAAGGCAAACUUGUUUAACUUAUGUAUGUACUCAGAUAUUGUUGCUUCCGCUGACUCGUCUAUGAUCGAGCACUUGUAUUCGAGCCCUCGAGGCCCCUGGCUUGUAUUAUGAUGCUUGUAUGACUUAUUUAUGUUUUAGAGUUGUGUUGUGAUAUCUUCCCGUGAGUCCCUGAUCUUGAUCGUACACAUUUGCGUGCAUGAUUAGUGUACGAUUGAAUCGGGGGCGUCACAAGUUGGUAUCAGAGCCGACUGCCUGUAGGAAUCCCCCUUUCCAAUUCCUUGGCCGAAGUUGAGUCUAGUCAUUGCAAAACUUUUACUAACUUGGCUGUGUGCCUUACGGGCCCACGUCGCCAUCGGGUGGUAUUAGGAUCUUUUAUUCCUCGACCUAUACUCUGGGACUCUUAUUUCUCUUCUAUUCGGGUUAAAUGAUUUUUGCUAAAACUAACUAUAGGUUCUCGCAAGUACUUUCUCCCGGAGAGCCAUUUGUUACCGAUGACCGCCUGCUGCACCAGUAGAUUUCGAAGAUACUCUCCGAUUUUCUCUCGAGACCUUGUGCCCGUUGCUUUUGCAAUUCUCGACCACCGAUAAACCCUUAUGGAUAACUACUUACACUUGCCAUUCAUACGAUCCUCCCCCAUUGAUCUUGUUAUUACAAGAUACCCCGAAGUUUUCUCUAUUGUUCCGAGAAUACGUUGUGCCUACUGCCUAGCAGUUCUUUGCCACACGAAUACCCCUUCAAAUAAAUCCUCGCACUUGUCGAGUAUCCGCUCACCCCCAGUUGUUCAUGUGUUUCACAAAAGUCUUCAAAAUACUAUUCGAUCUUCCGAAAAUCCUCUGGAGCCUUUGGCUCUUGAAAUUCUUGCUUGCUUGCAUUAUGGUUAAUCCCAUAAGUCUCGUAGUCUUCUUGACAUUCCUUGUCAUUAUCAUUUUCAGUCUGUUGACUCAAUAUGAUUGCGAAUACACGCAAUCAUCAUUGAUCCUUAUAAAUUACAUUUCCGGCUGAGCUGCAAUUCUUUUAACUGGAAUUGGUUCUCGACCAAUCCAAUUGUCGUUGAUUGUACCCUAAGGCUAUUCAACUUAUCCAUUCCUAAUCAGAGCAUUGCUUCUGAUCCCUUGACAUGGAAUUCAUAAUUCCUUUGCAAUUAAGCUUUGAAUUAGUCAGUUGUUUCUAUCUUCUGAUCUCCUUGCAUUCUUCUUCUUCUGGUUGAGUACCGAUACUCACAUCAGCCCCGUUGUGGAUCGCCAUAUCCACUGUUGGAUUAUUAUCCGAUAGUGUCCUUCAUAAUUAAUCACCUUGUGAGUUCUUUCUCUGAUACAUAAUGCCUUUGGUAAAUUGUAUCCUCUCCUUUUUUUAACCUUGCUCUGCUUUCGAGCUUGUGUUAUUUACCUUGGAAGUUUGUAGCAUAUGUUCCUUAAAUGCCCCAAUGGGUUGAACCGAUGCCUUCCUUACUAUGUGUGAACUCGGAAGUUUUCACGGGUCAUACUCAUCUAGUAUUUCACCAGGUAUAACUUUCAACACUAAUGCCAUUAUCGAAACGAGAAGUGAAUGUAAGGUUAUGCUUUGGAGAAGUGGGAGUCGACCUCGAACCUUGUGUUCAUGCCCAUGGACGCGAUGUAUAUCCUAUCAUGGAAGCUUCUUGUAAUAAUAACUAUUUCCUUGAUAACUAACAUAUGGUAUCUGUGAAUUGAUCCCUUGAAACCGUGGUUCCGACCAUGAUUGUUCUUCCUUGAUUCCAUUUCUCGGACAAGUUAAAACAAUUGUCUUCUAUGGAUAGAUACACCCGUCCAAUCUUUACUUUGAUCUUGUGUCGAGUAUUACCCCCUGGUAUCUCAAGAUUAUCUUGGAACUGCAUAACUUCUUAUGAGUUCUUCAUCAAGUGCUACCUUUCCACUGAUUCCAAUUUUUCACGGGCUCUGAGUUAUUAUACACUCAAAGACACCGAUAACUGAAUCGAGUUCGCAUUGCGAUUCAACAAGUAUUUGAACCCAUCACUGCUUACAAAUUUAUUAAUCCUUCAAGUCAUUCCUAGCCUGAUCGGCUAUAUCAUUAUCGAGCUAAUUUUAACUGUGCUACCCGGUCCUUCUUCCCGGAGCACAAUUUUCGACGAUGAACUAACCUUACGUCGAUCAUCAUCGUCAUAUCAUUUCGCCUUGAACAACAAGCUUGGUUUCGAGUUUGUGUCGUACCCUUGGUUCCAAUAACCUUUCACUUUAUCAUUACUUUGACUUGAUGUCAUCACCGAUCGAUUACAUCUUCAUGAACUCUCGCGACAAAUGUGUCGUGAAUAUCAUCAACAUUCUGAACUCUUCCAAGAGAUCUAUUGAAAUCAUGAUGAGAAAUACCAUCCUUGCCCUCGAUGAUUGGUGUUAUCAGCGACAACAUUAUUGCAUUCCCUCCAACACAAAACUUGUUCCUGUAUUGUGUUGUACCUUGAGUUCCUUGCUAUCCAACUUAUGUUAUAUUCUACCGCGGAGUAUUACCAUCUUUGAUGUUAAGAAUGUUGUGAGGAUUGCUCCACCUCUUAAGAAUUCUUGCUAUAAUGAUACUUCUCACCAUCACCAUUCUUUCUUGGUCCUCGUGUUGAUUCCAACCGGGGUACCCACAAGUGAACGGUGUUGUUUGGAUUAUGCACUUCUAGCAACCAUAUUGCUUUGAAGUUAAUGAUCGAUAGUUCAUUCUAAGUCCUUCGCUAAUUGAAUCACCAUUCUAACAUUGGUCGUGCAACCCAACCCGUACUUCGGGCGCACCCUUCAACCAAUGUUUAAUUGUGUAUGUUUUCCUCGAGCAUACUUCCUUAUAUCAUUUGAUCUGACAAAUGUUAUCUCCUUGUUCACUUAAUGGUGGAAAUCCAUCUUUUGGGAAUCUCGGUGAAUUGCCGUUGAGUUCACCAGACACCUCCUUGUCCUCUCCUUGGUUUAAUGGUGAACUAUUGCUUCAAAAACCCGCUCUCAUAGUUCAUUUCCCGAGAAUCUUACAGUGUCAUCCCGUCAAUUGGUGUUGCACCUUUCUUCUCAGGCAUCCUGAGCCUGAGGUAUCCUGACACCAAUCAUACCUGAAUCUCCGUCAGAUAUGAUGGUUAGGACAACUUUCCAAGAGUUAUGAUAUUGAUCCUUUGAUGACCCGGUAACAUGAUGUCAUGCCUAGCACCCCCCCCCCCCGGCUGGAGGACCUAUCAUUAUAAUUUCUUUUGCAAGAUAACCAUUCUUCCUAGAGGAAAUUGUAAGACUUAUCCUACAAGUUGUUCCUAAUGGAUCUUUCCUAUAUCCAAAGUUUGGCCUUGAUUGAAACAAACACCAUGUCAAUGCUAUCUCGAAGCAUGUCUGUGGUACUCCGAUUUUCAACAAGAACAUUUGAAGCCCAAUGCUAAAUGUUUCUUGCUCAAUUAUCCAAACACCGAUGUAUGGGUAAUGUCAUGAAAAUUCUCUCCCCUACCUAAAGAGUUUUCUACAUUAUAUCCUGUCAUGGAUAUCAUGCUCUGCUUAUCCUUGGGAAGGAUAUACCCCUGAAAUAUGUGUUUAAACACAUUUUCCUUUCCAUUGUUCUGUUUAACCUGAUGAUCACAUUUUCCUUUCCAUUGGUUUGUUUGACCUUUCUUGUGAUCUAUAUAACCUAAGCAGUAAUAAUUUACUUCUUAUGUAAACACCUCGGUGUACAACUCUGCCAGUGAGACCCUGUUACUUUUGUUGAUGACAUUUUGGUAACCACCGAUGGACGAGAACUUUGCCUAAUGGUCCGCCUCGUUCAACGAGCAGGAAAAUGGUUCUCUUCGUCCCUCGCCCUUGGUACCGAUGUUGUUGCCGACAUAACCGACAGACUAUCCUCUGGCAUGCCUUGCUUACAUGAUCGUGCAAGAUGUCACUGUCCUUCCUACUUUUAAUCCACAUGGUGGGCCCAUAACCCACAGUUCCACAGGAUCGAAACCUGACUCUCCUGUACACCCCCUGUUCCCAAAGUUAUUCCUCCCGCGUGGACUCGUAUGUAAUUCAUGAGCCACCUUCCGAUGAGAUCAUCAAUUCUGGCAUCGGAAACAAUAAUUAUUCCGUUGCUUGAAACCCCUUUCACCUUCUGACUAGGCAUUGAACGAUCGCCUGGCUGCCAAAAUCUUCUUAUUGUACCUUCGUACCUUACUCUUGAUGUAUUCGAUAUGUUCAGCUCGAGAGAUAAUCUUACGCUCAUUCAUGGGUUAACCCCAGAUUGUUUCCCUCAUAAACAUUCUGUCGUAGCCGAGCUGCCCCUUACCUAUUUGCAAGUACGUUGGAGUUCCCGAGAAAAGGACGACAUCACCAUGAUGGCCUGAAGCAGAGAAAUGAAGACGUCAAUCUAAUGGAUCGACCUCUUCAAGAAGAGCAACCAAGACUGAGAAGAUUCGUUAGCAUUUCGUAACCAGACCUUUCCCCCUUAGUCCCCCUCUUAAAUCUCGGGACGAGAUUUCUUGUAGUGGAGGAGAAUUGUGACGCCCGGAUAAUUAGGCUAUAGUAAUCACGUGUUAAUGAUGCCAAGCCAUCAAAGUUACUGUCGUUAAUCUCGCGUUAGUUCAGAAACGAUCCAAAUUCAAAUUUGAAAGAAAGGCAAACAACAAAACUUUUGAAACAUUAAAACCAAAAUGUUCGGUUUGUGGCAAAUAAUCCUUACUAACUAUUUGUGAAGGAACCACACUUUUAUUAUGUGUUUUAAUGCACUAAAAUGAUUUAAAUAUUAGCAAACCUGAUUAUUUAAAUGCCUUUGCAGAUUGAUAAAAUAUCAAACCAAAUUAAUUGGGGUCUAGACUUUUGUGGCGGUAGACUAAAUCGAAAUGUUCAAUUAGAUGCAAAGUAUAUAUUUUUACAGAACCUAAAAUAAUAGGAAACAAAAAUAAAACAGAAAAGAAAAGAGGAAAAUAAAGAAAACAAAAAAAAAUCAAAAACAAAGGGGACACCCCCCGGCCAACUGGGCCAACAGGCCCAGCUAGCCACCCACGCGACCCAGCCGGCCGAACCCGGUGGUAUAACCCCCACGCACCUGAAACCCUAGCCCGAUCCCUUCCCCACUUCCCCCCUCUCGGUCCACUCCCCCCCACGACCUCCUCUGCCCUCGAUCUGGAUCGAGGAAAGCAGAGGCCCGACCACGCCACCGUCCCGGAUCGCCGUNNNNNNNNNNNNNNNNNNNNNNNNNNNNNNNNNNNNNNNNNNNNNNNNNNNNNNNNNNNNNNNNNNNNNNNNNNNNNNNNNNNNNNNNNNNNNNNNNNNNNNNNNNNNNNNNNNNNNNNNNNNNNNNNNNNNNNNNNNNNNNNNNNNNNNNNNNNNNNNNNNNNNNNNNNNNNNNNNNNNNNNNNNNNNNNNNNNNNNNNNNNNNNNNNNNNNNNNNNNNNNNNNNNNNNNNNNNNNNNNNNNNNNNNNNNNNNNNNNNNNNNNNNNNNNNNNNNNNNNNNNNNNNNNNNNNNNNNNNNNNNNNNNNNNNNNNNNNNNNNNNNNNNNNNNNNNNNNNNNNNNNNNNNNNNNNNNNNNNNNNNNNNNNNNNNNNNNNNNNNNNNNNNNNNNNNNNNNNNNNNNNNNNNNNNNNNNNNNNNNNNNNNNNNNNNNNNNNNNNNNNNNNNNNNNNNNNNNNNNNNNNNNNNNNNNNNNNNNNNNNNNNNNNNNNNNNNNNNNNNNNNNNNNNNNNNNNNNNNNNNNNNNNNNNNNNNNNNNNNNNNNNNNNNNNNNNNNNNNNNNNNNNNNNNNNNNNNNNNNNNNNNNNNNNNNNNNNNNNNNNNNNNNNNNNNNNNNNNNNNNNNNNNNNNNNNNNNNNNNNNNNNNNNNNNNNNNNNNNNNNNNNNNNNNNNNNNNNNNNNNNNNNNNNNNNNNNNNNNNNNNNNNNNNNNNNNNNNNNNNNNNNNNNNNNNNNNNNNNNNNNNNNNNNNNNNNNNNNNNNNNNNNNNNNNNNNNNNNNNNNNNNNNNNNNNNNNNNNNNNNNNNNNNNNNNNNNNNNNNNNNNNNNNNNNNNNNNNNNNNNNNNNNNNNNNNNNNNNNNNNNNNNNNNNNNNNNNNNNNNNNNNNNNNNNNNNNNNNNNNNNNNNNNNNNNNNNNNNNNNNNNNNNNNNNNNNNNNNNNNNNNNNNNNNNNNNNNNNNNNNNNNNNNNNNNNNNNNNNNNNNNNNNNNNNNNNNNNNNNNNNNNNNNNNNNNNNNNNNNNNNNNNNNNNNNNNNNNNNNNNNNNNNNNNNNNNNNNNNNNNNNNNNNNNNNNNNNNNNNNNNNNNNNNNNNNNNNNNNNNNNNNNNNNNNNNNNNNNNNNNNNNNNNNNNNNNNNNNNNNNNNNNNNNNNNNNNNNNNNNNNNNNNNNNNNNNNNNNNNNNNNNNNNNNNNNNNNNNNNNNNNNNNNNNNNNNNNNNNNNNNNNNNNNNNNNNNNNNNNNNNNNNNNNNNNNNNNNNNNNNNNNNNNNNNNNNNNNNNUUAAAAAAAAUGUUAAAUGAAUAAAUAGAUAAUAAUUAAAUAAUUAAAAUGUUAAUUAAUUAAUUAAUUAAGUAAUUAAUUAAGUUAAUUAAUCCUGGUUAAUUAACCUAAUAACUAAUUAACCUAAUUAACUACUGUUAAUUAAACUUAAUUAGGUUAAUUAGUUAACAGUGUAUGACGAACGGGACCCACCUGUCAGGGUUGACUCAGUCAACCCCUGUUGACUGCUGACGUCAGCAUGACAUCAUGCUGACGUCAUAAAUACAUUUUUUCGAAUUAAUUAAAUAAAUAAAUAAAUUCCAAAAUUGUUAAAAUCUUUUAAAAAUCAUAUCUUUUAAUCCGUAACUCGGAUUAAAAUAUUUUCAACAUGAAAGUUGCUCAGAACGACGAGACGAAUCCGGAUACGCAGUCCGUUCGUCCGCCACACCCCCCUAACCUAUCGAACCCGCAACUUUCCCCCUCCGAUUCAUCUGUUAGAAAACACGAAACACCGGGAAUACUUUCCCGGAUGUUUUCCCCCCUUCACCGGUAUCACCUACUACCGCGUUAGGGCACACCGAACACCGCGUAUUGCCUUGUUAUAUUUUGUGAUGCUUUGUUUGCUCUAUAUUCAUUAUUUCUUCCCCCUCUUCUCUCCGGUAGACUACGAGACCGACGCUGCUGCUGACCAGUUCGACUACGGAGUUGACGACCCCUCUCUCUUGCCAGAGCAACCAGGCAAGCCCCCCCCCCCUUGAUCACCAGAUAUCGCCUAUUCUCCUCUAUACUGCUUGCAUUAGAGUAGUGUAGCAUGUUACUGCUUUCGUUAAUCCUAUUCUGAUGCAUAGCCUGACAUUGUCGCUACAUCUAUUGAUACCUUACCUGCAAUCCUAAAUGCUUAGUAUAGGAUGCUAGUUUAUCAUCAUUGGCCCUACAUUCUUGUCUGUCUGCCUUGCUAUACUAUUGGGUCGUGAUCACUUGGGAGGUGAUCACGGGUAUAUACUAUACAUACAUACAUACUAUACAGAUGGUGACUAAAGUCGGGUCAGCUCAUUGAGUACCCGCAAGUGAUUCUGACGAGGGGGCUGAAAGGACAGGUGGCUCCAUCCCGGUAGAGGUGGGCCUGGGUUCCCGACGGCCCUCGACUGUUACUUUGUGGCGGAGCGACAGGGCAGGUUGAGACCACCUAGGAGACAGGUGGGCCUGGCCCUGUUCGGCGUUCGCGGAUACUUAACACGCUUAACGAGAUCUUGGUAUUUGAUCUGAGUCGGCUACGAGCCUAUAUGCACUAACCAUCUACGUGGGAGUAGUUAUGGGUAUCCCGACGUCGUGGUAUCAGCCGAAGCACUUCAGACGUCAGCGACGGAGCGGCGCGCGCCGGAUUGGAACGUAAGCCUGCUCUUGUAUUAAGGGGGCUAGUUCUGCUUCCGGCCGCCCACGCAACAUGCAGGUGUGCUAUGGGCGAUGGGCCCAGACCCCUGUGCGCUUAGGUUUAGACCGGCGUGCUGGCCUCUCUGUUUUGCCUAGGUGGGGUUGCGACGUGUUGAUCUUCCGAGGCCGGGCAUGACCCAGGAAAGUGUGUCCGGCCAAAUGGGAUCGAGCGUGUUGGGUUAUGUGGUGCACCCCUGCAGGGAAGUUAAUCUAUUCGAAUAGUCGUGAUCUUCGGUUACAGGACGACUUGGAGUUGUACCUUGACCUUAUGACAACUAGAACCGGAUACUUAAUAAAACACACCCUUCCAAGUGCCAAAUACAACCGGUGGUCGCUCUCCCUCAGGGAUACGAGGGGAGGAUCGCCGGGUAGGAUUAUGCUAUGAGAUGCUAUUUGGAGAUGCUACUUGGAGAUGCUAUUUGGAGGACUUCAAUCUACUCUCUUCUACAUGCUGUAAGACGGAGGCUGCCAGAAGCGUAGUCUUCGACAGGAUUAGUUAUCCCCUUCUUAUUCUGGCAUUCUGCAGUUCAGUCCACUGAUAUGGCCUCCUUACACAUAUACACAUGCAUAUGUAGUGUAGAUCCUUGCUUGCGAGUACUUUGGAUGAGUACUCACGGUUGCUUUCUUCCCCCCUUUUCCCCCUUUCCUUUCUUUCUGGUUGUCGCAACCAGAUGCUGGAGUCCAGGAGCCAGACGCCACCGUCGACGACGACCCCUACUACACUGGAGGUGCCUACUACUACGUGCUGCCCGCUGACGACGACCAGGAGUAGUUUAGGAGGAUCCCAGGCAGGAGGCCUGCGCCUCUUUCGAUCUGUAUCCCAGUUUAUGCUAGCCUUCUUAAGGCAAACUUGUUUAACUUAUGUCUGUACUCAGAUAUUGUUGCUCCCGCUGACUCGUCUAUGAUCGAGCACUUGUAUUCGAGCCCUCGAGGCCCCUGGCUUGUAUUAUGAUGCUUGUAUGACUUAUUUAUGUUUUAGAGUUGUGUCGUGAUAUCUUCCCGUGAGUCCCUGAUCUUGAUCGUACACAUUUGCGUGCAUGAUUAGUGUACGAUUGAAUCGGGGGCGUCACAUUCAUGGAGUUUUAUAUAACAAAUACAAAAGUAAAAAUUUAGAAGGCCCGUGGCAACGCACGGGCACUCUACUAGUUGUUUUAAAGCGCCUAUUCACCCCCCCCCUCUAUGCGACAUCCACGUCCUUUCAAUGAUGAAAACAUAUUGAGAGACAUCCAUACCCAUAAAUUAAGAGAAUUUCAUGUAAAAUGUUCUGAAAGUUAUGUAUGUUAUUUAUGAAAUUUAAGUGAUUACUUGACAAAGAUUCAAGUGAAUAUGUCUUAUUUAGCUUGUAGGGGCAAGUCAAUUAAAGUUCGUGUUGUUAUUAAAUAGUUUGCAAGAACUAAAGAGAGCGAGUGUGUUAUGGUUGUGAAGGAGUUAAUGAUAUCCAAUGGGAGCAAGUGUUCUAGGCAAUUGAUAAUUUUGUGAUAAAGUAGUUGUCAUUAUUAGAGAUUACUUUAAUGGAAAUGCAAAAGACAAUGUUAUACCUAUGUGUUUUCUAUCCAAUGUCCCCACAAUGCAAAAAAUGGUGAGGCAUGGACUAGGUCGUAGAGUAGUAUAAUAGAAUAGGGUAGACAAGGCAUUAUGUAAGAUGUAAUAUGUGUUUCCCCUCACAAGUGAAUCUCGUUUCUAUUUCUUGGGUGGAACCUAAGGUUACAUGUUGCAAAACCAAUGACUCACAUGUACUUAUGACUAAACUCCCAAAGGGCAACACGCCUAGAAACUGGAAAUUAUUAAGGUAAAAACCGAUCAUAGCUUAAAGACCAGGGGUCCCCAUAAUUCCAUAUGCUAUAACUCCGUACUAGUGGGAUAUGAUUUCUAUCACUCGCCCAUCCCCUUCACCCUUCAUCAUAACGCAUUAGAAAACAUAUGGGUUCCCAUAUUACACGUGCGCACUCAUACAAAAGCCACAAAGGAUAUCAUAGAAAUUAAUACUUCCACUUUUUUAUAUAAGGACACUUCAUAUUUUUAUGUCUAACUUUAACCAUUAAUUGUACCAACAAAAUUGAGUUAUGCCACAAAAAGUAUGCCACUGCAUGCACAUUCCAAAGAACUUUAUGAUGAUAUGUUUUUAUGGCAUAUAACCUAUAUUUCGUUGACCAAAACUAUAAGUCAAAGUUUGACAAGAAAAACAAACUGACCUUGUAUACAAAAAUAGAACGAGUAAUGUACAUAUGUGCAACCAACCUUCAUACUAUGUCACCAAUGCCAUCAAACAAAUAACUAAUCAAACAUAGAGGUAAAGAUGAAAUAAAUACUAGGGAAAUAAUUCCUAACAUAAUCAUGUUUGCCUAAGUAUUGAGAAGCUUUGUGAUGGAGAAGCCCCAAUACAAAGAAAGAAGAUUGUCGUGGAGAUGGAUGAAUGCAAUGGCGAUGAUGGCAGUGCCCCAAGAGGAAUUCUGACAUAGCCGUAGGAAAGGAGGAAGAUGCCCCUCCUCCUCCUCCUCCUUUCUGAUGUUGAAAUAUGGCCCCUUGACUCAAUUUAAUUGAUUCCCAAAGACCUGUAACUCCCAAAAAUCUGAAUAGAAUUUGAUGGUAUCAUCUCUUUCAUAGAGUCCUUUGUCUAAUCUUUCUAUUCUAUCUACUUUAUCUUCUAGUGUGAUAAUCUCUCGUAGAUUUUUUGUGCUUAGAUUAUUUUCCGUUGUGUUGUACCGAGAGCUUUCAAGUUUCAAAACAAUUUUUAGAUCUCCCAUUCACCCCCCCCCCCCUCUGGUUGAUAACUAUUGGUCCUAUAGGACCUACCGCCAACACAUUGAAGCCUCGCACAUCAUUCUUUGAAGUGGUGGAACUUCCUAGGAGCCCACCCAUGGCAACCUAGACGCGACACUACGUGUACUAGACUUGCACAAACUGGCAGCCCACACCCUAACAUCAACGCCACAUAUCAAUAGAUGAGUACUGUGGGUGGUACUAGGACAAGAGCGGAACUUAGACCGACAUUUUUCUAUAUUACUUAUUAAAGUAGUGCUCCGUCUAUCUAUGCGCCGAAAGUGUGUCAGAAAAUGGAUAUGUAUAUCUUCAACUCUAUCUUUCUUAGGCUCUUACGUCUCCCAUGCACCGAAAGUGUGUCGGGAAAAGGAUGUGCAUAUGUUCAACUCUAUCUUUGUUAUGAUCUUAUGCAUCCUACAACUCGUGAGGUCAUGCCCUAUCAUUCAGAAAAGGCGGUCGACAGGAUUUGACCCACAGCUUCCUAUUAUUCCAAAUAACGCAGUCCCUAUCUAUCUAAAUAUCUAUCUAUAGUGCGACAUACAUCUUUAGGCACCAAUCCUACUUAAAUAUUGGGCAUGGAAGUUGUACUGGCCAGAAAUUGAUAUUGCUCUGUGUGAUCAUCCUAUAAAGCACCCCUUUGUUGCUCGCACAAAGAAAGAAUCAUUGACCCCUAUGAUCUAGGAGGACUAACAGAGCAACAAGGCUAUCUGGUAUGCUUUUCAUAGUUAUAAAGGGCAUUCUUCCAUUGAAAUUUUGUAGGCAUACUAUGCAUAACUUGAAAUUACGAGUUCUUAUAUUUUGUAUUAUCAAAAAUCAUAGCUUGUUUUUUGGUACAUGCUCGCACCAAAGAAAGGAUUGUCGUUUGUGUUUGUUGGCAUGGUUCCUGGACUUAUUUUCUUUCCCUGCAUACUAUAUAUGUUUGACCAUUUUUUCUUGGUUUUGCACAUCAUAGUGUCCUUUAUGGUAGAUAAGCAAUUAUGUUUGAGAAGUACUCAAACUAGGUUAUUUACUUUAUGUUUUCAAGUAUACAUCAGUGGAUAAUUGUGUUCUAUUUGUUCAGUUUUAUUAUGUUCGAAUAUUGAAUGAAAAAUAGUUGAUUUGAAGAAAAAGGACGACUAAAAUUUCAUCUUUUAUAUCAGACAUGUGUCACUUUCUUUGUCGUCAGAAUUUUUUUCACAUGAAAGUUCGGAACAAGAACUUGAACAAGUUUUAGAAUUUUCUAUUAGAUUAUAGAAAAAUUAUCUUAAAAUGGCUCAGUUAAUCAAAACUUUCCCUCUUCUAAAGUGGAAGAUCUUUUUUAACUUGAUUGACUAAAAGUAGAAGAUCUUUUCUUGGUCAAUAGAUAAAAUGCUCACAUGUUCACUAAAGGAUCAGAACAACAAAACACUAAAGUCGUCAUUUAUCUAUGUGAAACAUAUAAACUAAUCCAUCCAUGUUAUUUCUGUGAAACAUACUCUCUUUCUUGUCAUUGCUUUUUCCUAGUUAGUUUAGUUUUCACUUUUGGAAAACUAGGAAUACUUUGGAAUAUAUAACAUGUUUGUUCCCAGAUUUGUGUCAUGGUUGAUAAUAGAUUAUUAUUAUUGUUAAAAAUAAAUAUUUAAUAUUUUUUAUAAUAAUCACACCACUCUGAAAACAAAAGAAACUUCUAUUUAGAUGCUAUAAAUUUGUUGUAGUAGUUGGAAGUCUGAAGUUCACAUAUAGACUUAUGAAUAUGCAUAUAUGUAUAGUCAUCCGAGGCUUAAAAUAUCCGUGUAUACACUGAUAGUUAUUCAUGUAUAUAUUUAUAUAGGAGGCAAUUUGUUUCUUUUCACAUAAUAAAACAUCAUAUUAUUCCAGAGGUGUUAAUUGUUUUGAUACAUACACUUUAUUGGUUCUACAGUCAUAUUGGAAACUCAAGAUCUUCAUCAAAACGAGCCAAGUUGUUGGUCAUGAAGAUGAGUCCUUAGAUUAAGGUCGCAAAGUGACAACACAAAACCAUAUAAAUUUAUUUUUGUGCGUCUUAAUCUUUUAGGCACCAACAAACAUUUAUGUGCUUUUUUAUCAUGCAAAAUUCUUUAAUCUUAUCAAGUGUAUAAUAUUUUUUUGACAUGCCACAAUGUUAUUGUUGUUAUGUAGUCUUGAUUGCAAUAAUAAAUAUUUUAAUUAGCACGCUAUCAUAGUUAAAUAUAAUAGUACCAAUAUACUAAACUAGUUAAUGAUAUUCAUCACAGAAGCUCUCCAUCAAGCAACAGAAUGAGCGUUUGGAGAUUGAGAACAAAAUAUUGGCGAUUGAGAACCAAAAAAUGCGCGAGGAGUUGAGGACAUACCGCUGUGCUGCUUGCUUGAAGAUUGAAAAUGCCUGCCUGAAAGUUGAGGUUUGCCAAAGUAGAUCCAAGACAUACAACGAUAUACUAUAACACUUCCAUCGUGCAUUAUUUCUAAAUCAAGACUAGAAAAUAUAAAACUGAAUAAUAUAUUUCUACUAUACUGAAUAGACAAACGCCCAAUGGCUAAAAUUCUUGCAUUAUAAUAACACAAAAACAUUACAAAAAUGUGUGAAAGAAAAUCUGCCAACAUGACACAUGGGACAUGAGAAUAUAUUUCUUAUGGUUAAAUAUGAUGACAAUAGAUACAUGGAAUUUGAAAUAUAAUGCAGAAGUGAGUGUUAUUUACAGGUUCAAGUCAAACUAAUUGCACCCAUGUCAGCAUAUAGAUGGUUUAUGAAGUAGUCUCACUCAUUUUAAUGUGUAUCUAAAGAAAUUUUUAUAUUCCACGAAACAGUUAAAUUAGGAAAUUUAUUUCGCUUCCUAGUUGACCCAAUAAUGUGACCAUGUAGCACAUUCAACAUCUCUUGGCUAGGAGUAAAAUUUAAGGUCUGGAUUAAUCAUUAGCCUCCUACCAUCACAUGGAUCAGUAGUAUUUCCGAAAAUACCUAAAAAUAGUCAACACUUACUAAAAGUAGCACCCUACAUAAUGGGAAAGCGACUUUCAACACCCAAUGAGAUAUUGAGAUAUAUCAUCCAAAAUUCUUUCCCGCGCAUACCGGGAGGGGGCGGGGAGUAUGUUCGAAAUUGUUUUUUAGAAUGAAUCAAGUUUGCGACUAUGCAACUUCUCACUACUCAUCACAGGAUAAAUAAGAAGUUUAUAUUUAGUUGCACCGGAUAUGCCUAAGUGCAAACAAUAUAACCAGAAUCUUGAUAAUAUAGGAUCUAAAAACUACACCAACAUAGAUGGAAAGUAUGAUUCCAGAGAUAUAAAUUAUUACGUAUGUGUGUGGAGACUACUGUUCAAGUGUUUAUACAAAAGUUAACACAUUUACUUUGUGAGAAGUUCAUUUUGGUUGAUUGUUGCAGUUUGAUAUACUUAGAUGUUGCCUCUGAUUGAAUACUUUCCCAAUCAAUAAACAUAAAAUAUUUGAAUAUUCAUUAUUAUUGACAUAAGAUUUACAUACUUACAUGUUUAACUUAGAAUUCAGCACAUAAGAAAUCCAUAAAUGAAGAAAAAAAUGAGAAACUGAAGCUUGAGAACACAAUGUUUUUAGCACAAAACCAUCAUACCAGUUUAGAAUUUUAUUAUUAUAUACUUUCUACUUCAAAACUCAACAAACAUAUAAUUCAAUGUAAAAUGUUUUUAGAGGAGAUAUAUGAAAACAUGUAGUCCAACCAAACAAUGAAGAGGGAAGAUGCUUUAUAUAGAUUAUGAAAGUAAGUUUUCAAUUAGAUAGGUAUAAAUUAACUUACUAUAUUUCAAAAACAACGAAAACAUAUUGAGAAACAUCCAUACCAAUAAAUGAAGAGCACAACAUGCAAAAUGCUCUUUUAUUCCCUUGAAGCAAUGAAGUUAUGUAUUAAUUACCAAAUUGUCCAAAACAAAGAUACAUCACUUUAUAGUUCCUCUAGUAUGUUAGUGUUGUGUUCUUGUUUCUAGCAUACUACUUACGAUUGAAAGCCAUAACUUUAUUGUUUUUGAAAUAGUUGUCGGCAAUAAACUGAGCACACAAAGAAAACAUAAUAAGUACCUUCCUUGGUAAAUACUUAUUAUUGAAACCAGAGGCAAAAUUUUGGUCUUGGUUCACCAAACGAGAACAACAUAUUCUAUUUUUUUAAAAUGAGAGGAAACUAAAGAUAGAACAUGUUGAGUCAUCGACAAGCUAGCAUCACCAUCAUUUAUAAAUAUGACAAUGCAAACAGGAUAAAUUUGACACACUGGAUAUGCAUCCAUCAAUUCUCAUCGUCUAUUAAUGUCAUUCAGUCAUUGUCAUAGGUAUUGUGUCAACAAGAAAAGUGAAAUCCUAGCUUUCCCUAGAACCAGCUUCUUACUAUCCUACCCCGUGGAGUUUUUCGGGGAAGUCAAAUCAAAGAUGAAACUACCUAAUGGUGUAGGUUUACCAUAAAACACUAGACUAGAGAAUCAAUAUGUGGUUGAAUGAUUAUGCGGGUGGUCCUACCCCUGGUUCACCAGAGACUAAACCCUAGGUUUAACGUCAAGUGUAUCGUUAAAGAGGGAAUAUUCUUUCGGUGGGAGACGACAUUCUCAUAGAUAGUGAAUCAUAAAAUUUCGUCAAUCUUAAAAUUUUGCACUAUGGUAUUUAGUAGGCCCUUUGUGGUGACGAUGUGGGUGAUGGUGUGCAUGUGUAUGUCUGUGCAUGUUGUAUUUGUGUGUUUUCAAAAACUAGACUAUUGCCUACUCAACAGUUGUAGGUGCGCAUGGACACAUGCUAGGAUGGCCAUAGUUGUACACUCAGUCACUCACAUUGGUAGCAUGUGUUGGUUUGGCUUCUCUAGCUACCGAAACAUAUUGGAUUGGCUGUCACAUUUUGAUAUCAACAAAAAAGAUUUGGAGAUAACGUCUUAUGUAUCCAGGUGGGCUUUGUAAGCCCACUAGUGUGUGCCCCGAACUACAAUGUUGGCUUGUUUUGAUAAUUUUACCCAAACUAGUCCUUUUGUAUCUAGCGUGAGACACAUCUCCAUUUGCCAACAUGCUGCUAAACAUGGUUUUCUUCAAAUUAAUUAACAUGAUCAGUCCAAGCUACAUUCAGUUCUUUAUUUCCUGCUAAGAUGCACUCUAUCUAAUGGCUUGUUCUAUUGGCUACAAAACUUGGCCGCAUCUUCAAACUUUCACGUCCUAAUGAAGUGCAUAGCAUAAAUAGCAAAUACGUAUUUUUCUUACAAUCCAAAAUAUUUGAGAUAGAAAAAACGACUAUAAAGAAUUCAUUGGGGUCUGUGCACCAAAGCUGAUUCGUGUUUCAAGAAUCAAUAUAUAGUUGUAUGUGGUCUGCUUUGUUAAUUAUUUUUGCCUUGAUUUCUUCACAUUGCACACCACAAUUUUGCAAACAUCAAGGCUUUACUUCAUGGCGUAUUGAUCAUUCUUGCUAGAUGUCUGGUCAAGCUAUCAGACUUACAUGUAUUGUUUUUUGCAGCUUGCACGCUCGUUUCGUAAUGCUGCUACAAUUCUAGAAGCUGAAGCACAAUCUGAACUGGAGGUUGGGUUUUCCUCUACAGCACCCCAGAUUCCAGUUGAUACUAGCGCAACUGCACCACUCCAGCCGAGUGCAGCAGGGAGUCAAGAUGAACCAUGCGAGUAAUCAACUGGCAGCAAUUUAUUAGCUAUAGUUACAAAUACCUAUAUACAUACAGAAUAAAAGUUCCAAAGACUCGGUGUGUUAGUCAUUUCAAUUACAAUAAGUGACACUAAAAGUCCAUUGUGUCUUGUAGUUAAGCACCAAAACCUUUUUAUGUGUUACUGGUACUUGAGAAGGUUGUAUGCCUUCUCAUCUCUACCUUAUACAUUUGAAACAUGGGAUAUUAUAUUGUGUUUGUACAAUCUCCUGUCCUAUAAAUAUGUUACUUAUUUAUCUAUUUUUGUGAGGGAAUUUGUUAUUUAUUAGUUGCAAUUGCUAAGUUUUUGAAGUAUGUUUGUGCGCUAUUUUUUGAAGUGUUAUCCAUAUACUUGAGAAGGUCAUGAACCAUGCCGCGAAAAAGGAUGGUGCACAAAUGGGCUUGAUUUAGAAACAAAAAAUAGGACUCCAUAUAGUUUAUACUCUAGAAAUCUGUCACGAUAUAAUGAUGCGGUCAAAGAAUAGAUCUUCCUUUGUCUAUGAAAAAACACUGAUCCAAGUGUGCAGUGGUCCAAAAUUUCUGGUGGUGCAAACUGGAGUACAUUUCAGUUAAGUUCUUGUCAUAUGCCAAAUUUUCAUGGAAUAUGUAGCCUGAAUUUUACAAAUGAUAUCUCGACUUGUAGUUCAGAUAUAUGGAGAAGUAGGGGUUUGCCAAUAUUUGAACAAUGAAUUCUGCUAAUUAACAAGCACUGACAAGUUCAAACAAACAUGAGAAUGUUCAAAAAUAAAAUCACUAUAACGAUGGCUAUUCAAUUCCCGGCUGCCAAAUGCUACCCAAAAGAGUCUUCUCGACAUCCUUUGUCAAAAUCGAACCAUCCAGUGAAAAAACUGCUCGAUUUUUCUACAUUGCGUCUCAUCGACCACCUUCCAAAAAAAGCUACGCAAACUUCGAGUAUAAAACAUCAAGGAGAACCACGUGCCAAGCAUAGCAAGCAUGCAGUACCGAAAAUCUCAACAAUACUCCAAGGAGAAAUUAGAUUGGGAAAAGAGUAUGAGUAGACUGUUCUGAGAUGAUGUAUUUUACGGUUCAGCCUUAUGCUUUGACCAACAAUAUUAGGGUUCAAUAGUAUGGUUAUGUUACACAAAAUUGUUGACACUAUUACAAUGGGGUAUAUAUGUGGUCUAUCCUUAAUUGCUCCAACUAUUCUGUGGUGCAGCUGACAAUCCAUAUUGACACUAAGGGUUGAUUGAUAAAAACUAUACCUUAAAUAAAAGACACAUUUGUAAAUAUGUGGAACAUAUAAAGUAACUCUUAAGUCACUCCAUAUGCUACUUCACAAUGGGAAAACACGAUAUUUGCGUGACUUCAGACAACUGAAUUUUAAAACUGUGGUUUACAAAAAUCCUAAGAAAAUAUAGUUGUCAAUUAUCAAAAGCAUCAUGGAUCAGCAUUGGGCCCAGCUGGGCUUAGGUGGGCUAGCGGAUCUAGUGCGCGGCGGCAGGCUGGCACGGUGGGCCUGACGUAACCGGCUGCUCUGGCACCGUGGUGGUGCCGUGGCCGGUCAGGCGGCGGCGGCUGGUUCCUUUUGGUAUGGUCCCUGACAUAGAAGGUGGCGAUACAUGCACAAAAAGUUGGAUGGAGUUCUUCAAACAGAUCUGGGUGAAAACCUGCUCUCGGCUAGAUGCCAAGGAUGUCGAUGGCGGUGCUCUUCGGUGUCGUUCCCUUCUUGGAGGCAUCGCCGUGGAGAAGUUCUAGACCAACAUCUGCUACCUCCGGGGAAACCCUAGGUCAGCAGAUCGGAAGACGGUGGUGCUCUUAUGUCGUUUCCACCCUGGGGGCGUUGUUCUUGAAGGUGUGCAUGGACUCGAGGGACCAGUGGACCGCAACUUUGGUGGAGCGGUGCUUCAUCCUACACAUUGAUGGUGACGGAUCUCGACAGUGUGGCGCGGUGCAGAUUCGGCGUCUGAUAUGCGGGGAUGGACUCGUGCAGGAGGACAACGCUGUCUGACGUCGUGGUGGCGUUGAUAGUAGAGAGGCCUGACACGGUCGAUGCAUCAAUUUCUGCUCUAAAGAUGGAUCGAUGGAAGACGGUGGUGCCGGGCCUUGUAGGGUGCGCAUGUGGUGCCCGCUGUGUGUGCGUCGGACCGGUGUGUGAUCUAGUCCAGGUAUGUGGCUAGGCUAGGGCAUCCGGCGUUAGAUGUUAGGCUUUGAUGCAAUGUCUGUUUGGUAUUAGGCUCAGACAUUCGGCACCUCUUCAUCAAAGGGAUAGGAGUAGCAACAUGUGUUGCCUGAAUGGUGGCUUCAGGCGUACUGAUGUAUUACUUUAUAAGGUCUUUAAGAAUAAUUAAUAAAAUGGCUGCAUGCAUCAUCCAGAUACACAGGCCGGGGUACAUCCUCCUUUUUUUUAAGAUUCCACUAAGGAAGUCCCCAAGAUCACUAUGCACAACAUCAUCUUUGGUCUCGCAUGGAGACAGGCAAAUCCAUCCGUUCCUUUUUUUGCGGGGGAAAUCCAUCCGUUCCUGGAAAUGGCUCGGCGGAGGAAUGACACCUUUUUUUAGAACGACGGUCUGUGUCAUAGAGGUUGGUAUUUUUUUCAUACUACUAAAUCAGCGACAAUUAAUAUGGAUUGAAGGGAGCACAUUAGUGGUUCAAAAUAAUUGAAUUGAAUUUUCGCGUACAUAUAUGGACGCGAUGAGAGCCCUGCCCUUCACGGCAUUCUUUACUGUGCUGAUGGUGAAUAUGUAGCGUUACGUGUGGGGCAUCGCGUCUUAUUGUGGAGCUGUCUCGUGUCAUACAUGAGUGGUACGCCUAGGAUUCUACGGAAGUGCCAUAGCGUGGAACAUAUACGAGUCCCGAAGUACUCCCUCCUUCUCACUAUAUAAAACGCCUUUGCAAGCUAAAACAGCUUGCAAAACAUUCUUAUAUUAUGAUUUUUUUAACUAUGAUUGUUUUCAUAACAAAUUCGAAAACUAUAUGCCCUAAUGCAUAAAAAUCGAAAGUAUGACCCCGUCGGUCACCUGCUGGCCGAAGAGGACCUUCUCGAUGAAUUGUAGGCUGGAGAAUGGUCUUGGCUCCCUUGUUGGCCGAAGAUAGCCGGGACAGGGCUGAAAAGCUGUUUUCGGCCUUCUUUUGGCCGAAGAGUGAACUUUAGUCAUCCCUAGACCGAAGAGUGCUCUGGCCCUAGCUCUUUGCGUAAACGGUAGGCCGAAGUUGCAUGGUAGCUCUCUUCGGCUUUUGUUAGGCUGAAGUGUUUUUUUUUUUGCAAUUUGACUUAUGAAUCAUGUACAACCAUUCUUCGUCUUAGACAUUGAAAAAAUAUACUCUCCCGCCAACCCUUUCUCUUCAUAUGUUCCCGCCAACCUUUUCCUGCCAACUCUUUCCCGCCAUUCUUUCCCGACAUCUUCUCUUCUCAACCUAUAAAAACGCCUCCACACUAAGGUGGGUAAGCAGUCAAGUGUAGUCUCGUCAAGAUGUCCAAUUAUCCUUUUGAUCGUAGUUUUCACCCUAGGAUGAGCCAAUGUCUUCUGAGAUUAGCCGGCAAUUUCAAGAUAGACAAUAGGAUAGUUUUAUGAGACGAACUCCUCAGUAGUGACACCCUAUUGAAUGAGUUAGGUCACACAUUAAGUGGGUGUGGGUGGCCUGCAACGACCUAUGAGGAGAUACGGAAAGAACUUCUCGGGUUGCAUGGAAGAUGAAAGAAGCAACAGCAUAACAGUGCAACUUUCCUAAAGGUUGUAUCAGAGCAUACUUAUAUAUGGACUGCCGAUAGCGAAGAGAACACGAUAUCAUCUUCGUACCGAGCACCAAGGCCAAGAGUGCCGCAUCGUCGAAGGGGAAGAGUGCCGCAUCGACGAAGGAUGAAGAUGAUGCCUUCAUGUAGUUUGUAAGCUGUAUUAUUUAAGUUCAGCCCUACCCUUUCAUUCAGAUGUACUUGUAUCUUAAUUAUCUAUUACAGUCUCUUUGGAAAUGUAAAUGGAAUAACAAUGCAAAUUAAUAGUAAUAUGUCUCGGGUACAUAGGUAGAUAUAUGUCUCCUGAUCAGAUAGAAGCAAGUGCCAUAGUAACACAUACAUGAAGCACGUCUCAUACAUAGAUAAUGACUCACACAUGAGAAAAGCCUGAAACUAACACAGAUAAUGACUCAUACAUAGAUAACCAUAUCACUGUUGGGGACGACGAUGAAUCUGGGUCUUCCUAGGACGAGGACCGAAAGGCGAUAAGCGCUCAGGCGCUGGGCGAGGCUCACGAUAACCACGACCACUACUAGGAAAUAUCUUAUAGGUAGAAUAUUAGUAAUAGCAGUGGUUAAGUCCACGGCGCUACUGUUAAGUACCAGUAGCGCUAGGAUUAACAUGCGCUGCUGGUAUAACUUAGCAGUGGUGCGGUGUUGCUAUAGGGCGCUACUGUUAAGUGGGCCACACCGCACACCAGGGUAGGAGGAUAUUAGCCCACUUAGGAGUAGUGUGGGCCCCACACAGGCGCUACAGCUAAUGGGCUUAGCAGUAGCGCCAGCCCGUACCUAGCGCUACUAGUCAACCGCACACAAAAAACCGUCUGGCAAGAUCACGACAACCACUCUCUCGUCCCUCGAUCUGGCUAAUAUCCUAGGGUUGCUCCCAGCCGCCACCGCCGUCGCAGGUCCACUCGUCGCCGGCGGGUAAGUGCUCAUCGCCAUCCGCUGCUCCUCCCCCUCUCGCAGCCCCACUUCAUCGCUGCCCCCACUCGAUGUGGUCGCCUCCUCAUGAUGUCUACUACGCAACUUUAUUCUUGUAGACAUGUGUUGGGCCUCCAAGCGCAGAGUUUUGUAGGACAGUAGAAUUUUCCCUCAAGUGGAUGACCUAAGAUUUAUCAAUCCAUGAUAGGUGUAGGAUGAAGAUGGUCUCUCUCAAACGACCCUGCAAUCAAAUACAAGGAAUCUCUUGUGUCCCCAACAUACCCAAUACAAUGGAAAAUUGUAUAGGUGCACUAGUUCGGCGAAGAGAUGGUGAUAAAAGUGUAAUACGGAUGGUAGAAAUAUAUUUUUAUAAUCUGAAUAAAUAAAAACGGUAAGGUAGCAAAUAGUAAAUGGGCACAAAAAGGUAUUUCGAUGCUUAAAAACAAGGCCUAGGGUCCGUACUUUCACUAGUGCAAUUUCUCAACAAUGCUAACAUAGUUAGAUCAUAUGAUUAUCCCUCAAAGUGCAACAAAGAAUCACUCCUGAGUUUCUAUUAGUAGAGAACAAAAGAUAGAAAUUGUUUGUAGGGUACGAGACUACCUCAAAGCUAUUCUUUCCAUUCGAUCUAUUCAAGAGUUCGUACUAAAAUAACACAAAGCUAUUGUUUCCGUUCGAUCUAUCCUAGAGUUCGUACUAGAAUAACACCCAAGCAAAUUCAUAUUCAUAAUACUCAAUCCACACAAAGAACUAUAAAGAGACCCCAAUGUUUCCGUCGGAGAAAAGAUAAUAAAAAUGUACAUCAACCCCUAUGCAUAGAUUACCCCAAUAUCACCGCGGGAAUCCGCAAGUUGAAUGCCAUAACAUAUAUCAAGUGAAUCAAUAAGAUACCCCAAUUGUCACCUCAAGUAUUCAUACCGCAAGAUAUAUAUCAUGUGUUCUCAUCUCUGAAUAUUCAAUCCGACAAGACAAAACUUCAAAGGGUAAAGAUUUAAUUCAUCACAACAAGAGUAUAGAGGGGAGAAACAUCAUAUGAUCCGACUAUAUUAACAAAUCUCAUGAUAUAGAUCACGAGAGAGAGAGAGAGAGAGAGAGAUUAAACACAUAGCUACUGGUACAAACCCUCAGCCCCGAGGGUGGACUACUCCCUCCACAUCGUGGUGGCCGCCGGGAUGAUGAAGAUGGCCACCGGAGAUGAUUCCCCCCUCCGGCAGGGCGCCGAAACAGGUUUAGAUUGGUUUUCGGUGGCUACGGAGCCCUGCGGUGGCGGAACUUCUGAUCUAGGUUAACCCCGAGGGGUUUCGGAAUAUUUGGGAAUUUAUAGUGCAAAGAAGGGGUGCGGGAGGCCACCGAGGUGGUCACAAAUCACCUGGGCGCGCCAGGGGGGCCUGGCGCGCCCUGGUGGGUUGUGCCCCCAUCGUGCCACCCCCCCCCCCCCAGGUGCAACUCUGGGCCUUUGGGUUCCUUCUGAUCCAAAAAAAAUCUACGUAAAGUUUCACGGUGUUUGGACUCCGUUUGAUAUUGAUUUCCUGCGAUGUAAAAAACAAGCAAAAAAGAGCAACUGGCACUGGGCGCUGCAUCAAUAGGUUAGUCCCAAAAAUGUUAUAAAGUUGUUAUAAAAUGAUUGUAAAGCACCCAAAAAUGAUAAAAUAACAGCAUGAAUACUUCAUAAAUUAUAGAUACAUUGGAGACGUAUCACCCCACUCUGUCGUUGUCGCCGCCCCUCCCUGUCGUCCCUCCCCUCUCGCCCCCGCCGCUGCCACCGCCCACUCCGGUGGCCGACCUACUCUGCUACCGCCCCCAAUCCGAUCCGGUCGCCGCCCCACUCUGUCACCGCCCCCACUCCGGCCGCUGCUCUGCCCCCACUCUACAGCUGCCCCACUCCGCCACCAGCCCCACUCCGGUGGCUACCCUACUCCGUCGCCGCCCCAACUCUGAUUCGGUUGCCGCCCCACUCUGCCACCGCCUGCCACUCUGUGUUUGUAGUGUAUAUUAGGAUUGACAUUGUAGAGGUAGGCUUAGGUGAUGUUUGUUGAUAGAGGUAGGCUUGUGAUGUUUGUAGUGUAUUAGCAUUGACAUAAAUCCAUGCUUCUGAUGUAAAUUUGGUACUAAUUAAAUCUAGUAAAACAUUGUAUAAAAUAUAGUAAUUCAGAAUUAUUAUUUUACUAUCCAAAUUUGUAAUUUACUACAAUUUUACAAAAAUUACUAAUUUUUUAUACUACGUUACUAUAUUUUGUACGUACCGUUACUGGGGUGUAGAAUAAAUUAUUCUGCACUCACGCUUAGUUUAUACUAUGUUACUAUAUAUAUAAUGUUUCCCUAGUAGUUUCCCUAACAUUGACAUAAGCCCUAUGUUUUAGAAAUAUUGUUUUUUUUCUAUCCGAUGAAUCCAUGGAUUGCUUUCUUCUCAAGUACUCGUAUGUGAGACAAUAAUCUUUCUUAUAUUUGUCUAUCCGAUGAAUCAGUGCAUUGCUUCUAUCUAUCUGGUGUUUUGUCUAUCCGAUGAAUGCUUGCAUUAGAACAAAUAUUGAUGUUUGCCUAUUCGAUCAAUGCUUAUAAUAGGAAAAUGGCGCCAUCACCACCACCACCAUGUCGACUGUGCAAGUCAAGGUGCGCCAGCAGCCUUGCAACUGGCACGUUAUUCGGCAUCUACUACCAGCCGAGCUUUUUUCAUGCGGCGGUAAUAAAUUAUAUGAAACUUGUAACAACUAUUUUGUUUUUAGUGUCAUUGCCAUUAAUGCAUUGUGUGUGAUCAUUUUGUUUUUUUCUUACACAGAUCGUCCCAUGCAAUGUGAGGUUGGAAUUCAACAAGCUGACCGAAGACACUAUGACCUUCGAGGCUCCUGGGGCCCCUACACUAUGGAGGUCGAGAAAGGACGAAAUAUGUCGCGCAUGGGAGGAGAUGGAUGGGUCCGUUUCAUCGCCCACAUGUGUAUCACUAGGGGUGAGUUGAUCAGCUUCUCCUUCAGAGGAGAAAGACCCAAGCUGGUCGUCAUCUAUUUCAACACAGAGGAAGAUGUUGAGGACCCACUUGAUGAAGCCAUCUAUGCUCAAAGAAUGAGGCUGAGUGCUGACUUCGUCAGGAUGCCAUUCGUGACCCGCCUGACAAUUACCAUGGUUGAUCGGCAUGUCAUGUUAUGUUAUACUUAGUGUAGUAAUUUGAUGAUAUGCUUUAGUGUUCUAAUUUGAUGAUAUGCAUAGUGUAGAAUCUGAUGAUAUGCAUAGUGUAUAAUCCAAGGAAUUAUUAAUAGUGUAGAAUCCAUACUUACUAGUAGAAUCCAUGCUUAGUAGAAAUGUAGCAUUGUUCUUUUUAUAGUGUAGAAAUCUAUGCUUAGUAGAAAUAUAUUUGCAAGUGUAUGUGCGAGGCUACUUAAUUGAUAUGUUUUUCUUCUUCAGAAAUUCCCUAAGAGCCUAUCUAUGAGCUGUGGUAUCGAGCUUGACGAACAAGGCUCUGCUGGAAUACGCCAUACCGCAAGGGGCUCCGUCACCACCUGUGCGUAUGGUGUGAACACGGACGGUCGCACACACUUAAGCUCAGUGGGGUGGAAGAGCUUCCUCGUUGGCAAGAAUCUUCAUGUUGGACAGGCCAUCAUAAUUACUAUCAGGAACACGCACCGCCAAGGCUUGAGAAUGAUGAUUGUCAUUGACAUCAUUUAGAACUAUGUGUGUGGCUGCUGAGCCAUCGGUAUGCUACUAUGACUACCUAGUAGACUGCUUAUCAACUAUUAGUUCGCCAUGAGAUCUAUCCAUGCAUGUUGACUAUAUAUGAGUCUCUACUCCUAAUGGAGCAGUUGGUAGUCUCGCUUCCAGGUUUUUUUUCGUCCCACCUACCAUGGUUUUUUUUCGUCCCACCUACCAUGGUUUUUUUUCAACCGGUUUUUUCAUCACACCAUCCCCACCCCUACCCCACCCCAUUCACCGCACGCAGUCAGAUUCCGUUUCCCCCCUUACGUCCCCGAUUCAUGCAUGACAAUCAAUUCUUUCCAAACGCAAUCAUGCAUGACAAUCAAUUCUUUACAAACGCAAUCAAUUAACUUAAGGUAACUAGACACAAUCAAUUCAAUAAAACGGAGCGAUAUCUCGGGCGAUUUUCUUGCUCCCAAUAUAUAAUGGUGCUAGCCAAUCUGUUAACAAAUGAGAAGGAAACAAUCACGUGUAUGUAGGGAAGAUAAUCGUGGAGAUUGCAGGGCAGUUAAGGCCGUGCGUCACAUGCAGGAAGGAUUUCCCGAGUUCAGCGAAAGAGAAGGAAAUCUGAGUUGAUGAAUAGUCUUCACGAUUUAUUUUCGUCUGGCUUUUUCUCGUCUGGUUUUUCUUCGUCCCACCUCCCACCACCACCCUCUCACCGGUUUUCCUAUUUUCUCGUCUAACCGGCAACAGCCAAUGUAUUUAUGGUAAUCAAUCACAAUUAAUCCACGUAUGGUAAGGCUAUAAACUCAGAAAUCUCAAAUAUGAUUAUUAUAGUAAUAAAUCCAUCCAGGUAUGGUAAGGUCAUAACUCAGGAAAUUUCGAAUAUGGUAAUUAUAUGGCAAUAAAUCAAUCCAGGUAUGGUAAGGCUAUAAAUAUAAAGGAAAACUAUUCCUGUGAGACGUCUAAUACAUGGCUUUCGUCAGACCAGCAUCUCACCAAUCGUUUUGGAGCCAUGCAUCCAACAACGCCUGGCUGUACUAUAUAACCCCUCCGAAUCAUCCUCACAUCCACCAUCAAACCCUAAUCAACUACCUCGCCACCCUCUCUGCCACACCUGCCAUCUGGAUCCUCCUCGCUUCAACCUCGCUCUUAUCGCACCACCGCAUCUACAUUCGACCAGCAAGUCCUUCGGCAAGAACGCACACACCAUAUCGCCUUGAUGGCUAAGCAUGUGCAUGUGUGCUUCAUGCCCCCACAACGCUCCUUGUGAUCCGUUCGUCGCGCUGCAUCCCCAAUCUGGCCGGUGUGGCACUGUAAUUUCGCCGGUGUGCAGACCUUCGUUUCCUCUGCUACUCGUCGUCAGACAUUUUGUAGUUGCUGCUUGAAGUGGUAUGGUUGUGCUCUGCUCGUUGAAGCCUGUAAUUGGGGCUGCAUGCUAUAGACUCAUGAGGUCCCUUUUCAAUGUGGCUGCGUGGUAGCGAUGCUCUCAUGCGUGCUAUGUCAGCUGUGCUCCAGCGAUCUUGCAUUUGGCCGGGUUGAAGGAUACCAUAUGUGUAGUAGCCACACGUGAUUCAGAUUUUGUUCACAUUGGAAGUACAAGUGAUUGUUGUUGGAAACAAAUUUCCACCCUUUUGGAAGCAUAAUUUUCUUCGGUCAAAAUGUAUAUGUAAAAUUAUUGGUAUACUUUCUACCUGCAAUUCAAUUACCUAUCAAUGGUGUAUCCAACAUUGCUCUAUUUUUCUUCCUACACAUAAGAAAAAUGCUUCUGUAAUGUAUGAUGCAACUUCCACCAAAUCGAGAUGCUUCUACACCAUUGAACAGAGUUUCGGUUACCAUUUUUGUUACGAAGCAUCAAAUGGUGAGCCAUGAAGCUUUAUUAAACAUGUAAGGAAGCAUGUGUCAUUUUGUGUUUUUCAUAUCAAAGCAUCAAUGAAAGGGCAAUGAAGCAACUAAAUGCCACAUGGAAGGAUCGCCACAUGGAAUUUGUUAACAGCUUAUGGUAAUAUUAUUAGUGGCAUCUGCAUAUUUUCAAUACGUAUUUGAGAACCUAUUUGAUGCUUCCUGAUUUCUAUCGCAUGAAAAAUGCUUCCUUUGAAACAACCGGGGAGCGAUUUGUUACCAGAGAUAAUGCUUCCAUUGAAACAACCGAGGAGAGAUUUGUUACUAGAAAUAAAACGUGAUUUAUAGGAUUUAUUAUAUCCUACUAGAAAUCAGGGAUCAGUUUCCUAAAAUGUUGGAUGCGUCAACAUUUGUAACUGUGCCCCUGAUUAAGGAACAUACUAAUGCCCAAGCCACGUUUACAAGCCCAUCACACGUAUCGACAUGAAAUCCAUCGUACAAGGAAUCAGAUUCCUAGCGCUUCCUCUUAAACAAACUUAAAUUACCCCAAAGGCCGGCCAGAUUAACGUACACAGAAAAAUCAACACCCUAUGAUCUGUUAUCCAAUUUUUCCUCCACGGUCGGCCAUCCUAUUCAAGGCCCCUGAUGCAAUGUUCUGCCAGCAAUCCAUGCGCACGUCCUACCUAGCGAUUGAACGGGAUCAAAAUCUCCCUAGCCAAAACACCGGUUGCCGCUGCACUUACAUACUCCGCCCACGACGCCGUCCCACCAGCGGCGGUGACGCUAGCGAUCGUACCGAGACGUCGUGGGAGAUGGAGCUCCAGGCCAUCAAGGACUCCUACACUGGCGUGUCCAAGCCGCCUCCACGACGGAGCCAAACCGCCGUGCCUAUUCGGACUCAAGAACAUGGUGCGCCUCGCCGGUAUGGAUCAUCUCGCCUCCCACUUGCCAAGGUAUAGCAGCCCUCUUCUUUUCCCUUUCCCAAGAACACAUCGAUGCACUUUUAACCUCUAUAAUCCAUCUACCCGAUGUACUUGUGUGUCGCUCGCCGGGAAACAAACUACUUGGUGAAUCCCUGAUGCAAACAAUUUUAUUCAGUGCUAACUAGGAGCUAUUGUCUGCAUGUGCAUCAGGUAAUACAAGUAGUUGUACGGGAUUCAUAAAGGAAUCGAGCUUCUCAUCUUUGACGAUUAACGGAUGAGGCACAGGGUACACAUGACGGAUCUACGAACUACAGCUGACAACACAUGGAUGGCCAAAGGCUGUUGCAUCCGCCGACCAACCACUACCCUUAAUCAAGCACAAGGUACCUAGAACAACUCCCAAAAGCUCAAUUCUUUGUAAGAUUUUCAGUAGAAGCCUGUUGCAAAGUCAGGAAUUUAGUUUAUUUAAUUAUUAGUCAAUGUUUGCCACAAAAAAAUUCAGAUUUUUUUAUUUUUUUAUCAUUUUCUAAAUUUAACUAUUCAUGCUGAGAUCAUAUGAGGUCAAACUAAGAUGGGGGCUUUUGAACACUUUUUUCAUGAAUGCAAAUGACAUGCACAUAUAGGUGAUGUUGUUCUGAACAUUUUGAUAUCUUAUUUGUAUUUGUUGGAGUUAGUAUGAAUUCGUUAUGAAAUUUUCAAAGUUUCGGUCAAACGGUGAAAGGGCAAAAGUAUAAGAGGAUGGAACAAGCUGGACAGAAACGAGGGUUUUUUGAAUUUUGGGGCAAAUCAAACAGGUGUGACACAACUAAGGGCUCAAAUGUAGUUGUCCUAAAAUAUAUAUAUUAGACAAAAUUAAUGUUGAAUACUAGAAUAUAUAUGCCCCUUUAGCAAUGCACGGGCAACACACAACAAAGGUGAGGUGGGCGUCACCCGUUUCCAAAAGAAAGGGCUCCAGCUAGCGAGAAAUAUCCCGCUGCAGCCGGAAGCCGUGCGGGAAAGAUAGGGUCCAACAGAAAAAGGAGAAGGGUGUGUCAUGGGAUAGGUUUUUGUGUUCGGCCUGCGUAUUGGAGAUAUAUAGCAUGGCCCAUAGUCCGGACAAUCACAUUUCUCCCCACAUAUGAUCUGGAUUGGGGGAUCUCCGACUGUCUAGAUGGUUGAAUUUCGAGGAGCCUCAAACACGCCAUAAUGUAUGAGGGAGAAAUAAGCUUCGACCUUAGAGGUGACCUUAAUCAUUUGUUUGAUUCAUUUAUGUAUGCAUUAUAGCCCGUAGCAACGCACGGGCGUUCUACUAGUACCUAUAAUGUUUGUGAGAUUGCGGUUCAAUUAAAUCUGGUAUUGUUUUAUAUAAUUACCAAUGUGUUUUCAUCGGCCAACCUACAAGUACCUAGUAUUUGUGAAAUUGUAGUUUACUGAAACUAGUACUGUUCUACAUGAUAAAAAAGCAGAAAAAAUAUUGAAAGAUAUGGCAGCAGUCCAGGGUUAGGGUACGCGCUACAACUAAAUAGUAGUAGCGCGGGAGUAAAGAGCGCUACUAAUAAGAGGUUUAGUAGUAGCACUGGGACUGAUCACGCUACUACUACCAGUUAGCUAUAGCGUCAUAGUAGUAGCGCGGGCACCCGCACUACUGAUAGCCUUAAAACCAGCGCCACUACUAACGUUUACGAUAGUAGUGGACCAUAGAUAACCUCAUUUGUCAUGGUUUGUGUCUCCUACAUCGGUGAUGGUGGUGGAGUGUGAAACACUAUCUGUGAGAAGUCAUAAGUGCUUGCAGCUUGGUCAUCGUCAUCACCAUCGCCCUCAAAGAACGAACCAGCACCACUAAGCAUCGGUGACUACACUGAAUGCAUGAACGGUUGCGUCUAGUUGCCUACUACAGUAUAGUAAAACAUGUAAAAUUGAUUUGCGAAGCAACAAUGUUUAAAAGAAUGUACAAAGUAGUGUUACCUAGUUCCAUUUGAUGCUGCCAGGAAGAGCUCCCUGGUUGUGAAGGAGGUGGCUGAUGCCAAGAAGAGCUUCCUGGUUGUAAAGGAGGUGGCUGAAGCCAGGAAGAGCUCCAUGGUUGUGAAGGACGUGGUUCUGAAUGGUGCACAGAGGGCCGUGGUUCUGAACGUUGCAUAGAGGGCCAUGAUUCUGCACAGAGGGGCAUGGCGGGCGAUGUGUUGGACGAGGAACUUUUUACAUCCAAAGAUCGUCUACAUGUAAUAGCUACGUAAAUCCCUGGCUGCUUCUCAUAGAAACGCCUCAACCAUGAGAGGUACUCUCGCUGUGGUAUAGUAUCCCCCUCUCAACCCGCUGCAUUAAAGCGAAAACCUCCUCCCGCGCUUCGCUUGUCAAGUCACUCUGUACAUCAAGAUAUCUCCAGGUUAUGAUAAAACUACACAUAUGAGAAAACUACACAUUGUAUAUGUUGAGGUUAUGAUAAAACUACACAUGAGAGGUUAUGAUAAAACUACACAUGAGAACCAUGGCACGUACCACGUGAUGUCUGGUUCACACAACAAAGGCAAAUGGGUACAUAUCACUGGUGAGAGGGGCUUCAAUCUGAGCAGGAGCAACUGAAGGAACCAAGUAGAUCCUCGUUGCAUGUCACUAACGAUGCAGAUACAACCCGAACUUGUCCCAGUUAAAGGGUCGAACCUCAUCCUAGAUAUUUGUCGGUGCGGUAGUCCAUUCCUGAACGUAAGUGCUAAUGUCCUGAAGCCAAAAAUCCAUGGACUUGUUUCCUCCUACACGACUGUACCUGAGAUUGACAUGCCCGUUACAUGGUUAGCUUUAUUCUGAAUGCGGUGUUGAGGACUAAAUUAGUAUUACUUACUUGUGCAUGUGUCCUGGUAUGUAUGGGAUAAUUGGAAUUUCAUGCUCUUGUCAUAGACCGAAUUGUCUCAUCACCCUAUGAAAAGCCAUCUCCUCAACCAUCACGUCGAACAUCAAUUUGGCCUUGGUCAUCCAAUAGUACCGAUCGAUCACUAAAUCAUCAUGCAAACUAUCAAACUGCACCGUGGAGGAUGGGUAGCAGCCCCUCACCUGGGUAUGUGCAAACUGUCUCUGCACAUGACAACUAAUAAACAUUAGUAAUACUAUUGCAUGGCAAGAAAUAAUCCAAUGAAUUGUUACAUAAUAUCAGGGCCGUCUCCAGAAAUUCGGGGCCCAGUGCGAAAUGUGAAUUGGGGCCCUAAAAAUAAAUAUUGCUAAAGCAUGCUCUCACUUUUUCGCACUGAAUGCAAACUCCCAGUUAAACUGUAUGCUUUAUAUAUGUGUCAUUUCGUACAAUAUUUGGGAAUAUAUCAUACGAACUAUCUUCCCCAAAUACUUCACCCAUUGAGAAUGAACAUAUAGCAAUUUUGCUAAUUAACUGAAGAACGAUGCAUGCACAUGUUCAGUAUACUCAUUAGCCACCAAUGUAUUUGAUAGAAAAAAUUAGCAUAAAAGAAAUCUUGUAUGGCUUGUGCGCACCUGCGAUUGACAUUGACUGGUCGGUGAUGCGUAAAUUAAAUAUCCUGCUCGAUCUGGCCUUAGCCUUGCGCUCAGCCAGCGGCUCCUUCUUUUUUGCUUGGUGGUGUGGGCGCCCAGUUUAGCCAUGACUUCUGCUCGAAUUCGUGGCACAAAUUCUGCACCAUGGCCCCUGCCCUCCUGGUCCUUGCGAUGGCGCUCGCAGCAAGCAGUUUUUUUUUUGUCUGAGAAACUGGCGGCAAGCGUAUGAUCUAGGCGGGCGACUCGAGAAAUACUCGAAACGAAGCGACGAUCUAAUUGAUCGGGAGCAGGGACCAGGAGAGAGUUUGGGAGGCGCUCGGGCGAGCAAACAAGGCCGGCAGGCCCAGCAGCAAACAAAGAAAAUACACUACCAGAAAAUAUUACAAGGCCCAAAAUCUGGGGCCCCUGAAACUUGGGGGCCCAGUGCGGUCGCACUGCUCGCACAUGGCCUUAGACGGCCCUGCAUAAUAUAAAAGUACAUCUCUCUCCCAAACAGAUUUCACAGUAGGCAAGUCGCUGAUAGCAGGCACGUAAGCCCCUGCUAUGUCCUCUAGCCCAAAAGGUCUAUCAACAUAGACAUAGGGUCGUCCAAUAUGGAAUCUCUUGUAUGACCAGAGCUACAACAAUAGUGUACAUCCAACCAUAUAUGAUUUUCUAGACUUCAACAAGCAACCUUUGCAUAUGCCUCUGUACGUAGCUGCUAACACAAUAGAACCAAAACUCCUCUGCAGAAUGUCCCAGGGAAACGUGCGUCAACUAUCUCUCGUGCAAUACUGAUGAGUUGUGCAUCAAUAGUGGUCAUGUGGUUCUCCGUGAACAUCUUCUUGCCAAACAAUCAAAGCAUAUAUGCCUCUAGGGAUCGAUCAAUCUGUGCCUAUGACAACUCAACUACGGGGUAUCCUAACAAGACAAUCUACAUAGAAACCAUAUGAGUAUGUCAACUAUGUAGUGAGAGCAACUAUAAAAAUAACAUUUGUUUAGCUGGCCGUGAAGGUUAUCUGAAACUGGCUGAACCACCUAAAAUGGGGCCCGUUAGGAUCGUUGUCUAAGCCCAUAGCAUUGGGCACCACAGCUAUAAAACGGGUAUGCAUCAUUCCUAGCCAGCCAUGUUCUGCCUUUAAAGGACCAAUGGCAGCACCGGCCAAAGGUAAUCCCAACAAGUAAGACACAUCAUGUCAAUUAGGCGCCAUCUCUCCCCAGAAAAAGUGAAACGUAUGUAUCUCUGGUCUCCACCUAUCUACUAAGCAGGUAAGAAGUGACCUAUCGUAAGAGAAACGUUUCACUAGCAUCUUGCGUAACUGCAUUAUUGGUUCACCUUCCUCAUCCAAGUCCGGAUGUUCAAGCCACUCAUCCAAUGUACCCUCAACUAGUCGUGCCAAGGGUAGAAGUCCAGCCCAACUUAACCUACAAAAUAAAGAGAAUGUAGCAUAUAGUUAGCGGGUAUCAAAAGUAUGUUAAACAUGUAAUUAUAUGCACACAUACCUAUUAAGCCAUAAAGGGUAUAUCAUCCUGUUAGACUUUGGGGUGCGAGUGACCAACACGUCUAAGUUCUUGCCCGCUUUCAUAAGUAUGGCCCGGUGUCCUCUAUCAAUCGUACCAUCAAGCAACGGAUACGAAGACAUAUGUGCAAUUAAAACAACAAAUAUGACAUGCAAUUAAAACAUAGUCCAGGCAUAUUACAAAUUAAAACAUAGUUUAGACAUAUUACAAAUUAAAACAUAAUCCAACAUAUUACAAAUUAAAACAUAGUCCAGACAUAUUACAAAUUAAAACAUAGUUUAGACAUAUUACAAAUUAAAACAUAAUCCAACAUAUUACAAAUUAAAACAUAGUCCAGACAUACAAAUUGAAACAUAGUCCAACAUAUUACAAAUUAAAACAUAGUCCAAACAUAUUGCAAAUUAAAACAUAAUCCGACACAUUAUAUAGCUUAUGAGUUAUUUCUUCCUAGUCCUCCCCUUCGGCCUAGACUGCCACGACCACGUCCGCGUCUUGCUCCUAUUGUCACACUCGUCGAUGUGGAAGCACCAUGUUUCUUCAGGUCGGGACAAUAUUUCAUCCUAUGACCAUAAGCCGCGAAUAGCAAACAUUGUCUUGUUGCUCCACGAGCUUCAGAUUGGUCGAUAUCGUUUCAGGUGUGACGGACCUUACGUUUACCCCUACUUGUUCUCCGAAGUUCUGGAUUCGGGAUGUAUACUCUCUCACAGUCGUUUGCCUUGUUGAAAUUGCCGACAGACUCUAAACCCUGUCAUCUCAUCGGUCCAUGUGUUGAGUACUGCCUCUUUUAAAUAUUAUGGAGACACGAAGGAGAUGGCGUCCAACUCAAUCUAGCCACAAGCAGCCAACACAUGGGAGCAAGGCAGGUACAACAACUUCGGUUUGUUGCAUGUACACCCACACGUUGGAUAAAAUUAUGUUCCAAAUUUAACAUCGUGCGUCUUCACCUCAUUUGCAGAACCAAAACCAUCGGUAGGUAGCUGAACCUCAUACCUCCUUUCCUGAUUACCUAUGAGUUUGGCAGUGUGCCUCUUUGCUUUCUCUAUCUCCUUUGCCAUGUACUCCAUGACAUGGCUACAAUGAGGUGUCUUGUGAUUAUCUGCAAUAUGCUUCUUUGCUAACUCAUGCCUUUCUCUGAAAUAUCUCAAAGUGCCAUGGAAUACAGCCUCCACAAUAGUUGUGAGUGGCAAUGCUCUAUUCCUUCUGAGUACAAAGUUAUACACCUCUUCAAGGUUGGUUGUCAUGUGGCCAUACCUAGCUCCAUGGGUGUCAUGCAACAAAGACCAAUUCAAAAGAGGCUCUUUCUCUAUCCACUGAGAAAAACUCUUUAUUGCCCUCCCCUUCUUUCUCUAAGUACCAGCAGGGUCAAUUGCUGGCAAGUCACAAAGACCCACUGGCUGCUCUAGCUCCGUGAUGAUUGUUGCAAAUGCAACCUGAUCUUGUUCCAUUUUCUUCCUGACACGGACCGGCUUCUUAGUAAACUCAUCUAGUUUUGACCAAAUAAGAUCGUAUUUGCACUACUGGUUCUGCUUGCAUAUUUUUUUGAAAAAUUCAACAACCCCUUGUUCUUGAACCGUGAGAAAAAAUUAGCCUCGAGAUGGCGCAUGGACCACCACCAGCUCUGCAACUCCUUCCAGUGUGUUGGUUCGUCAUCUGUUGGAUUCCAUAUUGUCUUCACGGCCUUCAAUAUACCUAUUGGAAAUAUGCCCUAGAGGCAAUAAUAAAUUAGUUAUUAUUAUAUUAUAUUUCAUUGUUCAUGAUAAUAGUUUAUUAUCCAUGCUAGAAUUGUAUUGAUAGGAAACUCAGAUACAUGUGUGGAUACAUAGACAACACCAUGUCCCUAGUAAGCCUCUAGUUGACUAGCUCGUUGAUCAAUAGAUGGUUACGGUUUCCUGACCAUGGACAUUGGAUGUCGUUGAUAACGGGAUCACAUCAUUAGGAGAAUGAUGUGAUGGACAAGACCCAAUCCUAAGCCUAGCACAAAGAUCGUGUAGUUCGUAUGCUAAAGCUUUUCUAAUGUCAAGUAUCAUUUCCUUAGACCAUGAGAUUGUGCAACUCCCGGAUACCGUAGGAGUGCUUUGGGUGUACCAAACGUCACAACGUAACUGGGUGGCUAUAAAGGUACACUACGGGUAUCUCCGAAAGUGUCUGUUGGGUUGGCACGAAUCGAGACUGGGAUUUGUCACUCUGUGUAAUGGAGAGGUAUCUCUGGGCCCACUCGGUAGGACAUCAUCAUAAUGUGCACAAUGUGACCAAGGAGUUGAUCACAGGAUGAUGUGUUACGGAACGAGUAAAGAGACUUGCCGGUAACGAGAUUGAACAAGAUAUCGGGAUACCGACGAUCGAAUCUCGGGCAAGUAUCGUACCGAUAGACAAAGGGAAUUGUAUAUGGGAUUGAUUGAAUCCUUGACAUCGUGGUACAUCCGAUGAGAUCAUCAUGGAUCAUGUGGGAAACAACAUGGGUAUCCAGAUCCCGCUGUUGGUUAUUGAUCGGAGAGUUGUCUCGGCCAUGUCUGCAUGACUCCCGAACCCGUAUGGUCUACACACUUAAGGUUCGAUGACGCUAGGGUUUAGGGAAAGUAUGUAUGCGGUUACCGAAUAUUGUUCGGAGUCCUGGAUGAAAUCCCGGACGUCACGAGGAGUUCUGGAAUGGUCCGGAGGUAAAGAUUGAUAUAUAGGAAGUAUGGUUUUGGCCAUCAGAAGUGUUCUGGGCAUCACCGGUAGUGUACCGGGACCACCGGAGGGGUCCGGGGGUCCACCAGGUGGGGCCACCAGCCCGGAGGCCUACAUGGGCCAAUAGUGGGAAGGGACCAGCCCUAGGUGGGUUGGGGCGCCUCCCACCAAGGCCCAAGGCGCCUCCUAUAGGGGAGGGGGGCAAACCCUAGGGCAGAUGGGCCCUAAGGCCCACCCCAGGUGCGCCUCCCCCUCUCCCCCUUGUGGCUGCCACCCUAGAUGGGAUCUAGGGCUGCCGCACCCCUUGGGGUGGGAACCCUAGGUGGGGGCACAGCCCUCCCUCUCCCCUUAUAUAUAGUGGAGGCAAAGGGGCAGCCCAACACACGAAGUUCUUCCCCUGUUGGCGCAGCCCUACCCCUCUCCCUCCUCGUCUCUCGUAGUGCUUGGCGAAGCCCUGCUGGAGUCCCGCGCUCCUCCACCACCACCACGCCGUUGUGAUGCUACUGGACGGAGUCUUCCCCAACCUCUCCUUCUCCCCUUGCUGGAUCAAGGCGUAGGAGACGUCACCGGGCUGCACGUGUGUUGAACGCGGAGGCGUCGUUGUUUGGCGCUUAGAUCGGAAUCAACCGCGAUCUAAAUCACUACGGGUACGACUCCUUCAUCCGCGUUCUUGUAACGCUUCCGCUUAGCGAUCUACAAGGGUAUGUAGAUGCACUCCCCUUCCCCUCGUUGCUAGAUUACUCCAUAGAUUGAUCUUGGUGAUGCGUAGAAAAUUUUAAAUUUCUGCUACGAUCCCCAACAGUGGCAUCAUGAGCUAGGUCUAUGCGUAGUUUCUAUGCACGAGCAGAACACAAGUUGUAGUGGGCGUCGAUUUUGUCAAUUUACUUGCCGUUACUAGUCUUAUCUUGAUUCGGCAGCAUCGUGGGAUGAAGCGGCCCGGACCGACCUUACACGUACUCUUACGUGAGACUGGUUCCACUGACUGACAUGCACUAGUUGCAUAAGGUGGCUAGCGGGUGUCUGUCUCUCCCACUUUACUCGGAUCAGAUUUGAUGAAAAGGGUCCUUAUGAAGGGUAAAUAGAAAUUGGCAUAUCACGUUGUGGUUUUGGCGUAGGUAAGAAACAUUCUUGCUAGAAACCUAUAGCAGCCACGUAAAAAUUUGCAACAACAAUUAGAGGACGUCUAACUUGUUUUUGCAGCAUAUGUCUUGUGAUGUGAUAUGGCCAAAAGGAUGUGAUGAAUGAUAUAUGUGAUGUAUGAGAUUGAUCAUGUUCUUGUAAUAGGAAUCACGACUUGCAUGUUGAUGAGUAUGACAACCGGCAUGAGCCAUAGGAGUUGUCUUAAUUUAUUUAUGACCUGCGUGUCAACUUAAACGUCAUGUAAUUACUUUACUUUAUUGCUAAACCGUUAGCCAUAGUAGUAGAAGUAAUAGUUGACGAGACGACUUCAUGAAGACAUGAUGAUGGAGAUCAUGGUGUCAUGCCGGUGAUGAUGAUGAUCAUGGCGCCCCGAAGAUGGAGAUCAAAAGGAGCAAAAUGAUAUUGGCCAUAUCAUGUCACUAUUUGAUUGCAUGUUAUGUUUAUCAUGUUUUACAUCUUAUUUGCUUAGAACGACGGUAGCUUAAAUAAGAUGAUCCCUCGCAAUAAUUUCAAGAAUUGUCUUCCCCCUAACUGUGCACCGUUGCAAAGGUUCGUUGUUUCGAAGCACCACGUGAUGAUCGGGUGUGAUAGAUUCUAACGUUCGAAUACAACGGGUGUAAGCCAGAUUUACACACGCAAUACACUUAGGUUGACUUCACGAGCCUAGCAUGUACAGACAUGGCCUCAGAACACGGAAGACCGAAAUGUCGAACAUGAGUCGUAUAGAAGAUACGAUCAACAUGAAAAUGUUCACCGAUGAUGACUAGUCCGUCUCACGUGAUGAUCGGACAUGGCCUAGUUGACUCGGAUCAUGUUUCACUUAGAUGAUUAGAGGGAUGUCUAUCUGAGUGGGAGUUCAUUAAAUAAUUUGAUUAGAUGAACUUAAUUAUCAUGAACAUAGUCUAAAUUGUCUUUGCAAAUAUGUUGUAGAUAAAUAGCUCACGUUGUAGCUCCCUAUUUCAAUACGUUCCUAGAGAAAGACCAAGUUGAAAGAUAUUGUAAGCAAUGAUGCGGACUGGGUCCACAGUCCGAGGAGUGUCCUCACUGCUACACAGAAGGCUUACGUCUUUGAUGCACCGCUCGAUGUGCAAACCCCUACAACGUCGUCUGUGGAUGUUGUGAACACCUGACAGACACAUCCUGAUGACUACUUCAUAGUUUAGUGCACCAUACUUUACGGCUUAGAAUCGGAAUUCCAAUGACGUUUUGAACGCCAUAAGACAUAUGAGAUGUUCCAAGAGCUGAAAUUGGGAUUUCAGGCUCAUGCCCGUAUUGAGAGGUAUGAGACCUCUGACAAGUUCUUUUGCCAACAAGAUGGAGGAGAAUAGCUCAGCUAGUGAGUAUGUGCUCAGAAUGUGUGGGUGCUACAAUCACUUAAAUCAAGUGGGAGUUAAACUUCCAGAUAAGAUAGUGAUUGAUAGAGUUCUCUAGUCACUAUCACUAAGCUACUAGAUCUUCGUGAUGAACUAUGACAUGCAAGGGAUGGAGUUGAUCCCGAAGCUGUUCACGGUGCUUAAAACCGCAACAAGUAGAAAUCAAGAAGGAGCAUCAAGUGUUGAUGGUUUAACAAGACCACUGGUUUCAAGAAGGGCAAGGGCUAGAAGGGAAACUUCAUGGAUGGCAAACCAGUUGCCGCUCCAGUGAAGGAACCCAAGGUUGAACCCAAACCCGAGACUAAGUGCUUCUAUUGUAAGGGGAACGGUCACUGGUAGCGGAAUUACCCCAAAUGCAUGGUAGAUAAGAAGGCUAGAAACUUCAACAAAGUAUAUACAUGUUAUUAAUGUGUACCUCGCUAGUACUCCUGGUAGCACCUGGGUAUUGGAUAUCGGUUCAGUUGCUAUUAUUGGUGACUUGAAGCAAAAGCUACGGACUAAACGGAGACUGGCUAAGGGUGAGGUGAUGAUGUGUGUUGGAAGUGUUUCCAAAGUUGAUAAGAUCACCAUCGCACGCUCCAUCUGCCUUCGGGAUUAGUAUUGAACCUAGAUAAAUGUUAUCAGGUGUCUACGUUGAGCAUGAAUAUGAUUAGAUCAUGUUCAUUGCAAUACGGUUAUUCAUUUAAGUUAGAGAAUAAUGGUUAUUCUGUUUACAUGAAUAAUACCUUUCAUGGUCAUGCACCCUAUGUGAAUGGUUCAGUGAAUCUCAGUCGUGGUAAUACACAUGUUCAUGCCAAUAGAUGUAGAGUUAAUAAUGAUAGUACCACUUUCUUGUGGCACUGCCGCUUAGGUCAUAUUGGCAUAAGAUGCAUGAAGAAACUCCAUAUCGAUGGAUGUUUGGAGUCACUUGAUUUUGAAUCGCUUGACACAUGCGAGCCAUGCCUCAUGGGCAGGAUGACGAAAACCCCAUUUUCAGGCACAAUGAAACGGGCAAGUGACUUGUUGGAAAUCAUACAUGUUGAUGCGUGCGAUCCAAUGAGAAUUGAAGCGUGCGGUGGAUAUCGCUAUUUUCUCAUCUUCACUGACGAUUUGGGUAGAUAUAGGUAUAUUUACUUAAUGAAGCACAAGUCUGAAAUGUUUGAAAAGUUCAAGCGAUUUCAGAGUGAAGUAAAGAACCAUCAUAACAAGAAGAUCAAAUUCCUACGAUCUGAUCGAUGAGAAUUUCUGAGUUAUGAGUUUGGCAAUCACUUAAGACGUUGUGGAAUUGUUUCACAGUUGAAGCCACCUGGAACACCACAGUUGUAAUGGUGUGUCCGGACGUCGUAAUCGAACCUUAUGAGAUAUGGUGCAAUCUAUGAUGUCUCUUACCGAUCUACCGUUUUCAUUUUGAGGUUAUGCGUUAGAGACAGCUGCAUUCACUUUAGAUAGGACACCAUCUAAGUCCGUUGAGACGACGUCGUGUGAACAUUGGUUUUGGCAAGAAACCAAAGUCGUCGUUUCUUAAUGUUUGGGGCUGCGAUACUUAAGGCUUCAGCCGGAAAGGCUCGAACCCAAAAACGGGCAAAUACAUCUUCAUAGGAUACCCAAAGGUGACAGUUGGGUAUACCUUCUAUCUCAGAUCCGAGGGCAAAUUUUUUGUCGCUAAGAACGGGUCCUUUCUCGAGAAGGAGUUUCUCUCGAAAGAAUUGAGUGGGAGGAAGAUAGAACUUGAUGAGGUUGUCGAAGCUUUAUUUCAACCAGAAAGUGAUGCAACACAGAAAGAUGUUUUCUGUGGCCCCUACGUCUGUUGAAUAGGAAGUUAAUGAUAGUGAUCAUGAAGCUUCGGAUCAAGUUACUAUCGAACCUCGUAGGUCGACAAGGAUAUGUACUACUCCUGAGUGGUACGGUAAUCCUAUCUUAAAUAUCAUGUUGUUGGACAACAAUGAACCUACAAACUAUGGAGAAGCAAUGGUGGACCCGUAUUCCGACAAAUGGUUAGAAGCCAUGAAAUCCGAGACAGGAUCCAUGUAUCAGAACAAAGCAUGGACUUUGGUGGACUUGCCUGUUGAUCGGCAAGCCAUUGAGAUAAAUGGAUCUUUAAGAAGAAGACGGAUGUGGGCGGUAAUGUUAUCGUCUAUGAAUCUUGACUUGUGGCAAAGAGUCUUUUCACAAGUUCAAGGAGUUGACUACGAUGAGAAUUUCUCACCCAUAGCGAUGCUUAAGUCCGUCAGAAUCAUGUUAGCAUUAGCUGUAUUUUCGAUUAUGAAAUCUGACAGAUGGAUGUCAAAAACAAGUUUUCUUACCAGUUUUCAUAAGAAAGAGUUGUAUGUGAUACAAUCAAAGUUUUGUCGAUCCUAAGGAUGCUAAAAGGUAUGCUGGCUCCAGCGAUCCUUCUAUGGACUAGAGCAAGCAUCUAGGAGUCGGAAUAUAUGCUUUGAUGGAGUGAUCAAAGCUUUUAGGUUUAUACAAUGUUUGCUAGAAACUUGUAUUUACAAGAAAGUGAGUGGGAGCACUACAACAUUUCUGAUAAGUAUAUGUGGAUGACAUAUUGUUGAUCCGAAAUAAUGUAGAAUUUCUGGAAAGCAUAAACGGUUGUUUGAAGAGUGAUUUUCAAAGGAAGACCUAGAUAAAGCUGCUUACAUAUUGGGCAUCAAGAUCUAUACAGAUAGAUCAAGACGCCUGAUGAUACUUUCAAAGAACGCACACCUUGACAUGUUUUUUGAAGGAAUUCAAAAUAGAUCAGUCAAAGAAGGGGUUCUUACCUGAGUUGUAAGGUGUGAAGUUGAGUAAGACUCGAAGAUUGACCACGGCAGAAGAAAGAGGAAGGACGAAGGUCGUCCCCUAUGCUUUUGUCAUAGGCUCUAUACGAUAUGCCAUGCUAAGUACCGCACCUGAUGUGUGCCUUGCCACAUGUCUGGCAAGAGGGUGCAAAGGUGAUCUAGGAGUGGAUCACCAGAUAGCGGUCAAAAUUAUCCUUAGAGGAAUAAGGAAAUGUUUCUCGAUUAUGGAGGUGAUAAAGAGUUCAACGUAAAGAGUUAUGUCGAUGCAAGCUUAACACCUAUCCGGAUAGCUCUGAGUAGAGAUAGCGGAUACGUAUAAUGGAGCAACAAUUUGGAAUAGCUCCAAGUAGAACGUGGUAGCAGCAUCUACGAUAUGACAUAAAGUUUUGCGAAAUACAUAGGGAUCUGAAUAUGGCAGACCCGUUGACUACAACCUCUCUCACAAGCAUAACAUGAUCAAACCCAGAACUCAUUGAGUGUUAAUCACAUAGUGAUGUGAACUAGAUUACUGAGUCUAGUAAACUCUUUGGAUGUUGGUCACAUGGCGAUGUGACCUGUGAGUGUUAAUCACAUGGCGAUGUGAACUAGAUUAUUGACUCUAGUGCAAGUGGGAGACUGUUGGAAAUAUGCCCUAGAGGCAAUAAUAAAUUAGUUAUUAUUAUAUUAUAUUUCAUUGUUCAUGAUAAUCGUUUAUUAUCCAUGCUAGAAUUGUAUUGAUAGGAAACUCAGAUACAUGUGUGGAUACAUAGACAACACCAUGUCCCUAGUACGCCUCUAGUUGACUAGCUCGUUGAUUAAUAGAUGGUUACGGUUUCCUGACCAUGGACAUUGGAUGUCGUUGAUAACGGGAUCACAUCAUUAGGAGAAUGAUGUGAUGGACAAGACCCAAUCCUAAGCCUAGCACAAAGAUCGUGUAGUUCGUAUGCUAAAGCUUUUCUAAUGUCAAGUAUCAUUUCCUUAGACCAUGAGAUUGUGCAACUCCCGGAUACCGUAGGAGUGCUUUGGGUGUACCAAACGUCACAACGUAACUGGGUGGCUAUAAAGGUACACUACGGGUAUCUCCGAAAGUGUCUGUUGGGUUGGCACGAAUCGAGACUGGGAUUUGUCACUCCGUGUAACGGAGAGGUAUCUCUGGGCCCACUCGGUAGGACAUCAUCAUAAUGUGCACAAUGUGACCAAGGAGUUGAUCACGGGAUGAUGUGUUACGGAAUGAGUAAAGAGACUUGCUGGUAACGAGAUUGAACAAGGUAUCGGGAUACCGACGAUCGAAUCUCGGGCAAGUAUCGUACCGAUAGACAAAGGGAAUUGUAUACGGGAUUGAUUGAAUCCUUGACAUCGUGGUUCACCCGAUGAGAUCAUCGUGGAGCAUGUCGGAACCAACAUGGGUAUCCAGAUCCCGCUGUUGGUUAUUGACCGGAGAGUUGUCUCGGCCAUGUCUGCAUGACUCCCGAACCCGUAGGGUCUACGCACUUAAGGUUCGAUGACGCUAGGGUUAUAGGGAAAGUAUGUACGCGGUUACCGAAUGUUGUUCGGAGUCCCGGAUGAGAUCCCGGACGUCACGAGGAGUUCCGAAAUGGUCCGGAGGUAAAGAUUGAUAUAUAGGAAGUAUUGUUUUGGCCACCGGAAGUGUUCUUGGCAUCACCGGUAGUGUACCGGGACCACCGGAGGGGUCCGGGGGUCCACCAGGUGGGGCCACCAGCCCCGGAGGCCUACAUGGGCCAAUAGUGGGAAGGGACCAGCCCCUAGGUGGGCUGGGGCACCUCCUAGAGGGGAGGGGGCAAACCCUAGGGCAGAUGGGCCCUAAGGCCCACCCCAGGUGCGCCUCCCCCUCUCCCCCUUGUGGCCGCCACCCUAGAUGGGAUCUAGGGCUGCCGGACCCCUUGGGGUGGGAACCCUAGGUGGGGGCGCAGCCCUACCUCCCCCCCCCCCUAUAUAUAGUGGAGACAAAGGGGUAGCCCAACACACGAAGUUCUUCCCCUGUUGGCGCAGCCCUACCCCUCUCCCUCCUCAUCUCUCGUAGUGCUUGGCGAAGCCCUGCUGGAGUCUCGCGCUCCUCCACCACCACCACGCCGUCGUGCUGCUGCUGGACGGAGUCUUUCCCAACCUCUCCUUCUCCCCUUGCUGGAUCAAGGCGUAGGAGACGUCACCGGGCUGCACAUGUGUUGAACGCGAAGGCGCCGUUGUUCGGCGCUUAGAUCGGAAUCAACCGCGAUCUGAAUCGCUACGAGUAUGACUCCUUCAUCCGCGUUCUUGUAACGCUUCCGCUUAGCGAUCUACAAGGGUAUGUAGAUGCACUCCCCUUCCCCUCGUUGCUAGAUUACUCCAUAGAUUGAUCUUGGUGAUGCGUAGAAAAUUUUAAAUUUCUGCUACGAUCCCCAACAAUACCAGCAUCUCUGUCAUGAAUGACACGUACGUUUGGUCGGUCCUUCACGAUGGCAAUUUUCACUUGCUGGAAGAACCAUACCCAGCUCGGAAAGUUCUCACUUUCCACAAAUGCCAUGGCAAGUGGGAUGAUUUGAUUGUUCCCAUCCACACCAAUAGCAGUCAGGAUUUGCCUUUUGUACUGACUAGUCAGGAAUGUACCACCCACAAACAUCAUAGGAGGACAAUGCCGGAAUGCUUCGAUGCACAUAGCAAAAGAGAAGAAUACUCAUUUGAACACCUUGAAAUCUGGUAUACUCGGCAACCUCGUGUGUUGUACGUCAACAUAAGUACCAGGAUUCCUCUCCUUCAGUAUGUCAAGGAGACGGACAACAUUAUCAUAUGAGUCGAUGAAUGUUCCAAACCUUUCCUCCAUAGCCUUCUGCUUAGCCCUCCAAGCCUUCCCAUAAGGAAUGUCAUAAUUCCAUCUAACAUUCACUGUUGUCUGGAUGUGUUUUGCUUCCAUAUCUUUCUUCUGCACUAUCUCAGUAUACAUGAGUUGUGCAAUGAGAGUUGAAGUCAGGUUUGGAUGAUUCACCAGAAAUUGUUUUCCUCACACAAUUAUGUGGAACGACAUCGGUGACAACCCAGUGGAUGGUAUACUUCGGCACGUGCCGUGCACCUUCCCAGGACAACCUGUUUCAACACAUUUCAUGGUAUAGGAUGUUGGACUUGAUAUGUGUGUCCAAAAAACCCUCUGCGUAGAAAUAGCCCACUUUAUGAACGCAUACUUCAGUUUUUUUCUUUCUAUCGAACAUAGCCCCUAUCUGGACUUGGUUCAGAUUAUACUGCCAUGGAGUCUCAUGGCCAUCGUUGACCGUAAGGCCGGUGGAUAUGUCCUGAUCCCAUGUAGAAGGAAUUGGUGCCUUCACUUCAUCCUCGGAAUUUUUAGAAUCCAGAUCCUCCGCCAAUCCAUCCUCAUCCUCUUCCUACAUCACACCCUGCAUUCCCUCCCCUUCCUUAUCCCCAUCAGCAAAAUCAGAACCAGCUAAUAUUAUCGACUGACUACUCUUCCCAGUAUCAUGACCACACACAUUGUGUGGCUAGUAGUCUGACUCCUUCUCGGGUUGGCUUGCAUCCACAUCUAGUGGUUGUGACCCGGAUAAAUAAAUCUCGUUACCCACUUCACUGCCUUGGCCGGGUUCAUACCCCACGUGGAGUUGUAUGGUAUUCUCCUCCUUCGCCACAUGUUGCACUAGGGCGUAUGAGUGGAUUCUUUGGUCUCUGCAAUGCCUUAACAGGGUCAACCACCGUUGGCUCCUAUCUAUCAGCAUCAACUCCCACUUGACAUUUUUACAGGAUUUGGUCCACAAUGCAUGAAUAUUGACGAAACAUAAUUUAGGUACAGCCUAAAACUAGUAGUCAACCACUACUUCAACUGUCUAAUGUCUAGUAUGUCCGGGUUUGGAAGUGUCAUGACGCUAUUUUUGUACUCGCUAAGAUCAAACCCCAACUCAUUAUAUCAAACAUUACCAGGGCCAUAGUAAACAAUCAAAUUUACCGAUUAGGAUAUUUUCACCCAUCAAACAUUGCCAUCUUCUCAUUAAUCACAAUGAACAAAACUAUUACCCGCUACACUAAUUAACCGCUAAAAUGCCACCACAGACAAAUUAACACUAGAAGUGCGCAAUAUGACUUAUCUACACUAACUAAACUAUACAACUCAUAGAAAAUUUGUGAUGACAUAGUUAUACCUUCGACGCAUGUGUCCCCUGCUUCUUGCUCCUUCCUUCAACCUAGCAGCACCGGCCACCUCACGGAGUACUUGCAUCAACCGACAACACCACCACCGCCCCCUCGACGAUCGGAGGUUCAACUCCGAACCCCCCCCCCCAAACCACACCUCCUCCUCCUCCCGAGCCGCACCUCCUCNNNNNNNNNNNNNNNNNNNNNNNNNNNNNNNNNNNNNNNNNNNNNNNNNNNNNNNNNNNNNNNNNNNNNNNNNNNNNNNNNNNNNNNNNNNNNNNNNNNNNNNNNNNNNNNNNNNNNNNNNNNNNNNNNNNNNNNNNNNNNNNNNNNNNNNNNNNNNNNNNNNNNNNNNNNNNNNNNNNNNNNNNNNNNNNNNNNNNNNNNNNNNNNNNNNNNNNNNNNNNNNNNNNNNNNNNNNNNNNNNNNNNNNNNNNNNNNNNNNNNNNNNNNNNNNNNNNNNNNNNNNNNNNNNNNNNNNNNNNNNNNNNNNNNNNNNNNNNNNNNNNNNNNNNNNNCUCCUCCCCAUGCCGCACUUCCUCCACCCCCGCCAUGGCUCCUCCUCACUUGUACACACAAAAAACUAUCCCACACAAAAAAAUGACAGUGUAGGCCGACGGAGAUUGCUACAAUCUAUUGAUUCUGUGUCUUGGAUGCGAAAAUGGAUGGAAAACGGAGGAGAUCAGCGUGGGGUGGGGAUAGAGAUAGAGACGUAAAAGAGAGAGAGGAAGAAACAGCAGCGAGAGGAAGGAGACGACCGCGUCGGGCUUAUCUACACCUCUUCGAUCGCGGGUCGGCCGAAGAUCUUUUCGGUCGCUGGUAGGCUGAAGACGGCCUCUUCGGUUGCUAGCCCACCGACACCUCCUCUUCGGCCCAGCUGGGCCACUCUUCGGCCAACAGGAGGCUGAAGAUCCCACUUCGACCAAACGCGGACCGAAAACCUUGUCUUCGGCCAACAGGUGGCCGACAUGGUCAUACUUUAGAUUUUUAUGGAUUAGGUAGUGAAUAUUCCUACCUCAAGAGACUCGUUUUCCCCUAGGGCUUGGGCGGCGCUAGGGUUCCACACCUUCCUCCGGCGAUCUACAGCCGGAGUCCAUGAAAAACCUGCCCGAUGGCUGGGGUUCCGGCUACGGGGAGUCAACCAAUACCUGCAGGAGUAAAUCCGGCGGAGUGCAUGAAGGAUUUAGCGCACAAUCGGGUGGUGCUCGAGGAUGCGGAGAGGAUGGCGGGACUGUGAUCUGAGGAUCAACCUGUCAAUGAGGGAUCUGAUCAGUCCGGAGUGAAAGAGGAUGCGGGUAGUGAUCGAGAAGGGGAUGAUCAGGAAGUGGAGGACGAAGAAGAAGUGGGGGAGUAUUAUGGACCCGAAGCAGACUUGGAUGAUCAGUUUGCCGGGAUGAACUUACAUGGGGAAGAGAUGGAAGAUCUAGAUUUUUCUGGUGAAGUAGAGGAGUUGAUCAAAGAGGUGCGUUGGCUGGGGAUUUUUAGGGUUCAUACAACUCGGCCCUUUGGGCACUCGGCGCUGCUGAAUCAGAUGCGCAAUGCUUGGGCUGCUGCGAAGGGGGUCACGUUCAAUAUCAAAGGCCCAAAUUUGUUCCUUGUUCAGUGUCAUUGCCUUGGGGAUUGGAAGAGGAUCAUGGACGGGGGGCCUUGGCUGUUCUGCAGGGUGCCGGUAAUUAUUCAAGAGUAUGACGGGUUCUCAGAUGUCUCUCAGUAUAAACUAAACAAAGUCCCAGUGUGGGCGAGGAUCAAAGGCUUGCCGCCAGGGCUAACGGCAAAGAACUCGCUGGCAGAAAAGGUUGCAGCUAAGGUGGGAGGUCCACUAAUCAUGGUGAUAGUGAAUGAGGGGGUGAUAAAUCCUAAUACUAUGCUCAGGACGAGGGUGUUUUUGGAUGUCAAUGAGCCCCUUGUCCGUUUUGUGCCAAUAACCCUAAAGGAGAGUAAGAGGUACCCAGUGGCUUAUGAGAAACUCCCUGACUUCUGCUACCUUUGUGGCUUGAUGGGUCAUAUAGUUGAAGAGUGUGGGAUGGUGUGCAUGAUCCAAGAACCUAUGAGUGGGGAGAUUGGCUUCUCUGGGCACCGGAGCCGAACCCACAGGCUCAAACAGAUCGGGAUGGAGGAGGAAGAAGUGGUGGUAGAGGAAGAGCGGGUGGAAGAGGAGAUAGAGGAGGCAGGCAGGGAAGAGGCGAUGGGGGGAAGGAAGAAACAGCAGAGCAAGAGAUUAUGCAGGAGAAGAGGAUGCGAGCUACCAGCGGGGACAUCAGGGAGUAGUGGAAAAAAACAUUCGUAAGAGGCUGGUCUCUUCUGAAGGCACGCUAAAUGUUAGAGGGCAACCCGUCCCCAAUCUUGCAGGCAAAGUGGCAGAUACUGUCCUUUUACUGGAGGGAGGCUCAACCUCAACAGAUAAUGAUGGAGGGCAAAAGACACCGGGGAAGGUACCGAUAGUGAAGAGAAGGAAGCAGGGUGAGAAAGGAGAUGUCCGACAGGAUGAACUGAUGACAGAGGCGGCCUCCCACGAGGAGGACCGCCGAGCCAAAUGAAUGCUUUGUGUUGGAACUGUCGCGUUUUGGGCAACCCCGCGACAGUUCGGGAAGUCCGUGACCUCACGGCAAAAUUUUCCCCGGCCGUGUUGUGCUUAGUAGAAACUCAAUUGUCGAGCGCACGUGUCGAGAUUUUAGCUCAAUCGUUCGGAUAUGAUAGACCCUUUGCUGUUAGUAGCUCGGGACGGAGUGGAGGUCUUGUAAUUUUCUGGAAUGAAUCAAUAAAGCUAGAAGUUACCGGCUACUCGAAAUAUCAUAUAGACACUAAUAUAUCUGAUCUUGGACCUUCGCCAUGGAGGUUAACAUGUGUGUACGGAGAAGCACAGGUGGCGGAACGAUAUAAAACAUGGGACACGCUGUGCUCUAUUUCGGCCGCGUCAACACUGCCUUGGGCAGUGUUGGGAGAUUUUAAUGAGGUUCUAAUUCAAUCAAAACAUGAAGGAGUCAACUUGAGAGGCCAAGGGCAGAUGGAGGGAUUCAGGGAUGCCCUAGAUGUUUGUGGCUUGAUGGAUUUAGGCCACAAAGGAAGAUGGUGGACAUUUGAGAAGAGGGUUGCGGGUGGGACUUACACAAGAGUCCGCCUCAACCGAGCAGUCGUAGAUGCAGCGUGGAGUUCUCUUUUUCCGCUCGCGGAGGUGAGCAAUGAGAGUGCAGCUUGCUCUGAUCACGGGCCUAUAGUGCUGAAGCUAUCGGAUGAUGAGGAUGCGAGGAGGAAGCCGAAGAGCUUCAAGUACGAGGUAAUGUGGGAGAGACACCCAGAGUUAUAUUCAUUCAUAGAAACGAACUGGAAUGGCAAACCGAAGGGUUUUUCAGCAAUUGAGGUCAGAUAUAAACUUAAAGAUCUCAGCGAACAUUUGUACAGCUGGGAUAGGCAUACUUUUGGUAAUAUAAAGAAGGAGAUCAAGCAACUUGCGAAAGAGCUUGAGGUGUUAACGAACGUACCAGGAAGAACAGAACCGAGCCAUCUUGAAAUCAAAGUGGUUGACAGACUGGUCGAGCUAUACCACAGGGAAGAGAUCAUGAGUAGGCAGCGGUCGCGAGUAGACUGGCUUACUUAUGGUGACAGCAAUACAAAAUAUUUCCAGCAAAGAGCAUCGAUGCGAAGGAGAAAAAACAAGAUCACGGCCCUGGCUAGGCCGGAUGGGCAAUUAAUGGAGGAUGCAGAAGAGUUAGAGGGUAUGACAAAUGAGUUUUAUAAAGGCCUCUACACCUCAGAGGGAUGCAACAAUAUGCAAGAGGUUUUGGACUCGGUUCCGGUGAAGGUGACGAAUGAUAUGUGAGCACAACUGGACGCGGUGUAUACGGAAAAGGAGGUCAAAUCAGCACUUUAUCAGAUGUUUCCUAUGAAGGCGCCGGGGCCUGACGGAUUCCCGACACAUUUCUUUCAGAAGCAUUGGGGGGUCUGUGGAGAAGAGGUGUCUAAGGCAGUGCUGGCGAUAGUCGACGGAAACGAAAGUGCAGAAGGUAUUAACCAGACAUAUUUGGUCCUCAUACCGAAGGUAAAAAACCCUUCUCACUUAUCACAGUUCUGACCGAUCAGUUUAUGUAAUGUGCUUUAUAAGAUAGCUUCUAAAGUUAUCGCUAACCGCCUGAAGAAUGUGCUCCCUGCGAUCAUUUCAGCUGAACAAUCAGCCUUUGUUCCCGGACGUUUAAUCACGGAUAACAUCAUCGUAGCAUAUGAAUGCUUGCAUUUUAUGAAACGCAAUAAAGCUAUCAAACACAGACAUUAUGCUCUUUAAUUGGACAUGAUGAAGGCAUAUGAUAGGUUGGAAUGGGAAUACUUACGAGCUAUCAUGCUGAAACUGGGGUUUUCUCAGAGAUGGGUUGAUAUUGUUAUGAACUUGGUCACAUCAGUCUCUUAUUCAGUUUUGUUUAAUGGAAAGAAGUUGGAGGAAUUUAGACCUAGCAGAGGAAUUCGUCAGGGAGAUCCUAUCUCCCCUUACCUGUUCUUAUUGGCAGCGGAGGGCCUUUCAGGCCUAUUGAAAUAUUUAAGUGAGUCAUCCCAACUGGGUGGGAUACAAGUGGCGCCACUAGCUCCACCUGUUAACCACUUGUUAUUCGCAGAUGACAGCCUGCUGUUCUUUAAAGCAACCGGGGGAGGGGCGACUGAGGUGUCAAACCUGUUGGAGAACUAUUGCCAGGCUUCUGGUCAGAGGAUUAACACAGCUAAGUCUUCUAUCUUUUUUAGCAAGGGUUGCCCAAACACUAUAAAUGAUGAGAUUAAAGCCAUACUAAAUGUUCCCAAUGAAUCCCUGAAUGAAAAGUACCUAGGAUUGCCUUUUGAUGUAGGCAAUUCUAAAAAUGGAGCAUUUAAGUACUUGAAGGACAGGCCGUGGAGCAAGGUGAAGGGAUGGAUGGAAAAAUGUUUGUCUUCACAAGGAAAGGAAGUCUUGGUUAAAUCAGUGGCACAAGCAGUCCUAGUGUUUUCAAUGUCAUGUUUUAAGCUACCUCGGGGCCUUUGUGAGCACCUAAACAAGCUAAUAAGGCAAUUCUGGUGGGGAAGCAGGGAAGGUAAACGUAAGCCAGCUUGGGUUUCUUGGAAGUCUAUGACUCAGCCCAAAUUCAUGGGUGGGCUAGGGUUUCGGGAUUUUGAGCUUUUCAAUCUAGCUCUUUUGGCAAGACAGUCCUGGAGACUUUUGCAGUGUCUAGAUUCUUUGUGUGCGAGAAUUUUGAAGGCUGUCUAUUAUCCUCAAAGCACAAUUCUGGAAGUUGAACUUGGGAAUCGGCCAUCACAGGUAUGGCGAGCCAUAAUGGAAGGAAGAGAUGUCCUCAAGCAAGGGAUUAUCAGGAGAAUCGGAGAUGGAUCAACGACGAGGAUAUGGGUAGAUAACUGGAUACCGAGGAACGCUAUCAUGAGGCCGUUAGCGUGUCUAUCGGCCAACCCCCCAACCUUCGUAAGUGAGUUGAUUGAUGCACAUAAUGCGGCAUGGAAUAGAGAAGCGCUUGAUGCUAAUUUUAUUGUUGCGGAUACCCUGGCUGUCUUGGCCAUUCCGAUCUGCACUAGACAAAUGGAUGAUCAAUGGGCAUGGAACUUUGAGAGGAAUGGAGUUUUUUCAGUAAGAUCUGCUUACUGUCAGCUAUGUGGAAUGGCAGAUUCAUGGCGACACUCACUUUUUGAAUGUUCUGUUGCAAGGUGCGUUUGGGCACUGGUUGAUGAAAACAUACUUGAUUUUAUUCAAGCGACCCCGGAGCCAAAUGCUAAGGUGUGGUUAUUUUCAGCCAUAGAUCAUCUACCACAAGAUAGCCUGAUAGUGAUGGCAGUAACUAUGUGGGCGAUUUGGUGGGUUCGUCGUAAGGCUAUUCAUGAGGGAGACCUAUAGAGCCCGCACGCAACUCAUUCGUUUAUAAAGAGUUUCAUUGCUGAAAUUGCAACUGUUCAGAAUGGGUCAGCUACAAGGAGCGACUCGCAUGCAGCAGUGAGACAUGGUGUCAGGCAAGGAUGGAUACCGCCUGAUCAUGGUGUUGUCAAGAUUCAGGUAGAUGGGGGAGUUGCCAGAAACGGGAGAAGAGGAGCAGCUGCCACCAUAGGAAGGAACCGCGAUGGCCAGUUCCUCAGUUCCUCAGCAAUGGUUUUUGAUGAGAUCAAUGAUCCACCGAUGCUAGAAGCGCUAGCCUGCCGUGAGGCGCUAGCCCUAGCUCAGGAUUUACAUUUUGAUCAGAUUGUUGUUUCCUGUGAUUGCAAAACUGUUGUGGAGGAAAUUAAGAAAGGGACGGCAGGAAGAUAUAGCAUGAUUAUCAAGGAGAUCCAAAGCCAGGCAAGACAAUUCACAACGUUGCGACUUCAUCUUUGAAGGACGGCAAGGGAAUGUUGAUGCUCAUAAUCUAGUUAAAUUCUGUAUUUCUCUAGUUCAAGGGCGCCAUUUGUGGCUGGGAGUACCCCAUGAUCCCUUUGUUAUUCCUGUAAACCAAAACAUUAAUCAAUAAAGUUUGGUUUACCGCUAAAAAAAAAGGUAGUGAAUAUUCCUCCAGGACCACUUUCUGUCACUGAGCGUAGAAGCAAGGCAAAUUCGACCGUUUCCUAGAGCCAGCCAAAGACCAUAACGCCUUCUAGACUGCCUUGCCGUUCAUUCUCAUUUCUUUUAGCCAAAAUUUACUCACAUUUGUCUUUCUUGACUAGACCACAGUCCACCAAGACUAGUCUACUCAAAUUAAGUCCAACUCAUAUAACACGUCAAGGAGAAAUUUGACAAGGAAAAAGGGUAGCAGUUAGUUGGGUUUUUUCUAACACUGCAGAUGCCCACAAACGCACACAUAGACUCACCUCUAGAAACGCAUGCAUGCAAUUUCACAAAAAAAAAA